rnacentral:lncRNA from 1 species
CCAAAUUCACCAGUUCCUCAAGAGUACAUUUUACGAAUUAAUGACACAAAGGAAGUUUUGCAAAUGAUCAAUACACCAGUAGAUUAGUUAAAUAUAAGGUGCUUACAAAACAAAAAAAUCAGGGCAAUCAUCAAGCUCAGUAGACCUUCCAAAUUCACCAUGUCUCUGUCAAGGCAGUGAUGAAAAUAAUCAAAAUUUCAGUUAUUGGAACUUCCGUAGGCUGACACUUGAUGAUUUACAUCACUCUAAUUGCUUCAAUAGGGUCCCUGAAAUGACGACACAUACAUAGUUGAUCAAUUAAUUUGCUUCUUGCAAUCAUUUCUUAAAACAAGCACAACUCCAAAAUCUCAUAAAAAUACCCAAAACACUCAAUAAGGGCAUCAAAGUAAUUUAAUAAUCAAUAUUAAAUUCAAUAAUACCAGCUGUCAUUUUUUAGUUUGUUUAUAAAAAUUCAAUGGUGUAGAGUUUAUCUAUAAUAUUUGUGCUAAGAAGGAAUAUAUCACUAAAUAUCUCAAAAAAAUAAGGAUACCCAUCAAUGUUUGUAAAUCAAAAGCUCAGUAGACCUUCGAAAUUCAAGACUGACUUUUGAUGAAAAUUAUCAAAAUUUCAGUUAUUGGAAUUUCCAUAGGCUGACUUUGAUCAUUUCUCUUAGACAUUUUUCGAUUCGGGAAUUAAAUUUUUGAGAAACAACUAAAGCACGCAGAUUAAACAAAACAACAAACCUCGUGUGGCAUAACAAGUAAAUUAGUUUAUUAAUACUAGCUAGCUAAUUGAAAAUUAACUCAAGAGAUUUAACAAAACAAACAUCAAAGCACCUUUCAUACUCAUUUGAAAAAUCCUCUUAAUAGAAAAAUCAUGAUAUCAUAAAUGCGAACAAUUACUUACAUUUUUAGUGGGAAGAAAAAUACCUAGCGAGUCACCAUCUCAAGAUUAUAUAUGCCGCCGAGACAGAUGUUUCAUAAAUGUGCCUAGCGAGUCAUCACCUUUUGGAGAUUUUCAAGGAAACAAAUAUGAUCAUUGUUGGAAUUCAUACAUAAGUAGGUAAAUAAGAGAUUGCUAGAGCUCAAUUACCUGGAGCAAAUACGGAUGUUUGGGAUCUUAGCAGAAAUCUUGGCCCACUCUCCAUUGCCUUCUUCGUAAUGCUCUGCAAGUCUCCGACAUUUGGUGAUGUCAAGAGUCCGCAGUGGUGUUUUGAAGAUGAAGUCUGGCAGUGCUUUUAGCAAUUCGCAGUCUUCAAUUAUUAACUCAGAAAGGCAUGGCAUGAUUGUAAUUUCAGAAUCUUCUUUGGUCCACUCUUCCACGCCUUCCCACUCUUCCCAAUUCGACAUGCCGUAAAAGUAGAGUUGUUUCAAUUUUGGGAAUAAUAUUUGGGGGGAUCUGAUUCUGAAUGAGGUUUGAUCUUCUAAUCCCAAAAAUUCAACACCGACCUUUUUCACUCCUUCCAUUCUGUAUAGCUCCAGUCUUUCAAUGCAUUCCAAUUUCCCAAGAGGCCAAAAUUCACACAGUGUCCCCCCAGCAACAGUAAGGAAUCUCAAAUUGUGUAAAGACUGAAUCCAAUUGGGCCACGUGGUGCCAUUAUGAUACCCAAUCCCUAAAGAUUCCAAAUCUGGGUGCGGUCGUAAGGCAUUCAGUAUUUCUACACUACUACUACUACUACUACUGUUCGUCCGCCCUGCAAAAUUAACAGUGAGAUUAAAUAGCUUUUUGUCCCACAAUUGUGCUUUCUCAACCUCGCUCUUAUCUGUCGCAUCCCCCCGAAGUUGUAUUUCCAGACUUCCCUCAAGGUUCAAGUUUCUCAGAUCCCCAAUUUGGAAUGCUUCAUCUUUGUCGCCACCACAUGGACACACAUCUAGUGUUUGCAAACUUGUUAAUCUCCCUAUCACUUUGGGAAACGACUCCAGAAGACCACAAUACUUAACAUAAAGAUGCUUUAAGUUAAUCAAGUUUCCCAUGUUUUCAGGCAGUUUUGUAAGUUUAGAGCAGCCCACAAGGCGCAAGGUUGACAAAUUGUACAAACCACAAAUAGUGUCUGGUAAUUUCUUCAGUAUAUGAUUGGAAGACAAAUCAAUAUGCCUCAAAUGUAUCAAUUCACCAAUCUCCUUCGGGAGUUCUUCGAUGGAAUUACGACUCAAAUUUAAUGUCCUAAGACAUUUCAAUUGUAAAAUUAAAUUUGGGUCUAUGGUAGUAAUUCUUGAAUCAAAAGUUGCGAGCGUGCGGAGAUUUUUGCAAUUGUAAGAUGAGAUAAAAAGUGGAAGUGGACCUUCAGGAAUAUAUCUCAAGGUUAAAUGACGAACCUUAUCACCAAAUACCUUUGAUUCACUGGUAAUUUCCUCACCAUGAUCGAUAAUCAAACACUCAUUCUUGGUGAGAAAUUGUACAAAGUCAUGCACAAUAUCAUGCAUUUUGCAACCUAUAAUGGUACCGGUGUCAGGAUCUCUCUCAAAAUCUUGGAAAAAUGACCGUGCCACUAAGUUGUCAAAAACUGCAUCACCCGUUGUUCCCUUUUCUUUAUUCCCUUUCGAAAUAACAUAGUCUUGUGCCAUCCAAAGUUUAAUCAAAUCAUCUCGUUCAAACUUGUGAUCUUUUGGAAAAGUAGCACAAUAUAAAAGACAACAUUUAAUUGUUGGGGCCAAAUCAUUAUAACUUAGGAAUAGGGGUUGGAAAACUUCUUGCUCGACCUUCUCUAGAUCCCAUAUCUUACUAUGCAAAACUUCUUUCCAUUCUCCCAUUUUUGUCUUAUUCUGCAUGAGACUACCCAAAGUCUUUGCAGCAAGAGGCAAACCUUUACACUUCUUUACAAUUUCCUUACUAAUAUCUCCAAACUCAUGUACAUCCCUAUCCCAAAAGGCCAUGUGAUUGAAGAUUGACAAACAACAUUCAUCAUUCAACUCUCCCAGAUUGAUCUUGUUUCUUGUUGCUCUCAUCAUGUCAGCAACCUCAUGUUUUCUUGUGGUCACCAAUAUUCUGUUGCCUUUAGCACCAUUUUGGAUUAAUGGUACCUUUAAUUGUUCCCACUUUUUAGGAUCAUCGGUCCAUACAUCAUCCAGGACAAGAAGAAACCUUUUGCCCUGGAUGGAUGUAGACAUACAUUGCAAGACCUCAUCCAACUCAUUUGAAUUUGGGGCGUUUUUACCAAUAAUGGCUUUGGCAAUCUUAAUCUCAUCAAAAGGGUCUGAAACACAAACCCAUUUCCUCAACUCAAAAUGGGUUUUGACUCGGUCAUCAUUAUAGGCUAGUUGGGUUAAAGUUGUUUUGCCCAUGCCUCCCAUCCCGACAAUAGGGAUGAUAAGGAACCCCUUCCCUUCCGCACUACUAUCACUCAACAAGUGUGUUAUCAAAUCCUUUUUUUCAUUUUCUCGACCAAAUAUCUCAGAUAUAUCGACAAAAGAUGCAGUUUGAGGUCGUUGAGGUUGUUGAGGUUGUUGAAUGCCUAAUUCUUUGCUUAGAAACUGGUACUUUUUUCUUUCCUCAUAAAUCUCAGUUAACUUAUCAUUCAGAUCUUUUAUUUUCAGAGCAAUGUCAUGGAGAAGGUGAUCUUUUAUUUUGCCAAGACAAAAGUAAGGGGAGAAACUAGAGAAACGUACCUUCUUCCUUGUAACAAGAGCAUUUGGAUCACCUUCUCUUUCUUGCUUCUCAACUUGUUGUUUGAGAAUGUUUGUGUUCCACUCAUCCAGCACAUCCACCAUCUGGUAGGAUAUAUCUUUCAGCUCAUCCAACCAGAUUUUGACAGCUUGAUCCGUCACUUGGCGUUGCUCUGCAUCCUCAAGCACAGCUUGAAUAACUCGGAGAGUCCGAGUGAAUUUCUCAACAUCUUCCUUAACGUUCAAAACACGUUUCACAUCUCCUUCCAUGUAUUCAUAGGUUGUCGAGGCCAACCGUUCUAGCAGCAGGGAAAUGAGCGCACCAGCCAUUAUUUUGAGCUUCAGAAAAUGGUUGACAGCAGUGUUUAUGAAGAAGAACUGAUUUGGGGAUAAUUGUUUGUGUUGCGGUGUUCCCUUUCUUCUGCCCAGUUUAUAUGCUGAGUAAGUCUUCAAGGCAAACUCCAAGUCAAUUUUUAAGAAAUAUCUAAUCUGGGGCUGGUGAGUGCGCCAGACUGUCUUUCUUGACCUUACCAUACAAGACAAGAUUAGUGCGCCAGCUGGCUUAAUAAGCAUUACCAAGAUGUAGUGCAUAAAUCGCCAGACUGUCAUUCACAUUCUAUAUUUUUUACCUGAACUCUACCUACUUGAAUAAAGAAAUGUAUCAAAGAUUGGUUGGACAAUUGAUUUAUUUGUCACACACACCUCGUGACAUAUACUUUGAGUGUAGUUUAGUCAGUUCGUGCAUGUUUUCAGUAAAGAUUAUGUAAAUGAUGUAAGUCAUAUAUUUAGAUAUUUAAAGUUAGCAACAAGAAAAUGACUUAUGUUCUCUAAGCAUAAGUCAUUGGGCAGGUAGUAUCAUUGUCAUGAGCUCUACAUCAAGUAGAUUGGUUGGAGGUAAUUUCUCACUUGGCAUAGCAAUAAGCAAAAGAUGGUGGAGUACAGAAUAAUGGUACAAGGAAUCUAUGAACUAUUGUGAUUGAUAAUGUAUAAAAUAAUGAUCGUAGAUGUUUAAGUGGAUAGACAUUUCAUUAAAAAAUGAAGACAAUUAAUAUUCCAUUUGUGAAGACUAAAGACCAAUUAGUCCAUAUUCUCUCCAAGACAAUUAAAAAAUAAGGUGUGUUACAACUCAUUGGUCAAGUUGAGGAUUGGAGGCAUGUGUUCACCAAUUUGAGCGUGAGUGUUAGUGUGAAUUCUAAAUAUAACCUAAUUUGUAGUCUCCUAUUUGGACUUUAUUAGGUUUAGUUACUUUACUUAAGGUCCACUUCUCGUAAAUCCUAUUUGUAACUAGGAGAAGAACACACAUUUGAGAGUUUUAUCGUAUUCGUUUCGACACCGAAAUUUUUUCUUAACGUAUGCACCUAAAUGAAACUCAUUCAGUUUAGCUCCAAAAGGAUUCCGUUGGAACCCAAGCAAGAUAAGGUGACAAUUUACACAGGCAUCAUGGAAAAUGUCAAACAAGAAUUAUCUAGGACUAGUUUCUUAGAUAAAAUUAAUCCCUACUAAUGAACAUGAGCUGAUUCUUACUAGAUUAUAUAAUAGUUAAGAGUUAGAAAGCCCCCUCCUCCCUCUCUAAGAAAAUUUGGCAAACCCUAUAACAGUUCCCUAGCCAUCCCGCCUAUUCCUCCAAAAUAAGGUGUAGCUGCUACUUGUUCCCCAAGAAACACCAUAAUCACAAUCACAUCACACACUCUCAUGAUGAUCAAUGGAGCAUAAAUAUAUUGCAGUUAAGUUUCUUUAGCCCAAAUUAAGUACCGCUUGUAACACUCAUUCACCCAAUGUUAGACAAGGUCCCAGCCCAAAUCUAUGCAAAUAUUCUACGUAUCUAAAGUCACCUGGGAUUUUUGGAGCAUGCCAUGCCUGACAAUCUUCUUUCUAGCAUCUCCAUUCAAUCCUGCCAAUUUGUGGUCUUGUGACUUCCCCCUCAUGGUAUUAUCCCUAGCCUAGAGAAAAGGUUCCAUUGACCCAUAAUUUCUACUACUAGUUCGUAAAAUUGAAUAGUGGCAUGCUCACCAACUAAAAGGGGUAGACAUCCUUUUCUAACAAUCCCAUGAAGGAUUAUAUAAAUCUUCAGAGAAAGGCAGAGAAAACUUGAGAAAUGAACUAAUUAUGUACUCGCUCAUCAAUUAUGCAUAUCGAUUAUCUGGAAGAAAAAAGCAGAAAUGCAAAAAACUUGACAAACUAACUGAUAGAAGACAAAAAGAUAAAAGCUGCCAUAAAGGAGAGGUGCCAUUUUAACGGACAAGAAUCCCAUCAAGUAUAGAUAUGUCCAAAGAGUUCAGGAAUCUUACAUGAUCAAGCAGAAGAACAUCCUCCUCUUCUUCAAGCCGAGCAAAAUCUAUAGCACGCUGACCAGUGACAAGUUCGAGAAGUGUGAUACCAUAUCCAAAAACAUCAGUCUUUUCUGACGAUUUUCCAGUGGACAAAUAUUCUGGGGCAAUAUGACCCAUGGUACCACGCACUUGAGUGGUAACGUGAGUUGAUUUUGUAUCAACCAGCUUUGCUAGCCCAAAAUCUCCAAGAACGGGCUCAAAAUUAUCAUCUAGAAGAAUGUUUGCAGCCUUUAAGUCACGGUGUAUAAUCUUAGGAUUACAAUGCUCAUGUAAAUACUCUAAGCCAUGGGCUGCACCAAAAGCGAUGCGUUUCCUUGUUGACCAGUCCAAGCCUUUCUCACCAGGUUUUAAAUCUAACACAUAUAUCAGGAAGAAAAUGUUAUGAAUUAAAAAUAUUGAACAGUAGAUAUAUGAGAAUCGUGAUAUGCCAUUCCAAAGAAUUAAGUGAUGAUUAACCUUCAAAUGAACAAGCAUAAAAUACAAAUGAUGUAAAUCCUAUCUCCCCCCUUAAGAAGUAGGGAGGGGGGUGUUCAGGAUGUCCUUACUUGAAUAUUGAGUUGGUUGAAGAAAAUAGAAAUUUGUAUUUGGGAAUUUGAAUCACAAAAUGGUGGUUAUAUAUCAAUACGUGCGAUGAAAGACCUCCUCCAUAAGUAUGGGCUGGAAGGUGAGGUUGACCGUACGAUACCUAAUGGGUGUAAGUAAAAUUACCAAGAAAAACAACAAAGGAAGUAGGGAUUAGGGAGCAUCUCAGAAAAAAUUUCAAGGAUGGUACCUCAUGUCAUAAUAUGUUGCAGAAUUCUAUUGCUAAAUUAAACCACGAAAACAGAAGUAAAAUUACAGGCUCUCAAAUGGAACAGAACAUGGCAACAGCAAUGAUUUUUUCUUCUUUCUUUUGGGACUGAACACUGAAUUAGGGCUUCUAAUCACUUACCAAGCACAAAAAGAAGUUCAAACCAUGGUUUUAAAACAUGCUUGUGUUCAGAGCCACUCAUACUGAAAAAUGCAGAGGGGAAAUAGAAAAGUAAACUCAAGCAAUGCUCUUUUAGGACAUACCUCUCAAGCGAUACGCAACACUAAGAUUUUUCAUGAAUGGAUAAACAAGGAUUCUCUCGGAUGAAGUUGUACAAAAUCCAAUCAACCGUAAAAGAUUCUUGUGAACUGCAACGCUAAUGAGUUGUACUUCUCUCAAGAAUGCAGCCUCUCCACCAGGACUGUUAUAAUCUGUAAGGCGUUUCACUGCAACCUUUACAUUGUCUGAGAGGACACCUUUGUAAACUCUUCCAAAGCCCCCUUGUCCAAUUAUGUUGCUUUCAUCGAAGUUAUCUGUAGCAAGCUGAAUUUCACGCCAAGAAAAUCUUCUUAACUGUCCAAAGGAAAUUUUGUUAGAGUUUUAGGAUCUGUGUAUGAGAUUUUGUGAGAAGAGAGAAGAGAAUUUAAGAAAACUUGAAGAAAUCCAAAACUGCUCUGCUAUACGUGUAGCAGAGAGAACAUUCUCAUUAGCUCAGAUUUUCAGUACUACAACACACUCUUAGUGUGAGGAGAAAUAACCGUUAUGCCCAGUACCAGCUGGAUGCAUUUUAUCAAAGCAAUCUCAGCCAUUCACUAUCUAACCAAUCAAGCUAUGACACCUGGACUAAGUAUAAAGAAAUACAAAUAAGCAGAAAACAAAACUCUUAAUCCUGAAAUCAACUCAAGCACUUAUAAUUUAACACUCCCCUUUAAGUCUUGAGGUGAUUUCACUCCAAGCAUGCCUCUGAGAUAAUUGAAUCUGUCUUUGGCCAGAGGUUUGGUAAAAAUGUCAGCCAAUUGUUCAUUUGUAGGACAAUAUUCCAGAUUGAUUACUCCUUCUUGCAAUGCAUCCUUGAUGAAGUGAUACCUCCUAUCAAUGUGCUUUGUCUUCUGGUGGAAUACAGGGUUUUUAGUGAUUGCAAUUGCUGAGAUAUUAUCACAAUGCAAUGGAGUAGCUUCAGUUUGAAGCACUCCAAAAUCCUCUAGCACAAAUCGAAGCCAAAUAGCUUGAGUAGUAGCCUCAGCUGCACUGAUGUACACAGCUUCAGCAGUAGACAGUGCAACACAGUUCUGUUUCACUAAGGCCCAAGAAAAUACUCCACUUCCAAAACUAAAAGCAUACCCUGAUGUGCUCUUGCAAUCACCGACUGAUCCUCCCCAAUCACUGUCACAGUAGCCAAUUAGAAUUGAUCUUUUGCCUUUCACAUAUUCAAGACCAUAGUCCAGAGUUCCUUUGAUGUAUCUCAAAACUCUUUUAGCUAUUCCAUAGUGUCUAUUUGUAGGACAGUGCAUGAAUCUAGCUAGCAAACUUGAGGCAUACAUAAUGUCUGGUCUUGUAGCAGUUAAGUACAGCAAGCUACCAACAAUGCUUCUGUAUUGUUCUUCAUUUGCAGCUCCACUCCCAUCAUCCUUAGCUAGUUUCUCAGUGGCAACAAGGGGUGUUGUCACAGAUUUGCACUCAGUCAAACCAAACUUGCUCAACAAGGUGCUAGCAUAUUUCUUUUGAUGUAGAAAUAUACUAGACUCAGUCUGAAUAACUCCCAUGCCAAGAAAGUGAUGAAGUAAGCCCAAAUCAGUCAUCUCAUACUUAGCCAUCAUGUCUUCUUUGAAUUCAGCCAACAAUGCUUGACUGCUCCCUGUGUACACAAUAUCGUCUACAUAGGUAGACACAAUUAGAAUCUCCUUAUCUCCCCUUACUUUGGUAUACAAGGUUGCUUCACUUAAGCUUUUCACAAAACCACAUUGAGUGAAGUAGCUGUCUAUCUCUCCAUACCAAGCCCUUGGGGCUUGCUUCAGACCAUAAAGAGCUUUAUGUAGACGAUAAACCUUGUCUUCUUUACCUUUAAUUACAAAACCUUCAGGCUGAUUGACAUAAACUUCCUCUUGCAGCACACCAUUAAGGAAAGCAGACUUCACAUCAAGCUGGAACAAUUUCCAAUCCUUUUGAGCAGCUAGAGCAAUAAGUGUUCUAAUGGUGUCCAAUCUGGCUAUAGGUGCAUAAGUCUCAUUAUAAUCCAGUCCGGGCUUCUGAGCAUACCCCUUAGCCACUAAUCUUGCUUUAUUCUUUUGCACAGAGCCAUCCAAAUUCAGCUUUGUCUUGUACACCCACUUAACUCCAAUCACUGGUUUUUUAGUUGGUCUAUCUACCAAUUCCCAUGUUUCAUUCUUUUCAAUCAUCUGCAAUUCAUCUUCCAUAGCCUUAAGCCAAGAUUCAUCCUGAGCAGCAUCAGCAUAUUUUUCUGGUUCCAUGAUACACAAGUUACACUGAGCUAGAACAUCAUCUAGCCUUCUCCAUUUUAGAGGGGUGUGAUCAUAAGCUUGAGUUCUCCUUUCUUCACUGCUUAUAUCACCUGGAGUUGAUGAAGUGCUCUCUUGCAUAUCCAAAGUUUGAGGUGUACCAGUAGAAUUCUCAUUAGAACUGUCAGAUUUCAAGUCCAAGUCUACUUGGUUUUCAAUUGAGUAUGUUGUCAUAACUGAACCAUUUUUGUCUGUCCAAUGCCAAGCAUUUUCUUCAUCAAAUGUCACAUCCCUUGACAGUAAAAGCUUGUUAGAAACAGGAUCAAAAACUCUAUAUCCUUUUUCACAAGUUGCAUAUCCCACAAACACUCCCUUUGUGCUCUUAGGAUCCAGCUUGUGUCUCAAUUCAGUUGGCACAUGAACAUAACACAGAGAACCAAACACUUUCAGAUGUGCAAUUCCAGGCUUCCUUCCACUAUAUGCUUCGAAUGGAGUAAUGUUGUUGAGAGCUUUGGUAGGACAUCUGUUCAGCAAAUAGACAGUUGUAUGCACAGCUUCUGCCCAUAGGAAAUAUGGCAUUCCCUUCUCAUGUAACAUUGAUUUUGCCAUCUCAAUGACAGUUCUAUUCUUCCUCUCAACUACUCCCACUACUACAUUUUACUCUUUGCGCGACGAAGAACAAAACGUCGCGCAAAGUCUCAUUUAGUCGCACCAAUUUCAGCGUGACAAAACAGUCGUCGCGCAUAUUCCGUCGCGCGAAGAUCGUGAAGAAAGCCUUUGCGCGACGAGGUACAACCCUUCGUCGCGCAAAACUGUGCGACGGGUAAACCAUCGUUGCACCAACGGUGCGGAGACGAAACAACUGUUCGUCGCAAAAGUAUUUGCGCGACGAUCAAGUAUGCGGCCCACGUAUAUUUGCGCGACAACAGGAAUGGCGCGACGAAACAUAAUUCGUCGCGCAAAACAUGUUCGGGAGACGUAUAUGUUCGUCGCAGAACAAUUCGCGCGAUGAGAAAGUUUUCGUCGCUCAUAUAUUUGCACGACGAAACAUUUCGUCGCGCACGAAUUAAAAGUGAUAAAAAAAAUUUGAUUUUUUAUUUUUUUUGUUACAUGUUGGUUUGCGCGACGAAAUGUUUUCCGUCGCGCAAAAAGAAUAUUACAAAUUUUUUUUUAUAUUUUUUAUUUUAAAUAAAAUUGGUUUCUUUUUAUUGAUUAAACAAUGAAAUUGCAAUAAAAAUAAAUUAGAAUAAAAUUUUGUUAUAAAAUAAAAUAAAUGUAUUACAAAUAAAAUAAAUGUCUAUGAUGAAAAUAAAUACACUAAUCAAAUAAUGAAGAAAAAUCAACCGGGUCGUCGCCAGUAUGUGGCUCGGAGGUCUGGGCGUCCACCGGGGCAGUGGUCUGGGCGUCCACCGGGGCAGUGGUCUGGUGGGCAUGCUCGGGGUGGACGGGCUCGGAGGUCGACGCACGAAACUGCAGGAUCGGAAAGCCACUCUCUGCGAGGGACUGUAGAAUCACCGACAUCUGACCCUGAAGCUCGGCCACCUGUGCUGUCAAAGCAGUCACCUGACUGUUUGACUGCGCCGAUGAACGAGGUCUAGGUUCCCUCCGCCGGGCAUUCCCCAUCCCUCGACAAUAUGUCCCCGGCCUCCUCCCGAGAGGCUGAUCCAACGUCUCCGUCAAGAUCUGAAAUCCAGCAUCCUGUGGAGGAGCCACAGACUCGAUCGGAGUCUCGGGAGGAAGCUGGGAGGCGGACUCCUGAAGAACCAACUGGCUCCUCUCCACCAUCGUCGUCUGUUGAACAUAACAUAAAAUAUAAAUUAAAACAUGCAUAUAAAUUGAAUGCGUAACAUAAGAAUUAAAAUUAAAUAAUACUUACAUGAAGGGACUCGGCCAACUCAUUCCCGGGUCGAACAUAAACGUCACCAAAGACGUCGAUCUCUGGGAACUUGGACCCCUCCUAAAUUGAACAAGAGAAGAAAAAUAUUAGUAUGAAAAAAAUAAAUUAAUAAAAAUGACAUUAAAAAUGAAAUAUAAAUUAUGUGAUUAUUACCCGUCGCCGUGCAUCCAUCCUAUACGAAAAGGGCCUGGAGCCGGAAUGGUGGAGAAGGGUCUUCUUCUUCCUAUUACCCUUAUUCACUUGGGUUUUAUUCUGUUAUACAAAAAAUGAAACGUAUUAGUUAAAAUAUAACAAAUUAAAUAAUAAUGAAAUAAAAAAAAUGAAAUAAACAUUAAUAAGAAAUAAGUAAUAAUUAAACAAAUAUGAUUAAAAAAUACCAUAUAUUCGGGCGCUUGAAAAUGAGCGCAGAGCCACUCCCAACUAUCCUCCCGCCCCUCAAGCUCCUUCGGGCAACCCUCUUGAAGAGCGACUUGCGGAUCAUCAAAGGCCUGAAAAUGAUGGUGCAAGUCGCUCUUCCACUGCUUGUACCUCUCAGCGAAGAGUCUGUUGACGUACGCCAACGACUCUUCGUCGAGAUCCUCCAAGUUAUAGUUCGUCUGCAAUCAAUUAAUUAGAUACGUUAAGUAAUAGAAAUAUACACAUUUUAAAGAAAAAUAAUGAAAAUGUAAGGUACAUACCGACAACUGGCCGCGAACCUCUACCUUUAUCUCUUCAGGAAUGACCCUCCAAGACUUCCAUUGCAUCGGGCAAUGGGUCCGCACGACGUGGCCAAUGUUGUGGGCCAAGGAGCUAUGCAACUCCGCCGUGGGUACAGCCCGAUGGCGCUCAUCGUAUCCGAUGCUGAUACGACUGUUGGUCACCCGGGUGACCUUCGCCAUCUUCAGCUGACGACACGGCCCUCGGGUGUUCUUCUUCGCUGCAAAGAAAUAAGAUAUUAAUGUUAAAUAAACAACAUUGUCAAAUUUCAAUAUAAAAUUAACAAUAAAAAAUGGUAGUUAUACCUGGCUGUGAUCCCGAGGCACCAGUACCGUCGGUCGAUGUCGUCUCGGUGAUGUCGGCAGGCCGGUGCCGCCGCAUAGUACUAGCUGGCUGCGCGACGGAUGAUGCAGAUAACGUUGGAGCCUGGGAUGCCCCGGGACCUACCAGCACGUGCUCCAUCAAAGCUGGAGCUAUGGCAGCAGAUACCGACUGAGCCGGGGGAUCCGAACUAUGUGCAGUCGUCAUCGACCUACCACGUCUAAUCAAGUUUGACAUCUGCACAUAUAAUUUCAUUCAGAAUUUAAACUAAUUAAUUAAAAGCAUAGCAUGACCUAGGGUUUGGAAUUUCGGAGUAUCCGGGACUCCGAUCAACAAUCGGUCGAAUCCUAAACGAUCCUAGAAACACAAAGGUACAACUACGUGAGUUUGAGUUCGAUCCAACGGUCCGAACAUAUCAAACCUGGAAAUCGCAGAAUAGGCGAAAACCGAUCAAUACUCAAACGGUAACCAAAUUCAAAUCCGAGCAAACCUACGCGCUCGUGACAAAUAGGGGAUUGCUCUGGGACACAAUGCCCCACUGCCACAGCAUCCCACGCGCCACCACACGCGCCGGCAGCGCGUGGGUGUCCAAAGCGAUAACAUUCGCCGGAAAAUUCUAAAAACUAACCGCCAAGGUUCCUACCCUAGGUUGAAAACAUUAAUUGGAGCCACUUUUGUUCUCGGACCUACCCCGAAAAAUGGCCGGAAGUGGCCGAAUUUGAAAUUCCCAAACCGGCCAAAACCUAGGGUUUUAAUUCCUAUUUCCUAUAGCGAAAAUUCAACAAAUCCUAACCAACCAUCAGCUAGAGCACAAAAAAUAGUCCAGAAAUCAUACCUCAGGCGUCGGAAAUGGUGGCCGGAGGAGAGAGAAAUCGGCCAGCGAAGAAUCGGGAAAAAAGCGGCAGGCUCGACGGCGGGCUCGACGGCGAAGGCAGGGGAGGCUACGGCAGGAGCGGCGGUGGCUGAGGUGACGGCGGAGAGAGACGGCUGAGGUGACGGCAGAGAGAGAGGGAAACGGAGGAAAAAACCAGAAAUGGGGAAGGAGGAGGCAUCAGGCCGUUUCUGCAAAUUUUUACGACUUUGCGCGACGAAGAACAACAUCCGUCGCGCAAAAUGCAAUAAAUGAAUCUUGCGCGACGAAAUAUCCGUUGCGCAAGGUCUCCCAGAACGACAAAUUUUGAAUGGGGAUUUGGGUCUGUGACUUUUGCGCGACGAAAAAGACAUGGUUCGUCGCGCAAAAGGCUGUCGUUCCGCCAAAUUUUUGGGAUUUAGGGUUUAGCGGGAGGCUGAAACUGAAGGGUUUGUGGCUUUUGCGCGACGAAGAGAGUUAACAUCGCGCAAUAGGCACAUUGCGCGACGGAAGAUAAUGUAUUCGUAGUGCAAAACGCUGUCGUUCCGCCAAAUUUUUGGGAUUUAGGGUUUAGCGGGAGGCUGAAACUGAAGGGUUUGUGGCUUUUGCGCGACGAAGAGAGUUAACGUCGCGCAAUGGGCACCUUGCGCGACGGAAGAUAAUUUAUUCGUCGCGCAAAACGCUGUCGUUCCGCCAAAUUUUUGGGAUUUAGGGUUUAGCGGGAAAUGAAGGGUCUGUGGAUUUUGCGCGACGAAGAGAGUAAACGUCGCGCAAUGGGAACCAUGGUUCGUCGCAAUCUAUUUCACUUUCACUUUGCGCGACGCAUUCCUUGUUUCGUCGCGCGAGUUCAAGAUUGUGAUUGAAAUUUUCACUAAGUGUUCAAAGGGGAUGGAGGUGUGAAAACGGUCACCCAGAUUGCGCGACGAACCUGGGACUUUUCCGUCGCGCAAUCUAUCACUUUGCGCGACGCAUGACUUGUUACGUCGCGCGACUUCAAGAUUAUGAUUGAAAUUUUCACUAAGUGUUCAAAGGGGAUGGAGGUGUGAAAACUGUGACCCAGAUUGCGCGACGAACAUACUAUGUUUCCGUCGCGCAAUCUAUUUCAAUUUCACUUUAAGCGACGGUUAUAAAUAUUCGUCGCGCAAAACCUAGACCCUAAACCCUUGUAAACCCUAAGCCCUAAACCCUAAACCCUAAAAUAGUUUCAAUGAUCCAACCGGCAAACUUAUUUUUUGAUACUUGGAGAUCAUAUACGCCAAAAAUCAAAAAGACCAAACAUUCAGAUAUCAGGGAACGGGACUAAAUAUUUCGACGGUUAUAAAUGAAAAGUCAUGAUUUAACGGUUAUUUUAACUCCGAUUUUGAUCAUUUUUUACAGAAACAUUUGUUGACCCUAUAUGAAUACAAUGACUGAAUUUGAUCUUCAAUUUCAUAUUUUUACACUAGGGGAUACCACAUAAACGUUUAAGUUACAUUUUCACAAAUGUAUGAACAAAUUUUAGGGUUUUUGGUGAAUAUAUGAUUUUGAUAGCACACGCAUUCUACGAAACAAGUUUCAGUCAUCCAGCCGUCAAACUUGUUUUUUUUGACUUCGAGAUCAUAGACAGCAAAAAUCGGACAAAAAAAACAUUCAGAGAUUAAGUAACGGGGUAAAACUUUUUGACGGUUGUAAAUAAAAAGUGAUGAUUGAACGGUUAUUUUAACUCCGAUGUUGAUGAUUUUUUGCAGCUACAGUCCUACACUCCAUAUGAAUACAAUGAACUACUACGAUCGCCAAUUUUAAAUAUAUAUGUGUGUAUAUAUUAUACUAUAACGUUACCUAAUAUAUAUUUGCGCGACGAUAAGGAACCCUUCGUCGCGCAAGGAUUUGGCGCCAUAAAUCAUCAUUUAAUUCAAAUUGUGUAUGCUUUGUAUUUUUUGGAAAGGUUUUGUAUUCAUCAAUUUUUAUGCUUUGUAUUUUUUGGAAAGGCUUUGUAUCUCUCAAUCAAGCUUUUGAGUUAAUUCAGCCAUGGCUUCUCUUCAUGACACUCCAACAUCUUCCGCUCACAUACCCCACUUCUUCAAGAUCAUUCUAGAUGACACUUCUAAAAACAUCAGAAUUGUAAGCAUCUCUCUCUCUCUCUCUCUCUUUCUCUCUCUCUCUCUCUAUGCUAAGAAUGUUUUCUGAUUAUUGAAAUAUUCAUUUCUUUUGUUAUUUUUAUUGAAGCUUUAACUUGUUCUGUUCUGCAGAAAAUUCCAAUGAAGUUUGUGAUGAAAUAUGGAGAAUGAAUACACAACUACAUAUGGACAACUACAUAUAUUCAAAGAUUUGUAUUACACAAAAUGAAUACACUAACAUAAUAAAUUUACAAAUAAAUUCAUUAUUCAUCAUCUGAACUAUAAUAACUUUCGUUAUCGUCGCUAUCAUCACUCUCGGUCUCCCAAUCUUCUUCUCCCUCCUCCUCCUCUAUAACUGCAUCAUCGGCGUUGCUAGGGCCCACUGCAACAUCGUAUCGGUGAAGAUCACCGAGGUCAAUUGUAAUUGACUGAAUCGGUAUUUCGACUGAAGACACUCCUUCUAUUUGAAACGGUUAUUGUAUAACAUUUGUAUCUCGAAGUGUUUCCGCAUCAUUUUCCAUUGAAGAUUCUAAACGUUGGUCAGCCACAUUGUCGACGUCGUUGUCACUUGGGUCUAGUUCUGGUAUAUCAUACACGUUCCUAUGAUCCAUCUUCUGCACAACUUUCCACCUGUUCCCGGCUUUAGGGUCAUCUAGAUACACAAUUUGGGACGCCAUGUUUGCCAAAAUGUACGGGUCGUCAUCAUACCAAGUUCUGUUAAUGUUCACAGACAGUACUCCAUGGUCGAUUUUAACACUUCCCGCCCUAUUUGGGUUGGUAUCGAACCAUCGACACUUAAACAUGAUGACUUGGUAUCGAUCUUUGUAAAGCAAUUGCACGACAGUUGUCAGUUUGCCAUAGAAAUCAAUGUCCGUACUUUCGCCUCCACCUGGGACAUGGACACCGCUGUUUUGCGUACACAACUUGUCAUCUCGUGCGGCCCCCAAAAAUUUGACGCCGUUAACAUUACAACCCGAGAACAAUUCAGCGCGAAUUGGGCCGAACGCCAAGUUAUAUAACUCAUCACUGUAAGUAGGGGAAUUCGAUGAUUUCAAUUUAUUCACCUAAUAGUAUACAAAACCAAUUACAUGUUAGUCUGAUAAAAUUAAAUACUACAAUUUAUAUUUGUCAAAUACAAAACACACAGAUUCCAAAAACCAUUGUGGAAAUAAUUCACGUUGUUUCUGGGCAACUAAAUGUGAUGGAUGUUCUCGCUUCAUCAUCUCUUCAUGCUCAUCUAAGUAUGCCAUUAUCUCAUCACAAUUGUUCAGUACGAACCAAUACGCUACUUCCAUGUCAUUUCUAGAAAACGACUCCCCUCGUCCAGGAUCUCCAAAGGGCCGUGCGCUUUGGGCAAAAACAGAAAGUUUUUCCUUUCUUAUACCUCCGUCGUUAUUACGCUGAGGACGAUUGAAAGCCGUCUCCACAUCUUUUAAAUACAUUCCACAGAAAGUAAGCGACUCAUAUUGAACCCAAGCCUCUAUAAUUGAUCCUUCGGGCUUCGCCCUGUUGCGUACACUUUUUUUCAGCUCUCCGAGAAGCCUGUCAAAAUAAAAAGAUAUGAUACAAAUUAGCAAGCCUGUGAUAAUGAUGCAUACACAAACGAAAAUGAUUAUAUACCUUUCUAUUGGAUACAUCCAGCGAUAGUUGACAGGACCAGCAAGCAAUGCCUCUUCUGGCAAGUGAACCAUCACGUGCAUCAUACUUGUGAAGAAAGCUGAAGGAAAUAUCAUCUCAAACUUGCAUAGGACUUGGACAAUGUCAUGGCGCAACUGAAACAUGUCCGUCUUUCGCAAUGUUUUUGCCGUCAGUUGGGAAAAAAAUCUGGAUAACAAGAUAAUUGGCUUCACCACAUCUUCCGGCAGUAGGUGUCGAAUACCCACAGGAAGUAAGCGUUGCAUAAACACAUGGCAGUCAUGGCUCUUAAGUCCAGUAAAUUUACCCCCAUCGACAUUCACGCAACGUGCGAUAUUAGAAGCAUACCCAUCGGGAAAUUUGACAGACGAUACAAACUUUAGAAACUCUUUUUUGUCAUUCGGUUUCAUAGAGAAGAAUGCAAGAUCCCUUCUAGCUUUAUCACUGUCCCUAUUCAUCCAUAAACCCCUUCGUAUGCCCAUUCUUUCCAAAUCAAGACGAGCUUUGAUCGUGUCCUUCGUCUUCCCCUCGAUAUCUAGAAUCGUGCCCACCAAUGUGUCGAAUACAUUUUUCUCAACAUGCAUCACAUCUAGAUUGUGCCUCAAUUUCAGUUUCGACCAAUAUGGGAGCUCAAAAAACAUAGGCUUGUGCGUCCAGUUCAAAUGUGUAGAAGGUCUGGUCCGACUAACUGUUUUCCCGAACGGAGCAAAAUCCAAACGGUUCAGCUGUUCCAAGAUCUCAUCACCGGACCAUUCUCUAGGUCUGAGGCGACGCUCUGUGUUCCCGUCGAACUCUUUAUCUUUUUCUCACCACUCGUGGUCCCAUGGCAACCAUCUCCGAUGACCAAGGUAACAAACUUUUCCCGCGUGCCAACCAGAAGUUACAUCUUCCUUGCAUACAGGACAUGCCAUAUAACCCUUUGUGCUCCACCCAGAAACCAUUGCAUAUGCUGGAAAAUCAUUCACAGUCCACAUAACUGCUGCUCGCAAAGUGAACAUCCUCCCAGUUGAUUUAUCGUACGUGCGAACACCGUUUUUCCAUAAAUCCUUCAGCUCAUCAACCAGAGGCCUUAAGUACACAUCAAUUGACCUGCCAGGAUCCUCAGUUAUCAAAACAGUCAUCAUCAUGUAUUCUUUUUUCAUGCAUUUCCAAGGCGGCAAAUUAUAUGGGAAUGCGAAAAUCGGCCAAGUGCUGUGGUGUUGGUUUAGAACCCCAUACGGAUUGAAUCCGUCAGUGGCAAGUCCCAAUCUUACAUUUCGGGGAUCAGCAGCAAACUCGGGGAACGUUCGAUCGAACUCUUUCCAUGCCUCCCCAUCUGCAGGAUGCCGCAUCACAUCAUCGUCUACCCGUUUUUCCUUAUGCCAUCUCAUGUCUGUGGCAGUAUGCGUCGACAUAUACAAUCGCUGCAACCUAGGUUUAAGGGGCAGAUAACGCAUGACUUUUUGUGGUAUCUUAGUCGUUCUAUUCUGGGAUGUCAUUUUGAACCUCGACUCAUUGCAUAUAGGGCAUGUAUCCAACGUUUCAUGCUCUUUGUAGAAUAACAUGCAAUUGUUUUUGCAAGCGUGGAUUUUUUCAUAACCCAAUCCAAGACCGUGCAACACCUUCUGUGCAUGUUUAUGGUCUUUCGGCAAACAAUUGUCCGUUGGAAGCAUUCUCUUGAAAACCCCCAAAAAGUAAUCGAAACACAAGUUCGACAUACGAUACUUUAUUUUUCCAUGCAUUAGCUCCACAAUGGCAGUGAGAACGGAAAAGCUCUCGCACCCCGGGUAUAACUCUUGGUUGGCAUUUUUUAACAGUUUUUCAUACUGUUCAAACUCCGCACUGUCUAUUGGUGUAGGCACGUCAUCUUCCCCUUCCUGAUUGAUGUUGGUCGAUGCGAAUGGAAAAGCAUCCUGUAUAAUACCCAUGACUUGAUCAUUAGGAUCCACAAUAGGUUCAACAUUGUCCACUCUUGGGGCAUUUGAAGACGAAGCAUGGUCUACUUGUUCGCCGUGAAGGUUCCAAAUGCUAUAUGUUUCAAUCAUUCAAUUCCUUACUAAAUGAAAUCCAACAUUUUCAAUUGUCUCCCACAACGUGUUGUUACACCUCCCACAAGGACAACGGAUUCUAGUUGCACCCGGGUUGUGUCUACGUGCAAACUCAAUAAAAUCCUCGAUUCCAUCCAAGUAUUCGUCUGCGCAUCUAUUCGAGUUCUGUAUCCACCUUCUGCUCAUAAUUCCUGAAACCACAAUCACGACACAACAAUCACAACAACUUCAUACGAAGUUAUAAUGUCACCUUAUGCCUCCGGUAAGGGCCCUAUCCCAUUCGGGAAUGCAUAGUCCUGUCACGUAACCUACUGCUACAUGAGAUUAGAUUUCGACGUGGAUUAAUUUCGGCAGCAUCUCGACACAGUUCUUGAAGUGGGCAUAGGUAUAAAUACCUACGUACCACCCGAAGAACGUACCGAGAUGACACCGAAAUCUCCACAAUCGAAACCUAAUCCUGUAGCCAAAGAUUAUGUGACAACACUAUGCAUUACCAAACUGUCCAAAUAAUGGGACAAUUCAAGAAUUAAUUGGACCGCAGUCAUGCAUUACGCAUCCAUGCACGAAAUCCAACUAAUCUCGAACGGGAAACUACGUGUUACUAAACAUAAAAAUAAAAGUACGAAGUUAAUUUCAAUUAACUUCGUACAUCACAACACAUUGUGCUAUGUCACGCACAAUUUCACAACAUUAUACACAUAUAACUUCACAAAAAAAUUACAAACAUAACAAACAAACUUUUACAAUAACAUACCUUCUCAAUCGUUCUCCACCAAUCACCAAUCACAAAUAUCCCUAACGAUAACAAAAUUAAUAGCGUUACUACGAAUUUACAUUAAUACAUUUAAACUAACGACAAAAAAUACAUACCCAAUGAACGUACUGAAUUCACAGCAGAGCAACGGUAGGGAGAGUGAGAGAGAGGCAGAAUGCAAUGGGAGAGUGAGAGAGAGGCAGAAUGCAGAAACUGCAUUCUGCCUCUGCAAUGGCAGAUACUAAUAUGAAGAAGAAGGACUUUGCACGACGAACAACCCAAUCCGUCGCGCAAAAUGCCGUCGCGAAAACCCACUUUUCCGUCGCACAAAACAACAUUUCCGUCGAGCAAUUACCUGUCGACAUCUGCUUUUUUGCGCGACGAAUAACAUUAUCCGUCGCACAAAAGUUCGUGGCGCAAGGUUUAUAUUACGUCGCGCAAAUUAUUUAUUUCGUCGCGCAAGAAAGCACCGGCAUUACACUUUACGCGACGAAGGUAAUUCCGUCGCGCAAAAAAAGUUUUAUCCACCCUGCAUUUUGCCGCCAAAAAUAAGUAUCCCUCGUUUUCUUACGCGACGGUACGUGUUUCCGUCGCGCUAAGUUGUCUUUUGCGACGAAAACGUUCGUCGCGCAAAGUUUUUUACCGCAAAAAAAAUUAGACAAUUUUCUGUCCAUCUUUACGCGACAAAAUCUUUGGAUUGUCGCGCAAUAUUGUCAUGCGCGACGAUUGUUGUCGUCGCGCAAGAUUCUGGCGCAAAAAAAAAAACCGGGGUUUUUUCCCCGACCUUUGCGCAACGAAAUUAGUUUUGGUCGCGCAUAGAUUGUUUGCGCGACGAAGAAAUUUCGUCGCGCUAGUGUUCUGUUGUUUGCGCUACGGUAUUUUUUUUUCGUCGCAAUAGUGAUUUUUGCGCGACGAAAACAUGUUCGUCGCGCAAACUUCCGUCGCAUAAAUAGUAAAUCGUAGUAGUCUCCAUUCUGCUGAGGGGUAUAGGCCAUUGUAAGCUGCCUUUGAAUGCCAUUAGCUUCACAGAACUCCAAAAAAUCAGUAGACAGAAACUCUCCACCCCUGUCACUUCUUAUGCACUGCACCUUGUGUCCAGUUUGUAAUUCAGUCAUGGACUUGAACUUCUUGAAACAAUAGAAGGCUUCUGACUUGUUUCUCAAGAAGUAUACCCAAAUCAUUCUUGUGAAAUCAUCUAUAAUCAGCAUAAAAUAUCUGUUCCUUGCAACAGACUCAUUUCUCAUGGGACCACAGAGAUCCACAUGUACUAGCUCUAGUACUUUGCUUGCUCUUUGAGCUUGAUCUUUUAGAAAAACAUUUCUGUGCUGUUUUCCAAAUUGGCACCCUUCACACACACCACUUUGUUCUUCCAAUUUUGGUAAACCAUGUACCAUUUCUUUAUCCCUUAGCUGCUUCAAUCCUCCAAAAUUCAGAGGACCAAGUCUCUUGUGCCAAAUCCAUGUGGAUUGAAGAAAACUAGUCUUCAUUAGUAACUGUUUUUCAACCAGAAAAGAGACAGGAUAGCAUCUGUUACUCUUCAUUUGCACCUUUAUGAUGAGAUAAUCCAUGGAUGGGCUAUCAAAUACCCUGCACAUCCCUUCUCCAAACACCAGACAGUACCCAUGUUCAUCCAUCUGCCCAACACUUAGCAGAUUUUCUUUCAAUCCUGGCAGAUACAUUACUUCUCUGAUGUAUUUCCUGCCCUUUGCUGUAUCAAUACUCAGUGAGCCAAUACCAGCUACACUCACUAGUGGACUAAUUGGCAUUUGUACUCUCCCAGCUACAUUAGUUCUCACAUCAACCAGCAAUUCUAAAUUUCCUGUCAUAUGAUUGCUGCAGCCACUAUCAAUAUACCAUUCAUUGGUUUUGAUCUCAGUGGUUGAGCAAUUGGCAUAAAACAGGUUUCCUGUAACCUCCAUUUGACUUACACAAUUAGCCUUCUGCACAUUUUUGCUCACUGUACAGUCUCUAGCAAGAUGUCCAAAUCUGUCACAGCUAUAGCAUUUUGGUUUUCCCUUAUACCUGCACUCACCAAAGUGAUGCUUUGAACACACCUUGCAUUGAGGCUUUGUGUUUUCCUGAUUUGAGAACUGUGUUGAAGUGUGGUUCUGUGCAGAAUAAUUAUUCUGCUGUGACUUGUCUUUUGCCUCCCAUGACUUCCCUUUAGAGUUCCAGCUUCUCUGUGACUUAGAUGAACCAGACUGAGAAGUAUUUUUGUUCUGACCCUUUGAAUUCACAGUGAAUGAGGCAAAUGCCUUCUCAGCUGUAUCAACACUAUGCAUUUCAAGCCUUUGCUCCUGACUCUUCAAAAUAGCAGUUACUUCCUGCAAAUCCACAGUUUCUAGUGUCUUUGUGUUUUCAAUCAUAAUGCAUAUAGGGUCAUACUUCUUACUUAGACUAAUUAACACCUUUUGAACCUGCCUCUCAUUUGACAGAACUUCACCAAAUGUUUUCAUUUGGUUAAUCAAUUCAGUUAGUCUAGUAAGAUAUUCAGAUAAGGUUUCACUAUCACGCAUCCUAGUGUAUUCAAAUUCACGUCUAAGGUUUUGAAGCUUUACCGAUCUAACAUGCUCUCCACCAUGAUAUUCUGAGUACAGCAGAUUCCAAGCCAUCUUUGCAGAGUCAGCAUUUGCAAUUCUGGAAAAAAUCUGAUCAGAAACAGCAUUUUGAAUGAUACCAAAGGCCUUCGCAUCCUUCAUGAGAAUCGCAGCUGUUUUCUCAUCAACUUCUUCUUCUGAACCAUCCUCAGAUUCCUUCUUCGUCUUUGAAUCUAGGAUUAAAAACCCCUUUUCUACCAAACCCCAUAAACCAUAUGAUCUGAAUAUGGUUACCAUCUUAAUCCUCCAAAAUUCAUAGUUCUCACCUGAGAAAAUGGGGAUUCUAGCCUCUGAACUUCCAAAUCCAGCCAUUACGAAUUUCAGAUUCACCUGGAAACAAGAUGUCUUCAGAUUCGACCCUUGAUCGAGCUCAAUCAGCUUCGUGAGCUUAGAAUGAGCUCACCUCGAUCGAUUUUCUUCACAGAACAACGCCCAGCUUUAGAUAAUCCAACCUGGCUCUGAGGCCAUGUUAGAGUUUUAGGAUCUGUGUAUGAGAUUUUGUGAGAAGAGAGAAGAGAAUUUAAGAAAACUUGAAGAAAUCCAAAACUGCUCUGCUAUACGUGUAGCAGAGAGAACAUUCUCAUUAGCUCAGAUUUUCAGUACUACAACACACUCUUAGUGUGAGGAGAAAUAACCGUUAUGCACAGUACCAGCUGGAUGCAUUUUAUCAAAGCAAUCUCAGCCAUUCACUAUCUAACCAAUCAAGCUAUGACACCUGGACUAAGUAUAAAGAAAUACAAAUAAGCAGAAAACAAAACUCUUAAUCCUGAAAUCAACUUAAGCACUUAUAAUUCAACAAAUUUUGCACUCAUCUUCACCUAAAAUUACAUUAAAAUAAGAAAAGGGGGUGGAGUAGAUGUUAGUUUGACAAGAUUGUGUAGCUCGUGAUGCGACUUUAGGCAUUUGGACUUUUGAAUACAGAUUAAACGAAUACAUAAAUCAAACUUGGUAAGUGAUUAUUUACACAUCUGACUUACAAAGGGUGGGGAUCGAUUCUAACUUAACUAGGUUGAGGUGAUUUCAAAUUUAAAUUUUCAUAACGAUGCUUAGUACAAACUGAAAGUGAUUUCAAAAGUAAAAGGUAAGGAAAGUUUACCUGUAACAUCAACAAAGACAUCAUGUGUUAGUUUGUGCAUGCGAUAAUAUCGAUAAGCAAAAAGAGCCCCAAUCAAAAGAAUUACUGUUACACCACAACUUGCCGAAGUUAUAACCGUUCCAAGUUUUGAUUUCUUGGUUGAAACUGCCAAAUUUUAAAAUCUUAGGUUAUUCCUAGGUAAUUCAAACAUAGUUGGUAAACUGAAAUAGUAGAGUUGUACAAAGAAUAAACCUCGGAGAACAGAGCCAGAAGCACAAGGCUGCUUCAAGCUAGAACCACAAGCAAGACGUGCUCCUGUAAAACUGUAAGGAUAAAACAAUUAAUAGCAAACCAUUAAGGAUAUAUAAUAUAACUACUGGACAAGUAUACAGUAAGUUGCAAAUUAUAGAAUGUAGACGCAAUGCUGAAGGAAAAUAUUAUAAUAACGGAAAGGUCAUCUAGAACCAAAUUACACAACAUUGGAACCAAAGACGCCAUUUUUUAUUAUAAUAAGUAGGAAUUUAAGCAUUUGAAAAAUAAUAUAUAUACAUCCAAAAUGACACUCGUGCUUGAUGAAACUAUUAUAAGUGGCAGUCCAGAAGUCAGAUCCUAUACCUCGAACUUACUGUAAUAGAAGAAGAACUAAACUCGUCUCUUAAUGACCAUAGCACCAUUUCAUGAUAAAGACAUUAUCAUACAUCUUUAGUGCUGGAACUCUCUCAAACCUCUUAGUCAGCCCAGUCCUACACCAACAGUAGGGGUGGGCGAAACCAGACUGAACCAGACCGAACCGGCUAGUUUGGUUAGGAUUUUGACAAAAAUUAAGGUCAUACGGUUCAAAAUCCAACUCAGUUCAGCUGGUGGUUUCAAUUCCCUCAGGAACGAGAGAACAUAACCGAAUAAUUUCUCACUCUUUUUAUUAAUUCCACCCGUAUCCCUCCUAGAUAAUCAUCUUUUUCCCCUAGCUCUAGCCACAUAAACCUAUCUCUCCAGUGAAGGAAUUAAACAAAGACAUCCUUCGCAUAACUCCUUUAGCAUGCAGACAAACACAAAACAAGGAUGUAUUUAAAAAUAAUAUAAAUUAUAUGAGUAUGAUAUAUAUAUAUAUAUAUAUCCAAUUUUCUAUAACAGGGUUAACCGUACUUACGGAUAACCAAGGUCGCCCGACCAGUGCAUGUUGGUAAACUGGCCGUGCAAAAUCUCUUACAAUAAGAAUUCGUACUUAUUGCUGAUGCCAAUACAUCAAUACAAGGGAAUAUAAAAGGAAAUGAGAAUCAGAGUUUAAUGGGAUUUACUUGAAUUUUGGAAUUGUAAAGAAUUGCAUUGGAACUCUUCCGGUUAACUCAUUCGAUGAAAGAUCCCUGCCCAAAAAAAAAAGGAAUUUAUAAAUGGUAAAGAAUUUCACACAGUGUGCAAGCUCAGAUAGGCAUGCAAUUAUAUUUAGGCAAUAAGUCAAACAGCAGGAUUGCGAAAAAAAGGAAUUGCUUACAGUUCAGUCAACCCGCUAAUGUUUGAAAGUGAAUCCGGAAUAUGUCCAGAUAUGUGGUUACCCCUCAAUACCCUGAAGCACAGGUGAGAUGAUUAAUUUUUCUUUUCUGGAGAACAGGAAAGUGUUCACAAGAUAGUACUUUCCAAUAUAAACAGUUGUAGAACACUCAGAUAAGACAACAGCAUAAGUAACUGCUACAGAUCAAGGCAAUUCCCCAAUAAAUACAAGAACAUUUUACAUAUAUAGACAAAAAAGAAAGUUGGAAUCUUUUAGGAAGGGAAAUGCAGCCUUACAAAUGCUUUAAAUUGGACAGUUGACCCCAGGUAUUGGGUAUAGGACCUCUGAAAUUAUUGUUUGCAAGAUUUAGUUUCUGUAGUUGUGUCAUGUUGGCAAGAUAAAUGGGUAACAGGCCCGUUAGACUAUUAUCCUGGAAGUCCCUGCAUAAAUAAAGUUAUUUUAUCAAAAUUCAGAAGGAUUUUGGGACCACGGAUGGUGUUUCUGAGUAGGUAGUACUGAGACGAAUUCGUAGACAUGCGGUAGGCUUGAAUCGGAAUUGUAACGAAAAAAUUACGGGCAAAACACUAUCAGUGGCAAAACUGUAAAUAUUUCAAAAAGUUUGGUAAAAAUUAGAUUUUUCACCUCAGCUCUCUCUCUCCUCGUGCGCGCUCGACACUCUCUCUCUCCUCAGUCUCUCUCUCUCCUCGACACCGACUCUCUCUCUCCUCGGUUCUCUCAGCUCCGGCCACGGCAGGACAAGAGACCGGUCCCGAUCGAUCCACCUUGAUGUCCCGAUCAAGACCUGCCCGUUUUCCCCGUCGGAAACCACGAACUCCGGCUGCGAGCUCGACUGUUUUGAACCGGAGCUUUCUCGCUGCUGCCUCCGCCGCCCAAACCCGGUGAGUGAGCUAUGGUUUCUCAUCCAUUUUUCGAGCCCUAGCUGACUGUUGUAUAGGUUUGGACCGAUUCGUUGUCUAGGAAAUCGAUUAGAAAAUCUAGGUUUUGGCCGGAUUUCAAAAUGAAAUUUCGGCCAGUUGCCGCCCGAAUUGGACCUUCCCAUAGUUGAAUGAAGUGAUCCUGACCUUGAGUAGAAGCUAGGGUAGGAAGGGUGAGCUCGGGUGUGAAGUUUUUCCGUUCCCGGAAUUACUCUACACACCCACGCACUGCCGGCAUGUGGACAAGGCUGGUGAGGUUGUAAAUUAACCCGAUGAGAUCCUUAGGUUGUCACGAGAGCAUAGGAAUUCGCGGAUCUCAAUUCGGAUGUCGUUUGGCUAUCGAACGAAUUUUCGCAUAUUGUGCGUUAUCCAGGUUCGAUAGGUUCCGACCGUUAGAUCUUUCCCGAAUUAAAAUAUGUUGUUCUAGGUAUUCCUAGGACCAUAUGGGACUUCACGAAUUAUGAAUCGGAGCCCCAGAUGUUCCGAUUCAAUAAUGCAAAGUUUGCGGGUUAACGAUAACCGUAAAAUCGCGAACGAUUCCUAAACCUGUAAUCGGACCUUAGGAUACCUUCUUCAAUGUGCACGUAUGGGGAAUUUGGGAUUUAAGCAUUCAAUUUGUGAUUUUCGCUUCGACGUAAUUUUAUAUUAAUUAACGGUUCGUAUCUCGAAAUAGGUGUUUCGACUGCACGUACUCAGCAGGCAGGACCCUCACGUGGUCAGGAAGCGUGGGAAUACUUGUGAGUGGACUUUGUUUUCAAUCAUAUGCAUGGUUUUAAUUGAUGAAAGAUUUUUGCAUAAUGUUUUAAUGGCUUAUUGAAUAUAUAUUAUAUUCAUGAGUUGAUUAUGUUGGUUGUAUAGCGCUUGGCAAUAUAUUGUGAGUUUGGCAUUGUGGGUUUUGAGAGUGCAUUUUAUAUGGUUGUGGAGAAGUAUAUUUAUAUAUUCUCUAUAGACGAGAUACUUGGGUUGUUGAAGGGUGUUGUGGAAGAAUUUGAUUUUUGAGAGAAGUUGUAUGAUUACACUAUGUAAGUACCUUCCCCAGUUAUCAGUCUCACUCGCGGCGUUGGAUGUUCCGGCGUGUAAGACACUUUCCAUAUGUGGCGUUGGAUGUUCCGGCGUAUGAAAAGACUUUGUAUAGUGUUUAGGGUCAUCACCAUGGCGUUGGAUGUUCCGGUGUGUGCUGAUCCAGUCUGCGCGCGUAGGACAUAGUUUAGGAGCUACACAUGGCGUUGGAUGUUCCGGUGUGAGAGCUUUGGAGUUUCGUCCCCCGGUUGGACCGCUCAUCCCUAGACACAGGAUAGCACCUGAAAAUCCUACGGACUAGUCAAACGAUCCCCCAGUUGGAUUGUUUCCCCGGUACCUAGGUGGUGUGAUGAGUAUAUCGUAUAGCUAUUUAUAGUUAUAUAUAUAUGUAUAUUUUUAUGUAUACGUAUAGUUGAGUGAGUGAAGAAUUAGAGUUUUUCGGUGGUUUGACAGGAGUUGUAAGAUUGAGAGAAUGGGAUUCUUUUUUAAGGAGAUAACUGGUGUUUUAGAAUAGUUUUAAUGAAUGUUGUUUUGAGUAAUUAUUUAUUGAAUUGUGAACCUGCAUGACUUGAGCAUUAUUUUUACAUGGUGGGGUUACUAUAUUGUUUUUAACUGCAAAUCUGGUUUUUGUCCACUCACAUAUUUUCUGUUUUGCGCACCCCAGCCAGUAGUCGGUCCAGGAAGCAUGCAAGUGGUGUACGAGGCUCGAACUGUGAAUCUUUCUAGUUAGGAACUGAGUAAUUUCUUCUACUCAACUGUUCUUGUAAUCUAAAUUCAGAAGAUAUUCUGUAUUGCCCAUGGUAGAUUUUACUUGUGAGGCCGGAGGCCACUCUAGUAUGACUUGUAGAAUUAAGAAAGCAUGCUGCUGGUUGGGAUUUUUAUUUUAUGUAUGUUGCAGGUUGAAUAGUUUUUGUUGGGAUUGCUUAAUUACAGGGGAGACUCUGCCAAAUUUUUGGUAGAAUGUCUCGGUUUCUUAGUAAGUGGGCCCGGCAUCAGGAAGAUGUCGGAAUAAAGACGGGGUCCACUUCGGUUUUCGGGAAAUUCCGAGGCGGGUCCUGUCACUCUCUCUCUCUCUUGGUACCAGAGCACAAACUAGUGAUCCAAAUCAGGUUUCAGCCAAUGGAUUAUGUUACAUUUUCUGACACCAUCAGCCCCAGAAUACUAAUGCAUCAAGAAGUUGACUUACAGGCUAGCCAAAAAUUUCAGUUUAGUAAUCGAAGGAGAAAGCGUUCCAGAAAAUCCAUUUGAUGCCAGGCUCCUGCAAAGUAGUACAUUCACAAACUAAAUGUACUGCAAUGAUAAAUGAUUUUCAAAGAUGGCGAUAUUAAUAAAAUAUAUAUUUUUCAUGAUCAUAAAAUUUAGUUUAACUUACAGGGAUAUGACAUUUCCAUUUCUACAAGUGACAUGAGACCAGCUAAAACAGGGGCUAACGAGAUUAUUAUUCCAAUCUGUUAUUCGGCCACUGGAAUCAUUCAGUGCCCUAAGCAAAUCGAUCAAUGCUUCACCUGCACAUUAUCGUAAGUGAAGAACGAAAUUGUAUGUAGAACCAUAAAUGGCCGGUGAAAAGAACUUUUGUUUAUAUUACAAUUCUGAUAAAUGAAAAAUGAAAAAUUCUUGGACUUAGGUAAGGCAGAACACAGAAACCAUGUGAGCACGGCAGUAGAUAAGGUAGAACACAUAAAGCCUGUGAGCACGAUAGUAGAUAAGGCAGAAGCAAUGACAAAGGGCAAGGCCACAGCAACAACAACGACAAUGACCACAUCAACGGAAAGCAAAGCAAGCAAAGACAACAUCAACGGUGGCAACAUCGACCACAACAGAAACACACCAGCAAAGGCAUAAGCAACAAUACUAGCACCAUAACAUGCAUGAGCAACAAUACUGGUACCGAACAACAGCAAUAUAAGGCACUGGCACCAGCAAGAGCAUUAAGGCAGGGACAUAACAGGCAUCAUCAACAGUAAUCAACAUUGUCCCCAACAAGAGUCAUAAUAGGCAGGAGCAAUAAUAUUGUCCCUAACAAGAGACAUAACAGGGAUGAGCAACGGUACUGGCACCAGCAAAGGACAUAGUAGUCAGUAGCAAUAACAAUGACAAAUACUUCCAUUAUCGCACAAACAACUUAUCUUCACUCCCCCUCUUCCCCUGAAGAGAACGGGUCAUCAGAACCAUAAGAGAAGUGGCACUUAAGAAACAGAAGUUGACUGACGCUCAAAUGUAGAAGAAUCAGUCAUGGCAGAUAGGUAGCUAAAUUGCAGUGGAAUAGAUAAGCAGCGAUGUCACUCCCCCUCAAAUCCGACGAUGUAUGAGAGUCGAGAUUUGGAGAAAGCAAUACCGAAAAAUAAAGUUGCAGCACCCAAAUAAAGUUGCAUCUAUUUCCCCAUCAAAUCUGACACUGGUAAAGGGUCGAGAUUUGGAAGAAGAUAAAUUGAAAUAAUAGUAAAGAGACUCAAACAUGCCAGUCUCGUGGCAGAAACAAAUGCAAGAGGGGAAGGUGGUAGCAUACGGCUGUCCCAUGUAGAAAAAACUUUAGAAAAAGAGAAUAGUAAGGGAGGAAACCCAACAAAUCAUGAACAAAGACAAAGACAAAGAUAAGGUGCUCAAACAGGAAUUAGAGCAAAGGACACCGAAAAAAGGAAACCUUUCAUGUGUGGAAUAGGAAUAGAUAGAGUGCCCAUCAAAGGGAAGCAAUAUUAUAUAAGGGAGUUGUGAAAGCGAGAGAUAAUGCAGUGAGAAAACAACAAAAUGGAAAAGGUUGGUAAAAGAAAGAUGAGAAAUAGAGAGGACCUGAAAAGAGUUUGGUUGCAUAGCAGGGGAAACCACAUCGAUAGAUCAAAGAGGAAGAAACUAAAGAUAUUUAAAAAGUAAAGCAUGGGAAAUUGCAUGUGACAAUUUUUAAAAAGAAACUAGUGGAAGAAAGUGAGGUGCUAGAACCGAAAAAAGCAUAGAAUAACGCUGUGAUUGAAGGAAAAUAAUGACAAAGGAAGGUAUCUGUGAGGAAAUAGACAAACAGAGAAAGGGAUGAAUAUUGGAAAGAGGCCAAAGGUAGAAAGAAAUAAGCAUAAGGGUAAAAGGGAAGGAGAUAGAAAAAUAAAUAAUAAACACCCAACGGGAAAGGCUAGAGUGACAAAGCUGGAGAGAUGGCGUGGGGAAAGAACACAACAAACACCAGCCAUUGGGCAUAGACAAACAAAAGAGAUAAACAUAAAUAAAAGAGAGCUAAAUAGAGCAAAGAGAGAAACAAAGAAAGGGUGCUCAAAACUGAGAAGCAGAAAGGCAACUCAAGAGAACAGCCGAAGACGACAGAGAUUUGCAGAACAGUCAAAGGAAAGGCUCGGCGAGUGGUGACAAGGCUCGUGGAGGAAAGCAACGGCUCAGUGAGGGGUGAUGAGGCUCACGGAGUAAAAAGACCUGUUAUGAAGUUUCAAAGAUAAAGAAGCUGGGACAUCAAGAAAGACCAUCUGGCAUACAAAGAUUAAAAAUUAAAAAAUUUGGAACAAUAGCAAAGAAGCAUGUGAAGGCUAGGUGUGGUGAAAACACAUAUGAGAGGAUUGAUCAAAAGAAGAUGACUAUACAAGAUGAAGACCUAUGAUGGGUUAGGAAUGAGGAGUGCCAACGACUCUCAAUUUGACAGAGGUUAUCACAUGUUAGAAACUAGGCUCUGAUACUAUGUCAAACAAAGUAGGGUAAAUAUUCAAUUAUGCUCAGAUACGCUCAUAUUUUUACUCUUCUCCAAUAUGGAGGUAUUUAUACAAGUACAAAGCUGUGUUAACCCUAAAUAAAAUAAGAAAUAUAUCUAAAUUACAAUAGGAAGUAAAUCUCUAUUACAAUAGGACUAAAUAAUAAUUGAUAAGUAACCAAAAUUCUAAUAAAAUUAGGAACCAAAAUCCUAAGUAAGUAAGGAACCAAAAUCCUAACUAAAUAAGGACUUGCUAACAGCACAAUCUUGAUGCACUAUGAGAAUCGAGGCGCUGGCCACAAUGUUGGACGAUGCCAAUGCAUCUCCCAAGGGUCCGAGCUCCGGGCAGUCACCCCACUCGGAUAGCCCGAACAUGAGUGGUGAGGAACCUGUUUGCCCUCUUCCCACGAUAUAAAGAUCAUAGUCAUUUCCCAUGGCGCUUAUCAAUUUGAGAGUUUCUUCUCCAUUGUUCAACACCUCGUGAAUUAAUUUUAUGGAAGGUUGGUUCCUAGUAUUGAGCACAAAGCUCUCUAUAUAUUGGUCAUCUAGUUGUUUCUCCUUCUCAUUUUCCUCUAUCACCUCUAAAAUAUUCUUCUUUUCGUCCUCAUCAUGAUCGUGAUCAUUAUUAUUAGGAUUGUUGGGAGGGAGAUCUGAAUGAACUGCCGCAUCUUUACUGACGAUGAAAACAACCACAGUUAAGCUGAUAUUAGGUUUAGGGUUAGGAUUGCUGGCCAUCCUCCAUGCAUAUGCCAAUGCCUCGCGGUCAUCUGACCCACUAAUGAAGAGCAUGGCACAGCGGCAGCAGCCAUGGCCAUCUUCAUUUUUAAUGUUAGAUGAAUCGGUGAGUCCACGAUCCACGAAGAUGGCCACUAAACAAGAAGCGUUCUCUAGAAGGUUCUUGUUAAUGCCUCUAAAAGAGGGGUUUCCGUUGUCCAUUCCCCCGUCAAUGGUGGAUUGCUUGUGGAAAGGAAUGAUUAUGAGGUCUGCACUCUUGUCGUCCGCAAGAUUGCAAAUGUCCUCAUGCAUGGAGGCGUAAGAGGACACAACAGUUAGUGCCUCCACGAACAAGCUGCUUUCUUCACUUUCGGUCUCAAGUUUUUCAAAAGAAGCGACAAUUUGGUCAGAAGGCGAAGAGUGCUUUUGAUUUUUGGUUGUAAUUUUACUUGUCUUACGAAUAUUGCUGCAUGUGUCGUGGACUAUGAGCAUGGCAGAAGCAUGGCCACUGAGCUCCCUCAGAUGGACCGCAAAGAUGAACAUCGGGGAUUGUUUGGUGGGAUUGGAAAUCUCCAACAGAUUGAUGACGCUUGAAACAUUGCUUGUUGAAUGGAAGCAAGUAAGGAUUCGAAACUCUGAGUUGGGUUGUAUGCUUCUUAUGCUUCUGUGCGUGUGCUGCUUAGAUGGCACAUUCGACUUGUAAAUCAAAGCCGAAAUGGGUCCAACCGCUGCCGUCAUUAUCAAAAUUGCAAGCAUCAUUACUGAAAAAGUAUUGUGGUCCAAAACCUGCAUUUAUAUAUAUAUAUAUAUUUGCCAAUUAAAACAAUAUAAAAUCAGGAAUUUAACCUGCAAAAUUAUAUAUAUAUAUACACACACACAAAAGAGAGUAUUAAUUAGUUAUUAUUGUACGUUAAUUCAUGAAAAUGAAAUGGUGAUGAUGAAUAGGUAGGACCUAAAGAGAGUAGUUAGCUGAUUAGAUUAGUUUGUUAUUAGUUACUCUUGUAAGUGAUUAGUUAGAGCUGUUGUAACAGCCUGUACAGGUGGCUUUAUCUAUUGUAUAGAGUAGACAAGUGUUAUAUACUCUUCUGUAAUCUUUUCUCAAUUAAUUAAAUGAGAAUCAUAAAUUCCUUUAUGGUAUCAUACGCCUAUUCGAUCCUCUCUCCCUUUUCUUCCAACCUGUGAUUUUCUCACCAACCAAACAGUGCUUUUCUCAUCAACCAAACAGUUUCUUCCGCUCUAAUUCUCUGAUUUCCAUGGCUUCUAAGACCAAUUCUUCUUCUUAUGCGCCUUCUGUCUCUCUCACAUCGUCUUCAAUCCCUGCUUUUGCGACUGUUACUGUUCAAAACAUCGCAGGCAUGGUUCCGAUCAAACUUCAAGCUGGCAAUUAUUUGUUGUGGAAGAAUCUUUUUCUUCCUGUUCUUCGCAAAUACAAGCUCCUUGGCCUUCUCACCGGUGCUGAUCUGCGGUCGUCGAAGACAAUUGUUAACGAUGCUGGUUGCAUUGUUGAUAAUCCCGCCUUCGAUCUGUGGUAUGAUAAGGAUCAAUCACUCAUGAUCUGGAUCAUCUCUACUCUCUCGACGGAUUUGCUAUCUCAUACGGUUGGCAUUGAGUAUUCUCGUGAUCUCUGGGAGAUGUUGGAAAAACAUUUUGCUGGAGUCUCUCGUGCAAAUGUUCAUCAUCUUCGUCAGCGUCUUCAGAAUCUUGUCAAAGGGGAUCUGUCUAUGGUUUCCUAUCUGCAACAGAUGAAGGAAAUUGUUGAUGGCUUGGGCGAUGCUGGAUAUCCUCUAACUGAUGAUGAUUUGGUGGCUUACAUUCUUGCAGGUCUCUCUGAAGAGUACGAUUCCUUCGUCACUUCUAUUGAAACUCGUCGGGAAAAAGUUUCCUCUGAUGAACUUCACGGUUACCUUCUCGGUCGUGAAGCUGCUCUUCUGAAGCGCAAACUCCGAUCCAAUUCCUCUGGACCUACGGAACCGUUUCAUGCUUAUGCCGCCACUCCUCGUUCUUCACAGCACUUUUCUCGCUCACGUGGUUCCAACAACUCUUAGCACUUUUCUCGCUCACGUGGUUCCUCCCACUCGUGGUCUGCUUCCGUCACCGCCUUCCAAUUUUGCCCCAAAUUUUUCUUCUCCUCCACAAUUUGGUGCGCAAGGGUUUCACAGCCCCAAUUUUUCUCGAAAUUCAAUCCCUGGGGGUGGUAAUUCCAAUUUAGGAGGUUCUUCUUCAUUCAAUUCUGCUGGUUUUUCUUCUGGCCCUGUUCUUGUGUGUCAGUUCUGCAACAAGAAAGGUCAUGCCGCUAACACUUGUCGCAAAUUGGGCCGUCUGCUCAAUGCUUCUAGCAGUUCUUCAUCUUCUGGACCAUUUACUGGCUACUAUGCUAAUCCACAGUGUGCUGCUUCCUCUCCUUCUUGGAUUGUUGACUCUGGCGCUACUGCUCAUGUGACUGCUACUAAUCAGCACCUGCAGAAUUCUUCUCCAUUCACUGGCUCUGACUCUUUGCAAGUUGGUAAUGGUAAUUGCUUACCAAUUUCUCACACUGGUUUUACUCGCAAACACACUCCUUCUGCUGUUUUUACUUUAAAGGAUGUGUUACAUGUUCCUUCUAUUAAACACAAUUUGUUAUCGGCAAAUAAGUUUCUUCGUGACAACUCUUGUUCACUAACGCUCUAUCCUGAUUCCUUCACAAUUAAGGACUUAGCUACGAAGAGGAUGCUCUUCCAAGGUCUCAGUGAGGAUGGUGUCUAUCGACUUCCUACUGGUCCUGCAGCUCCUUUUUCAUCAAGUCCUUCAAUUGCUUUUCUGGCUAAUAAAUGUGAUAUCCUCACUUGGCACAAGAGGUUGGGUCAUCCUCACUUUUCUUUAUUUCGCAAGAUUGUUAGUGGCAAUCAUCUACCUGUUAGUGGUGACUUGUCUGAGUCCUUAAUAUGUUCUGAUUGUAUGGUUGGGAAAGCUCAUAAGCUUCCUUUUGUUAGUUCUGCACAUAAGUCCACCAAGCCUUUAGAGCUUGUGCAUUCGGAUGUUUGGGGUCCCAGUCCCACUGUUUCAGCUCUUGGUUAUAAGUACUAUGUUUUGUUUCUGGAUGAUUACACUAAAUACGGCUGGUUGUAUCCUUUGAAAUAUAAAUCAGAUGUGCUUGCAACUUUUAAAGUGUUUAAGGCCAAGUUAGAAAACUUGUUGAACUCUAGGAUCAAGAUCUUGAGGAGUGAUUCGGGUGGUGAGUACUUAAGUACUGCUUUCCAAGAUUUUUUAAACACAGAGGGUAUUGUGCAUCAGUUGAGUUGUCCACACACCCCUGAACAGAAUGGCAGUGCCGAACGCAAGCACAGGCAUAUUGUUGAGCUUGCUAGGACACUGUUUGCUUCUUCUUUCCUUCCACAUCGCUUUUGGGUAGAUGCUUUUCAAACUGCCUUGUAUCUCAUCAAUCGGUUACCCUUUACUUCUUCUGCACAGUCUCCUUGGGAAUUGUUGUUUAAACACACUCCAAAUUAUACUACUUUGAAAGUGUUUGGUUGUCUCUAUUUUUCUUGGUUACAACCAUAUAGUUCCUCAAAGUUGGAUCCUAAAAGCAGGCCUUGUGUCUUUCUUGGAUAUAGCUUAAAUCAUUCCGGUUAUAGAUGUCUAGAUAUUUCUCCUGGCAAGCUUUUUAUUUCCAGGCAUGUUCUUUUUAAUGAAACAUCUUUUCCUUUUGCAACCCAAGCUCCCUCUGUUUCAUCUUCUCCUAUCUCUGCUUCUUCAGUUCCUAUUUCUCUUACUUUUUCUUUCCCGAUUUCUCCUACUUCUCCUUCCUCUUCACAAUCCCCUAGUUCCAUUUCUCCUUCUUCUGAAUCUGUUCUUUCUUUACCUUCUCAAGAACAAAUCCUUCCUUCUCUCCCUUCUCAGGAAUCUGUAGUUCCUUCUUCUCCUAAUCGUCAUCCUAUGGUUACUCGAUCAAAAAGUGGAAUUUUAAAGCCCAAGGCUCUCUCUGCAACUAAGCACCCUAUUCCUACUUUUGUUCAGUCUACUACUUUAAUUCCUCCUACUCCUCAGACUUAUAAGCAAGCAGCAACCCACAAAGUUUGGAUUGCUGCCAUGGCCUCUGAAAUUGCUACUCUUCAAAAGACUCAGACAUGGACCCUGGUCCCUCCCAAUCCCUCUUAUAAUUUAGUGGGUUGUAAGUGGGUUUUUCGGACCAAGUUUAAAUCUGAUGGGUCUGUUGAUAAGUUCAAAGCUCGUUUGGUUGCUAAAGGGUACAAUCAACAGGAAGGUAUUGAUUUUCAUGAAACUUUUAGCCCCGUGGCAAAACCUGUUACUAUUCAUCUUUUGUUAUCCUUAGCUGUGCAAUAUGAUUGGUUCCUUAAUCAACUUGAUGUCAGUAAUUCUUUUCUGCAUGGGUUCUUGAAGGAAACUGUGUAUAUGAGCCAACCACCAGGUUUUCAUGAUCCCUCCAAGCCUGAUUUUGUUUGCAAGUUGAAUAGGAGUUUGUAUGGUCUUAAGCAGGCGCCCCGGGCUUGGUAUGAGGAGCUCUUUAAAGCACUUAUUUCUCUGGGUUUCAGAUCAUCACAAGCUGAUUCCUCAUUGUUUAUUAAGGGUGGCUCUUCUUUAAUCCUAGUUUUGGUUUAUGUCGAUGACAUUAUUGUGACUGGGAACAAUAAUGCAGCCUGUCAAGCUCUUAUUCAGCAACUCAGUGAAAAAUUUCCUGUCAAAGACUUGGGUCCUUUGCAUUUUUUCCUUGGGUUAGAGGUUAAACGCACUGCUUCUGGUUUAUUCUUGUCUCAGACUAAAUAUGCUUGUGAUCUUCUCCAGCGAACUGAUUUUCUUGGUGCCAAACCAUGUGCCACUCCCUUGGGGUCCUACAAAUUGGACAAUUCUGGAAUGUUGCUUUCUGAUCCUACUUUCUAUAGAUCUACAGUUGGUGCUCUUCAAUACUUGACAUGGACACAGCCUGAUUUGUCCUUUGCUGUAAAUUUGGUAUGUCAUCAUCUUCACCAACCUCGCACUAAUCAUUUGGGUGCUGUAAAGAGAAUCCUUAGAUAUCUUAAAGGUUCUCUUGAUAUGGGAAUCUGUUUUCGCAAAGGUCCCCUUGUUAUGCAGGCCUAUUUUGAUGCCGAUUGGGCAGGAUGCCCCUUGGAUCGUCGGUCUACUAGUGGUUGGUGUGUUUUUCUUGGUUCAAAUUUAAUUUCUUGGUCUGCCAAGAAGCAACCUACAGUUUGUCGCAGUUCUACUGAAUCUGAGUACAGAGGUAUUGCCAUGACUGCUGCUGAACUUGUUUACAUUGCUAAGCUGUUUAAAGAUAUUGGUUUUCAGCUUCCUUCUGCUCCGUUACUUUGGUGUGAUAAUCAAUCUGCCCUUCAUUUGGCUUCUAAUCCUGUUUUUAGUGCUCGCACAAAACAUGUUGAGGUUGAUUAUCAUUUCAUCAGGGAGUUGGUUCAGCAUGGUAUUCUUCAUUUACGGUUUGUUGACACUACUAAUCAGCUCACAGUUAUCUUUACAAAGUCUCUUCCUUCUGCGCCGCCACGAGCUUCUUGGUUUGGACUUGGCUCGAUGUCAUCUUCUUUGAGAAGCCUUCCGUCAUUGGAGCUGUCCAAGGAAUGAUCACUGGCCUCGUCUGCAUUACUCCUGCUGCAGGUACGAAUUACGUAAGUUCUCAAGUUGACUUUUUUCCCGCUUUUCAAACUUUGACCCAAAAAAAAACAAAGCAAAGUUGACUUAUAUUUAUCAUCCCAAUUAAUAAAAACAAAAUUAAUAUACUUACUUACUCGUCACAAAACGCAAUGCCUUCCAUUAAUUAAUCCAGAAAAAUUAAGUUUAUUUGACUUUUCACUACUUAUAUUUACGUUCCCUCACAGAACACGUUCUAGUUCUAUUUGGUAUCCUACUUGGAUCCAAUUUUAUAAACUCAAAAACAAAUUUGAAGUUUACAACCACAAAAACCCGUUUGAAAUGCCCCUUUUUAAAAACUCAAACUCAAGAAAAAUUCAAAAGCACCCUUUAUUAAAAACAAAAAAAAUGAGGUUUUAUAGUUUUUUUCUCUCUCCUCCCUCUCUCUCCUUCCUCUUCCGUCACUCCUUCUCUCUCCUCCCUCUCCCUGUCUCUUUCUCUCUCCUUCCACUCCUCUCUCUCUCUCUCUCUCUCUCUCCCCCCUUUUAUUUUGGAGGUUUCAAUUUGGGAAUUUAGGAUUUCUGAUUUAAAUUUCAAUUUUUUUAGAUCUUAAAAAUAGUUUGGAGUUCAAUACCAAAAAAGUUUUUAAAUCUUAAAAUCACCAUUUGAAAACUCAUAUUUUAAAAAAGAAUCAUAGUUUUUGAAAUUUUUUUUUUUUUUUUUUUUUGAGUAGGAUACCAAACAAGGCCAAUUUCCAAAAAAAAUUCUCAUAUGGUUCUCUAACGUUUUCUCUAAAUAUAUUUGCAUCUCUUUUUCUUUUUUUCUAUAUAUUAUUUAGCCAGUUUUUAACAGGAGAGGUGACUCAUGGCAUGUUGUGUUGACCAUGCACAGUCAUUUAAUUAACCAUAUUAACUAGCUAGCUUUUAUUUUAGUUUUGUUUGUUCAUAUACUGAUACAAUAUUAUUGUUUAAAUAUGUAAAUUAUUUAGGUCUGGUUCAAGGAUGGGCCGCUAUAGUGAUGGGAGUUAUGUCAGGCAGUGUGCCAUGGUUCACCAUGAUGAUAGUGGACAAGAGGUGGAAACUGCUAUCCGCAGUUGACGACACCCUUGGUGUAGUUCACACCCAUGCCGUGGCCGGGUUUCUUGGCAGCGUUUUAACGGGGCUUUUCGCUGAGCCUUGAACUAUGUGCACUCUUUUGCCCGUCACAAACUCGCGCGGAUGCGUGUACGGAGGCUCAGGAGGAAUGCAAAUCCUCAAACAAAUUGUGGGAGCCCUAUUUAUCAUUGGAUGGAAUAUUGUGGUCACCUCCAUUAUUUGCCUAGUCUUACGGUGUAUAGUUCCGUUGCGCAUGCCGGAGGAACAGUUGCUGAUUGGGGAUGACGCAGUGCAUGGAGAAGAGGCAUAUGCAUUGUGGGGUGAUGGGGAGAAGUAUGAUGUUACUAGGCAUGAACUUUGCUCCGAUGAUACGUCACACGCUCAAAAAUAUCCAUCCAGUGGUGCCACUCAGGUGGUCUAACUCAAAGUUAUAUAUUAUUUAUGUUAAUAAUCUGUUCCAAAAAGAAAAAAGAAAAAAAAGGCCAAAAAUGAAAAGAAGAAAAAACGAAGUACGAAAAAUAGGUGUUAUUGUCAAUUAUUAUCUUAUUUUCUAGUGAUCUUUUCAAUGUUUUAUGUAAACUGCCUAUUGACUCCGGUAAUUAUUAUGCACUUUAUUCAGCAAAAUUUGGAACACCAAACCAUUUUUAACAUGUUUAAGAUUAUUAGCCCCUUUUUUUAAUUUACAAAAUAUAAUCACUAGAGCCCUCUCGAAUAGUGUUACCCUUACUUGAACCCUAGCAUUAGUGCUUGGAUCUUUAUUAGUAACUACAAAGGCUCCAUUUGGUGGAGAGAGAUUUUCAUGCAACAGGAAUAACACUUUUUGUUAUCUUUGAUCAAUAGAGCAAUAACAUGCGGGAUAAUUCUUUCACGUGUCAUUGCAUUAUUGACCGAGAAUAGCUAAACAAUGAUAUUCUCAUUACAAGAAAUUUAUUUUUUGCAUUUGGUGGAUGGAUAAAAACACUUGAUUGGAUCCAUAAUCAUACUCUUGUGUUUAGUGGCCCAAGUCCACUUGGAUUGGAUUACUUCUAAAUUCUAUUCCUGUCAAACUCAAUUUUAGUAGGAUUAGGAAUCCCCCCAAACCUAGGGGUGGACAUUUAAACUAGAAAACCGAAAAACUGAGCCGACAAAAAACUGCAAUUUUGUACAGUUCUAGUUCUGAUUCUUGUAGUGAAAAAGCUUGACUGGGUCAAACCAGACCGACUACAUAUUUUUAAAAUUUUUGAUAAAUAUUUAACCCCAUUACUAAAUUUGUAAGCCUAUAACUAAUCUUUCUCUAAAUCACCUAUAUUUUUUAGGCCCAAUCACCUCCCUUUGCAUUAAAUUAGGUCACUUGUGAAUUUUUAAAAUUCAAAAAUAAAUUUUAAAAAAACAAGGGUAUACUAGUGAUUUGCCCCUGAACUUGUACUUAAUUUUCGAUUGACCCCCUAUCCUUUUUUUUUUUCGAAAAUUAAGGAAAUGAACUUUUUUUUUCUGCCAAUUUCCCCCAUAUCAUCUAAAUUCUCAACAUUUCAUCCAAUUUUCAGUUAAAUCAUUUUUUUAAAAUUACUUUUUUAAAAAAAAUUGAAGAAAAAUAGUAAACCUAAUGCCAACCCCUUCCAUCUCCUCCCUUCCUCCUCCCAUUCUCCCAUGCCCACCAUCCUUUUCUCCCAGACCAAUCCCCCACCCCGACACCUUUCAAUCCACAGACCCCUCCCUCCUCCUCUCCCUUUUUGUUCUUUCACCCACAGACUCAUCACCACCAUCCCCAACAGACCUUCCUCCCUUUUCGCCGUCACCGCCUCCUCUCUCUCUCUCUCUCUCUCUCUCUCUCUCUCUCCACACACACACACACUCCCUCAAUUUCCCACCCCAUCUAUCAAUUUCAAUACCUCCACAUUCAAAAAGCUCACAGUCGAUCCAAGCCUUUCAAUGCCUCCCAUCUCAAGCUUUUUCCAAACUCACACAAAACCCAUCAACCAAAACAUCAAAAAANNNNNNNNNNNNNNNNNNNNNNNNNNNNNNNNNNNNNNNNNNNNNNNNNNNNNNNNNNNNNNNNNNNNNNNNNNNNNNNNNNNNNNNNNNNNNNNNNNNNNNNNNNNNNNNNNNNNNNNNNNNNNNNNNNNNNNNNNNNNNNNNNNNNNNNNNNNNNNNNNNNNNNNNNNNNNNNNNNNNNNNNNNNNNNNNNNNNNNNNNNNNNNNNNNNNNNNNNNNNNNNNNNNNNNNNNNNNNNNNNNNNNNNNNNNNNNNNNNNNNNNNNNNNNNNNNNNNNNNNNNNNNNNNNNNNNNNNNNNNNNNNNNNNNNNNNNNNNNNNNNNNNNNNNNNNNNNNNNNNNNNNNNNNNNNNNNNNNNNNNNNNNNNNNNNNNNNNNNNNNNNNNNNNNNNNNNNNNNNNNNNNNNNNNNNNNNNNNNNNNNNNNNNNNNNNNNNNNNNNNNNNNNNNNNNNNNNNNNNNNNNNNNNNNNNNNNNNNNNNNNNNNNNNNNNNNNNNNNNNNNNNNNNNNNNNNNNNNNNNNNNNNNNNNNNNNNNNNNNNNNNNNNNNNNNNNNNNNNNNNNNNNNNNNNNNNNNNNNNNNNNNNNNNNNNNNNNNNNNNNNNNNNNNNNNNNNNNNNNNNNNNNNNNNNNNNNNNNNNNNNNNNNNNNNNNNNNNNNNNNNNNNNNNNNNNNNNNNNNNNNNNNNNNNNNNNNNNNNNNNNNNNNNNNNNNNNNNNNNNNNNNNNNNNNNNNNNNNNNNNNNNNNNNNNNNNNNNNNNNNNNNNNNNNNNNNNNNNNNNNNNNNNNNNNNNNNNNNNNNNNNNNNNNNNNNNNNNNNNNNNNNNNNNNNNNNNNNNNNNNNNNNNNNNNNNNNNNNNNNNNNNNNNNNNNNNNNNNNNNNNNNNNNNNNNNNNNNNNNNNNNNNNNNNNNNNNNNNNNNNNNNNNNNNNNNNNNNNNNNNNNNNNNNNNNNNNNNNNNNNNNNNNNNNNNNNNNNNNNNNNNNNNNNNNNNNNNNNNNNNNNNNNNNNNNNNNNNNNNNNNNNNNNNNNNNNNNNNNNNNNNNNNNNNNNNNNNNNNNNNNNNNNNNNNNNNNNNNNNNNNNNNNNNNNNNNNNNNNNNNNNNNNNNNNNNNNNNNNNNNNNNNNNNNNNNNNNNNNNNNNNNNNNNNNNNNNNNNNNNNNNNNNNNNNNNNNNNNNNNNNNNNNNNNNNNNNNNNNNNNNNNNNNNNNNNNNNNNNNNNNNNNNNNNNNNNNNNNNNNNNNNNNNNNNNNNNNNNNNNNNNNNNNNNNNNNNNNNNNNNNNNNNNNNNNNNNNNNNNNNNNNNNNNNNNNNNNNNNNNNNNNNNNNNNNNNNNNNNNNNNNNNNNNNNNNNNNNNNNNNNNNNNNNNNNNNNNNNNNNNNNNNNNNNNNNNNNNNNNNNNNNNNNNNNNNNNNNNNNNNNNNNNNNNNNNNNNNNNNNNNNNNNNNNNNNNNNNNNNNNNNNNNNNNNNNNNNNNNNNNNNNNNNNNNNNNNNNNNNNNNNNNNNNNNNNNNNNNNNNNNNNNNNNNNNNNNNNNNNNNNNNNNNNNNNNNNNNNNNNNNNNNNNNNNNNNNNNNNNNNNNNNNNNNNNNNNNNNNNNNNNNNNNNNNNNNNNNNNNNNNNNNNNNNNNNNNNNNNNNNNNNNNNNNNNNNNNNNNNNNNNNNNNNNNNNNNNNNNNNNNNNNNNNNNNNNNNNNNNNNNNNNNNNNNNNNNNNNNNNNNNNNNNNNNNNNNNNNNNNNNNNNNNNNNNNNNNNNNNNNNNNNNNNNNNNNNNNNNNNNNNNNNNNNNNNNNNNNNNNNNNNNNNNNNNNNNNNNNNNNNNNNNNNNNNNNNNNNNNNNNNNNNNNNNNNNNNNNNNNNNNNNNNNNNNNNNNNNNNNNNNNNNNNNNNNNNNNNNNNNNNNNNNNNNNNNNNNNNNNNNNNNNNNNNNNNNNNNNNNNNNNNNNNNNNNNNNNNNNNNNNNNNNNNNNNNNNNNNNNNNNNNNNNNNNNNNNNNNNNNNNNNNNNNNNNNNNNNNNNNNNNNNNNNNNNNNNNNNNNNNNNNNNNNNNNNNNNNNNNNNNNNNNNNNNNNNNNNNNNNNNNNNNNNNNNNNNNNNNNNNNNNNNNNNNNNNNNNNNNNNNNNNNNNNNNNNNNNNNNNNNNNNNNNNNNNNNNNNNNNNNNNNNNNNNNNNNNNNNNNNNNNNNNNNNNNNNNNNNNNNNNNNNNNNNNNNNNNNNNNNNNNNNNNNNNNNNNNNNNNNNNNNNNNNNNNNNNNNNNNNNNNNNNNNNNNNNNNNNNNNNNNNNNNNNNNNNNNNNNNNNNNNNNNNNNNNNNNNNNNNNNNNNNNNNNNNNNNNNNNNNNNNNNNNNNNNNNNNNNNNNNNNNNNNNNNNNNNNNNNNNNNNNNNNNNNNNNNNNNNNNNNNNNNNNNNNNNNNNNNNNNNNNNNNNNNNNNNNNNNNNNNNNNNNNNNNNNNNNNNNNNNNNNNNNNNNNNNNNNNNNNNNNNNNNNNNNNNNNNNNNNNNNNNNNNNNNNNNNNNNNNNNNNNNNNNNNNNNNNNNNNNNNNNNNNNNNNNNNNNNNNNNNNNNNNNNNNNNNNNNNNNNNNNNNNNNNNNNNNNNNNNNNNNNNNNNNNNNNNNNNNNNNNNNNNNNNNNNNNNNNNNNNNNNNNNNNNNNNNNNNNNNNNNNNNNNNNNNNNNNNNNNNNNNNNNNNNNNNNNNNNNNNNNNNNNNNNNNNNNNNNNNNNNNNNNNNNNNNNNNNNNNNNNNNNNNNNNNNNNNNNNNNNNNNNNNNNNNNNNNNNNNNNNNNNNNNNNNNNNNNNNNNNNNNNNNNNNNNNNNNNNNNNNNNNNNNNNNNNNNNNNNNNNNNNNNNNNNNNNNNNNNNNNNNNNNNNNNNNNNNNNNNNNNNNNNNNNNNNNNNNNNNNNNNNNNNNNNNNNNNNNNNNNNNNNNNNNNNNNNNNNNNNNNNNNNNNNNNNNNNNNNNNNNNNNNNNNNNNNNNNNNNNNNNNNNNNNNNNNNNNNNNNNNNNNNNNNNNNNNNNNNNNNNNNNNNNNNNNNNNNNNNNNNNNNNNNNNNNNNNNNNNNNNNNNNNNNNNNNNNNNNNNNNNNNNNNNNNNNNNNNNNNNNNNNNNNNNNNNNNNNNNNNNNNNNNNNNNNNNNNNNNNNNNNNNNNNNNNNNNNNNNNNNNNNNNNNNNNNNNNNNNNNNNNNNNNNNNNNNNNNNNNNNNNNNNNNNNNNNNNNNNNNNNNNNNNNNNNNNNNNNNNNNNNNNNNNNNNNNNNNNNNNNNNNNNNNNNNNNNNNNNNNNNNNNNNNNNNNNNNNNNNNNNNNNNNNNNNNNNNNNNNNNNNNNNNNNNNNNNNNNNNNNNNNNNNNNNNNNNNNNNNNNNNNNNNNNNNNNNNNNNNNNNNNNNNNNNNNNNNNNNNNNNNNNNNNNNNNNNNNNNNNNNNNNNNNNNNNNNNNNNNNNNNNNNNNNNNNNNNNNNNNNNNNNNNNNNNNNNNNNNNNNNNNNNNNNNNNNNNNNNNNNNNNNNNNNNNNNNNNNNNNNNNNNNNNNNNNNNNNNNNNNNNNNNNNNNNNNNNNNNNNNNNNNNNNNNNNNNNNNNNNNNNNNNNNNNNNNNNNNNNNNNNNNNNNNNNNNNNNNNNNNNNNNNNNNNNNNNNNNNNNNNNNNNNNNNNNNNNNNNNNNNNNNNNNNNNNNNNNNNNNNNNNNNNNNNNNNNNNNNNNNNNNNNNNNNNNNNNNNNNNNNNNNNNNNNNNNNNNNNNNNNNNNNNNNNNNNNNNNNNNNNNNNNNNNNNNNNNNNNNNNNNNNNNNNNNNNNNNNNNNNNNNNNNNNNNNNNNNNNNNNNNNNNNNNGAAACUUGAGCAAUUUCCAGCAAAACCCACUCAUCUCUUGCCCAAACCAUUUCAUCACUGAUCAUAUUUCUCCUAUGAACUUCUUCAUCAUAAGUGAUCAUUUCAUCACUGAGAUUCUCAACAUCUUGUGUUUUUGUUAGAUUGUAUGUGUUAAAUUCUUUGACAAUAUUUGAGUAGUUUAUAGGUUAGGAUAAAGCUUGAAUUCACCGGAAAAUUUUCAUUUUUUCUAUAAAUAUUUGACAUACAAUAUUGGAUUUUUUUUCAUUUUCUGUUUUACAUUUCCUGGGUUUUUGUAAUGUUAGAAAUCUGUGUGUGUCUGGGACUGCAAUUGGGUAUAUUCUUUGAAGGCCCAAUUUUGUCUUUUAUAAAUUUACAACUGCUAUUAAAUUUCUAAUAUCCAUUUAAGCAAUUAACGGAGCGGAGAUGAUUAAAUUUGUUUAAAUUUAUAUUGAUUAUGAUUAUUUAUAAAUUUAUAUAGAUUAUGGUUAUUUAUAGUUUAUUUUUUGGAUUUAUAAUUUUAUGAUUUUUAUUUUAUGAGAAUUUGACUUUUUAUCCCCAGGUAUUGGAAAAUUACUGUUUUUUUUUAAAAUUUUAUUACAAAAUUGUUAUUUUUCAUGUAGAAAAGUUCAAACUUAAAAUGGCAUGUUUAACUUAAUCCAGUUUGACACCAAACAUAGGAUUUGAUUGGUGUUAUCCACUCCAAUCCAAUGCAAUUCGAUCCUACUUCAUAAUCCAAUUCAAUUCCCAUCCCCAAACAGACCCCAAGUUCAAAGACUACACAGUUAACCUUAUAUUCCUUCAGUAGUGCUUGAACCUUACUUGAAUCUCUAAAUUAGUACCAAUGUUUACAAAGAGGGAUUCAAUUAAUGUGUAAAUAGACAUCAGUUGAAUAUGUAGGGCCUUUUUUCUUCCGGCAGCUUAAACGGGAUGGGCUGCCGUAAAUGGCAGAUUGAUGAAAUUGUCCUCUUUGUCUGAGUUCAAAAAUUAAGUCCCAAAAGCGCUUCGAAAGGGCAGUAGAGCCUUAGGAAGUGUUCUGGUUACCUCACCAACUAAAACAACAGCAACUUACAAAUGAUUUCUUGAUGCUUACAGAUAAAUUUUCUAGCUUGGCAUGAGAGGCUUGUGGCAUGGAAGCAAAAUCAGCAUGAGUUUAGCACCAAAGAGGAAAAUAUGGCUUUCUAGGGAGAAAAGGGAGUGUUAAGGUGAGGAAGAAGAGGUUUGCAAGCAGAUUUGGUUGAGAAGAGAGAAAGAAAGAACCACAUUCUUCCGGCAACUUGACAGAAAUUCUGUCAGAUGUGAAAAUGGUCUGCCAGAAGAAGAAAAUGGAGAAGAAGGGUGAAUAGUGCACGAGAUUGCUGGGUUUUUGCAGGCAAGAGAGGAAGCUUGCUCUCUAGGUGUGUGUUCUUUAGCUAAUGAUGAAGUAGUAGGGUGCUGGGUAGUUUCCGGCAGCUCGACGAAAACUCUGUCGAGCUUUGAAAAAGUUUACCAAAAGGGAAAAUGGGAAGAGAUGGAAGGAUGAGCUCGAAAUUGCAGAUGUUUCAGAGGUGAGAGAUAAAGCUUGCUCUCCAGAUCUGAGUUGGAUUUUUAUUGGGUAGAAAAGGCCCCUUUUAUAGCUGCUGGAAGCCAUCUUUUUCCAAGAAACCCUAAUGGUUUCUAUCUAAUUUGGCCAAGCUUUUUCCUUCCUUUCUCCUCCCCUUCUUUGACUUAUCUUAUUCUAGCAAAAUCUUCUCUGUUUAUUUGCACAAAAUCAGGAAUUUUGGGAGCUCAAGGCCCCUUUUCUCGGAGCUGUUCCAGUGGGAGACUUCCAUUCCCAGCCAUCUCCUUCCUUUCUUUCUUUCUUUUUCCAUGGCCAGGUCUGAUGGGGGAAGGAAUUGGGGUAUGUAUGCUGGUUCGAAAGGUGCUUCUGGCAGCUCGCAGGCUAAUAUUCAUUGGUUCCUUGAAUGUUUCUUGCUUGGAACUUGCUCCCCCCAUGUGCUGGAGCUUCCCAGCAGCUUUUCAGACUUUCCUUCUUGGCUUUAUUCUUCAGCCAAGUGCUGGAGCUUUGCAACUCUUCUAUUGUAAUUGUAUGGGCCAAGUUGAUUUAUUGAAUAAGUGGGCUUUCUUUAUCAAAUAUUUGGGCUUUUUGGUUGAGUCAAUAGGCUAUUUUGGUUGGGUUAUUUUUCUUUGGAGUGAUGGGCUAUUCUUUUCUCUCUUGUGCUUACCCACAUGUUUGGGCCUAUGAAAUGGGCUUGAGUCCUGAGGCUCCCAAGCAACCCGGGACUUCCAUUUCUCGGCCCAUCAAUGGGCCUCAUGAUAAUUUAUUACCAUCCAUACCACAACCCACUUAAGCAAGCCCCGGGCAUCUUGCAUGGCUUGGGCCCACUUAAGCUUGUAGCGUGGCAUGUUGCUUAUUUGCUUGGCGUGGCAUGUGUGCAAAGUGUAUAUGACGAACUUUCGAGUGCCCAAAUUGGGUUUCUUCUUGAUAAGGUAUCGCAUUGGGCCGAUAAUUUAUUUGGACCUAAGCGUGGAUUUUUUGGGCCUCAACAAAUCCAAAGUCAAAUUCAAAAGAUAUUUAACCCCAAUUUAUAGACCUUAACUAUGUACAAAUGGUUCAGCCCUACGGAAAGAGAGAAAAUCCUACGGAACCCCUUGGGGUCAGUGGCCUCCCUCCCUCCCCUCUCCACUAGUUCUUCCCCUCUACUCUCCUAUCCUCCCCUCCCCUCCCCUCUCCUCUCAUCUCCUUACCUCCCUAUUCCCCUCGAUGCUUCUUUGUUUUUUUUUUUUGUGGUGUGAAAUCAACCGUUGUGAAACGAUGUAGUCGUCAUAAUAGUUGUCAUCUUUCAACCUACGUACAUGAGAAUUUGGCUCCAUUUGUCAUCCUUCGACAUGGUUUGGAGCCACAAUAUGGGAAAAAUGUCGAGCUGCAUCUCGUUUGGGUUUAACCGGUGACGCUAUGGCUCUCUUCCGGUUGUCGAGGAUGUGGAGCGGUGGCCUUGCUUCUUAAUUUAUUUUUGUCUAAUAAUUUCCAUGUUUCCAUGAACUGUAUAGCAGUUUGAUGUGUGUGUGUGUUUAUUUAUUUAUGUUUAGGAGGUUUUACUUCUUUUUAGCUUUUACGGAUCUGUCAUUUUUGCUGAUGUGCAACGAAUUUGUAUUACAGGUUCGAGUAGGUGUGCUUUUGGUUGCUGAGUCGAGGAUUAUAGUAAUUUUGUGGAGAAGAUUCGUGUUGUUGCGUUUAGUCACUGGAGAAGAUUUACCAAUAUUCAGAACCAUAAUUGCUUUGUACUUUUUUCAUAAAAAAAAUUAUUAUCGAAUAUUCAGAAGGCAUUUAAUUCCCUUUUUCUUGAACCGUUGGUCAUCUAUGUUGCAUGGGUAUGCUGAUAUGAUACGAUACGAUUCACCGAUAAGGCAAAAUUCCAAAAAACUAGGAAACGGGUACAGCAUUGAUACGGCGAUUAAAAUAAUAUAUAUUUAAAAAUAAUAUAAAUAGAAAAAAUUAAUAUUACAUCUAUCAUGUCAUAAUCAUCCAUCAUAAGUGCAAAACAUAAAACUAAACAAAACAAGUCUCCAUAAACAAAACACAAAAUACAAGUCUUCAUAGGAUUGUUCAAAUCAUAAAAAUAUAAAUAUAAAAAGCAACACAAAAACAAAUUAAAACAUUGAGAAGCCACUUCUCAAAUUUCUAACUUCAUUCAUCAUUGUCAUCACAGGUAAAUAUGAUUGCUUCUAAUUUCUUCUUCCUAUUUCUUCUUCUUUUAUAGUUAUUCUCUCCCAAAUAAAAUGAAGACCUAGCUUCUAUCAAGAAGAAGAGGCUGCGUGUUUACAAAUUGAGUUUUUAAAAUUAACAUUAUCAGAAGACAAUAGGAGUAGCGACAUAUCGGAUAUGAGUAUCGGAGUAUCAGAUACAAGCACACCCCUCUAGUUAAGAGUAUCGGUGCAACGCAGUUGGUCCUUAAGGUCUACAAGAAUCGAUUAAAUGUCUUUCCAACGAUCAAGUUUUUUCUAGUUUUUGGAAAUACUUAAUAGUGUUGUUUUUGCAGGCAAGUUAUUUUAGUUAUGUGAGACAAAUUGUAUAGAAAAGUGAGAAAUAGAGAAAGACAAUAGAAAUUGUUCUUAAAAGUAUCUUUUGUGCUUCAUAAAGCACCUGUACUGCUAAUUACCAUAAUAAGUGUAUAGGUUACAAAACAUAGAAAUUGUGGAGAUUAUAAACUUCUGUAAAAGAAAACGACACGAUUUUAAUUAGCGUGUUUAUGUGUUUUUUUUUUCUUUAAAGAAACUAUUUUCUAACCUUAAAAAGAUCCAAAUAUACCACUAGAAGUAGGUUUUUUUUUUGUUGGGGGGGGGGGGNNNNNNNNNNNNNNNNNNNNNNNNNNNNNNNNNNNNNNNNNNNNNNNNNNNNNNNNNNNNNNNNNNNNNNNNNNNNNNNNNNNNNNNNNNNNNNNNNNNNNNNNNNNNNNNNNNNNNNNNNNNNNNNNNNNNNNNNNNNNNNNNNNNNNNNNNNNNNNNNNNNNNNNNNNNNNNNNNNNNNNNNNNNNNNNNNNNNNNNNNNNNNNNNNNNNNNNNNNNNNNNNNNNNNNNNNNNNNNNNNNNNNNNNNNNNNNNNNNNNNNNNNNNNNNNNNNNNNNNNNNNNNNNNNNNNNNNNNNNNNNNNNNNNNNNNNNNNNNNNNNNNNNNNNNNNNNNNNNNNNNNNNNNNNNNNNNNNNNNNNNNNNNNNNNNNNNNNNNNNNNNNNNNNNNNNNNNNNNNNNNNNNNNNNNNNNNNNNNNNNNNNNNNNNNNNNNNNNNNNNNNNNNNNNNNNNNNNNNNNNNNNNNNNNNNNNNNNNNNNNNNNNNNNNNNNNNNNNNNNNNNNNNNNNNNNNNNNNNNNNNNNNNNNNNNNNNNNNNNNNNNNNNNNNNNNNNNNNNNNNNNNNNNNNNNNNNNNNNNNNNNNNNNNNNNNNNNNNNNNNNNNNNNNNNNNNNNNNNNNNNNNNNNNNNNNNNNNNNNNNNNNNNNNNNNNNNNNNNNNNNNNNNNNNNNNNNNNNNNNNNNNNNNNNNNNNNNNNNNNNNNNNNNNNNNNNNNNNNNNNNNNNNNNNNNNNNNNNNNNNNNNNNNNNNNNNNNNNNNNNNNNNNNNNNNNNNNNNNNNNNNNNNNNNNNNNNNNNNNNNNNNNNNNNNNNNNNNNNNNNNNNNNNNNNNNNNNNNNNNNNNNNNNNNNNNNNNNNNNNNNNNNNNNNNNNNNNNNNNNNNNNNNNNNNNNNNNNNNNNNNNNNNNNNNNNNNNNNNNNNNNNNNNNNNNNNNNNNNNNNNNNNNNNNNNNNNNNNNNNNNNNNNNNNNNNNNNNNNNNNNNNNNNNNNNNNNNNNNNNNNNNNNNNNNNNNNNNNNNNNNNNNNNNNNNNNNNNNNNNNNNNNNNNNNNNNNNNNNNNNNNNNNNNNNNNNNNNNNNNNNNNNNNNNNNNNNNNNNNNNNNNNNNNNNNNNNNNNNNNNNNNNNNNNNNNNNNNNNNNNNNNNNNNNNNNNNNNNNNNNNNNNNNNNNNNNNNNNNNNNNNNNNNNNNNNNNNNNNNNNNNNNNNNNNNNNNNNNNNNNNNNNNNNNNNNNNNNNNNNNNNNNNNNNNNNNNNNNNNNNNNNNNNNNNNNNNNNNNNNNNNNNNNNNNNNNNNNNNNNNNNNNNNNNNNNNNNNNNNNNNNNNNNNNNNNNNNNNNNNNNNNNNNNNNNNNNNNNNNNNNNNNNNNNNNNNNNNNNNNNNNNNNNNNNNNNNNNNNNNNNNNNNNNNNNNNNNNNNNNNNNNNNNNNNNNNNNNNNNNNNNNNNNNNNNNNNNNNAAAGACUUGGAUGGACUGAGUUUCUUAUUAGGGUGUGACGUUGCUCAGUUCACUCGUCAGGAUUUCUGUUUGAUCACAGGGCUUCGUUUUGGGGAAGUGCCUGAAGUUUCCAGUGGAGAGAGUGAUGUAAUCAGACUUCAGAAAAGAUAUUUUAUAGACGAAGGAAUUACAUGCAAUGCUUUAGAAGAAGCAUUUAUGAGGUGCACAGAGGAAGAUGACAUCUACAAGCUAGCUCUUGUUUACUUUGCUGAGUUAGUGGUUUUGGGAAGGGACAAACAUUUGAACAUCAAUCUAAAUUACCUGACCCUUGUAGAGGACUUGGAUGCGUUCAACAGUUAUCCGUGGGGUUCGGUGUCCUUUGACAAAACCCAAGACAGUCUAUUUUCUGCACCAACAAAGUAUGUGAAAAGCUUGCAAAAUGAAGAGGGAAGAGGGAAGGGGAAAAGUAAGGUAACGGGUGUAACACCCCGACUCUAAAUUAAAUUCCUAAAUUAAAUUUCUUAAUUUAAUUAAUUUUGAAUUUACGGAUUUACCCUUGGGGUAGGGGUAUUUUGGUCAUUUUAUUACCCGGACAGAUUUUGGGACAGUGGCUGGUAUCUUUGGGUAGAUCGUUUUAAGAUGAGUCCGUAGACACGUAGUGAGCUCGAUCCGGAGUUGUAACGAAGAAGUUACGAUCAAAACAUCGACAAUGGCAAAAUCGUAAAUAUUUCGAAGUUGAUUUUUUUUUAAAAACCUGAUUUUUCCUUUCUCUUUCUCCCUCUCUCUCUCUCUCCUGCGAAACCAGAAAAUCUCCCCCCCUUGCGACGACAGCGACUUCUCGUCGUCGCCACCGCCACCACACGCCGCCACUUGGGGCGGCACCGGUUCCGUUGGAACCACCACACUCCCUACUUUCCAUUCCACCUCACCACCGCCUCAAUCCGCCACCGUGGUCGCCGGAGACAGCCACGAAAAGUAGUGGUUUGGACAGAUUUUUACCAAACUUUCGGCCUCUCGUUCUCUCUCAUUUCUCCACCAAAUUUGACGAGUAGGGUAUGGUUUUCUACCUAUUUUCCAUGCUCUAGCUGAUGGUUGGGUAGGAUUUCGUUAAUUUUGAGCUUAGAUCAGUUGAAUUUCAACUUAGGGUUCGGCCGGUUUUGGAUUUCCGAUUCCAGCCACUUCCGGUCACUUUUUGGGGUAGGCCCAAGAACAAAAGUGACUCCAAAUAGGGUGUUGUAUCUAGGGUAGGAGUCUUGAGCCGAGGUGUUGAGUUUUUCCGACGAAGGGUUAUUGCUUUGGACACCCGCGCGCUGCCAGCGCGUGGGCACUGUAGCAAACUUGCAUUUUUGUCCCAAUGCGAUCUCCUGGUUGUCACGAGUGCGUAGGAUUUCGUGGAUCUCAAUUCGGACAUCGUUUGACUAUCGAACGAAUUUUCACAUAUUAGGAGUUAUCCGGGUUCGCCAUGUUCGGACCGUUGGAUCGACUCCAUUCCAAUUUAUGUUACUCUAGACUUUCCUAGGAACGUGUAGGAAUUCGCGGAUCAUGAAUCGGAGCCCCGGAUGUUCCGAUUCAAUAAUUUAAAGUUUGAAGAUUUUUCGAUAACCGUACGAUCGUGAGCAAUCUAGCUGUCCUUUUCGGACCAAACUUACGGGACAUAUGUCUUAAACCUUGUGGAACUCCUAGGAACUUCCAGUUUGUUCCGUUCCUCGUACACUCGCUAGAAACCCGGGAAAUUAGGAUUUUAAUUCAAGUUCUCGUUCAAAACACUUUGUAUUAAUCUGGUAUUCGUAUUCUGAAAUAGGUACUCCGACCACGCAUACGCAGCAGGUGGGACCCUCUCAGGGUCAGGCAGUGUGGGACUACUUGUGAGUGGACUUUGUUUUCAACUUAUAAGCAUGGUUUUAUAAUGAGAAUUUUAUGCAUAUGAAUUAAAUAGUUAUUGAAAUGCAUGUUAUAUUUAAUAGUUGAAUUCUUGAUUUUCAUAAAGUAUUGGUAAUAUAAUUUGGGUUUUGACAUAUUGAGUAUCUUGAGUAUGUAUAUAUGGAUUAUGAGAAUUUCUAUAUAUGUUUGGCUAUGUGUGGGGUACUUGGGUUAUUGAGAUGAGAUUGUGGAAGUGAUGAGUAUAGAAUGUCAGUUUGGAGGGGCUAUAAGCACUACCCUAUGUACCNNNNNNNNNNNNNNNNNNNNNNNNNNNNNNNNNNNNNNNNNNNNNNNNNNNNNNNNNNNNNNNNNNNNNNNNNNNNNNNNNNNNNNNNNNNNNNNNNNNNNNNNNNNNNNNNNNNNNNNNNNNNNNNNNNNNNNNNNNNNNNNNNNNNNNNNNNNNNNNNNNNNNNNNNNNNNNNNNNNNNNNNNNNNNNNNNNNNNNNNNNNNNNNNNNNNNNNNNNNNNNNNNNNNNNNNNNNNNNNNNNNNNNNNNNNNNNNNNNNNNNNNNNNNNNNNNNNNNNNNNNNNNNNNNCAUAUUUAUAUUAUUAUUAUAUAUAUGUAUAUAUAUAUAUCUCUUAUAUUAUAUAUAUAUUUACAUAUGUAUAUAACUAUUCAUUCAUUCUUGUUUUUCGGUGAGGAUACUUCCUUGCCGGUCGUGCCAAUGGGUACGCUUUCGAGAGUUUGGUUUGGGACUUAUAAUAUUUAAUUGGUGGGUUUGUUUAGUGUUCUGUUUGGAUUUCGGACUUGGCAUCCGGUAUUGUUUGGUUUUGACAUAUAUAAAUAUUUAUUUGAUUAUGAUGGUUUGGGAUGCAUUUGGAUUUUCUUGCAUGGUUUAUUAAACAGUGAGGGUUAUAUUAUGUUGGUUUACACUGAACUGAACUUUAUUUUCGUCCACUCACAUUUUUCUGUUUUGCGCCCCCCAGCCAGUAGUUGACUGAGCUCCGCAGCUGAGCCGGAUCGUGUGCUUACGAGUCUUGAGCCUUCGUAGGAUUCCUUCAUUCUGUUUUCCUUGAACUUUAUUUUUGUUGUAUUUAAAUUCCUUAGAUAUGCUCUAUUAUCGCCCUUGCUAGGGUUUGAUCUUUGAGGCCGGAGGCCUUUGUUUUAAACUGUUUAUUUGCUUUAAAGCAUGCUGCUGGUUGGAUACCUUAAACUGUGAAUUUUGAGCAGGUUGAAUAUUUGGGGAAAUGUUCAAUUUACAGGGGAGACUCUGCCAAAAUUUUGGUAGAAAGUCUCGAUCCUUAGUAAGUGGGCCCGGCAUCGGGGAGAUGUCGGUAAUGAGACGGGAUUCGCUCCGUUUUCCGAGAAUUCCGGGACGGGUCCUGUCAACGGGAACAAGCCGGAGAAAUGAGAAGGGCAGGAAGGAUAAGCAUGGUGAAGCGCAAAGGAGUGGCUGGAGUUUUAAAGGUUUCAUGUAUGCUUUCCAGGUACAUGGUAAUAAUGUUCAUGUCAGUUAUGUUUUGUUUUUCUUUAAAACAUAAAUAAUGACUUUUGUCCUGUGAAUUGUGUAGAUUUGGGUAUAUGAAUUAAUUCCUAGAAUGGCGGACCUGAAUUACUGCAAGGUUGUUGAUCCGACCGCUGUCCCGCGUAUUUUGCGAUGAAGAACUACUACGUCUGUUCCAGAGAUGAGAAAGUUGAACAAUUAUUUUUUCCAGAGCAAAGAGGUUUGGUUUGCAGCCCUUGGAACUAUUGAUAAGAUUGAAUGAAAUUUUGAAGUAGAAUGAUUUAAUAUGACUGUGGUUUGUAUUCUGAAACAGUCAGUUCAGUUGCGGGAGCUAUGUCCGAGUGAAGAGGAAAUGAGACAGCCAUAUUGGAGUUGGCCACAGGAUCGCCCUGCUGUUGUCUCGGCAGAGUCAAUUCCUUCUUCAUGUGGUGAUCUUGAUCAGUUGAACAAGGUGGUAAGCUUGUUGAGGUCCGAGUUGUUUCAAGUAAAGCGGGAAAAAGACGUCCUUCACUUAAAGGUCAUACGGAUGGAAAAACUGUUGGACCAAUGUUUAGGUCCUCAGUUUGAGCAGGAAGUAAGGAGGGACCUAGCUUUACUGAAACAGAGGACGAAGCGAGGAAGAUGAAGGGAUUGAAGGGGGUGAAGGGCCAAGUAAUAGAAAUGAGGGAGAGGAAAAGGAAGAGGAGGGGAUUGAAGGGGGGAAAAGGAAGAUGAAGGGAUUGAAGGGGGUGAAGGGCCAAGUAAUAGAAAUGAGGGAGAGGAAAAGGAAGAGGAGGUGAUUGAAGGGGGUGAAGUGCAAGGAAUACCAAGUGAGGUAGAGGAAGGACAAAGGAAAAGAAGUGAAGGAGAGCAAGUGCAAGUAAAAAGUAGCAAAGGAGAGGAAGCCCAAAGACAGAGCAGUGAGGGAGAGGAAGUGAAAAGAAAAAGCAGUAAGGGAGAGAAACUGCAAAGGAAAAAAAGGGAGGGCAAGGAAGUGAAAACACAAAGAAGUGAGGAAAAGGAAGUGCAAAGAAACCAAUGUGAGAAAGAAGAUAAUGAAGUUAUGUUGCUUGGGGAUGACAUUGGCGAGAGCACGGAGGGGACACUGCUUGAGUUUACUGUCGGGGACAUUGAUUUGGAUCAACCUACAGCUGUGCUAUCUCAGUUGAACGUGUGGUUGAAUGAUAAAGGUAAAGCUGUGGCACAAGGGGUCCAAUUAUGGAAAAGGAAGAGGAUCAUUCCUAUGUGGAAGAUCAUUGAAGGCAUUGAAUUGGUUCCAAAAACUGGGGCACAGCCAACCGGACUGAAGAUGUUAGACCCAAUGAAGGCGAUUCCGCAUGAUGAUCUGGUGAAUUUGCUGAAACUUUGUUGGGAAUGGCGCCAGGACCCAAAGUAAGUCCCUUGCAAUUAUAAGAUAGAAGCAUGACUGUAUAUAAUUUUUAAUAUACAGUGUUCUAAAACUGUUUUACAUUCAUAGUUUGGUGAUGCAAUUUGGCAACGUGGAAGCUGAGAUUGAAUUCUUCGCUUCCCUCGUGAAAGCUGAUGGUUGGCUGAAAGGAGAUGUAAGUGUAAUUGAUUAUGCAUUUGUUUUAAUGUACAUAGAUUAUGAGAUUGACAAGAACAACAUGUUGCAGCACAUUGAUUUGGGGUUGUAUCUCAUCCGGAAGCGACAACAACAGUUUGAGGAAGUAGAAAUAGCGGACUAGACAACGACACAUGUUUUUUUAUGGUAUGUCAUCGCCCUUGACCAAGUGCCGUUAAUAAUUACACAUUUUCCAUACAGACAAUAGUGGAGGUGUUUAACCAUUGAUUGUUUUGUAUUUCACAGAAUCACAUUCGAACUUGCUUUGCGGAUAAUAAAAGAAAAAAACAGCAGCUUGGGUGGAAAAUCAGAAAAAGUUUACUAAACGUUGUAAAUGGGAAGGUUCCUCCGUGUGGGAUGGAUUGGCAGAACGUCUAUACGUUGUAUACCCCAGUUAUGUUGACGAAGUACAAGCAUUGGGUGGCUGUAAUGAUUGAUCUGGUAUUGUGUGAAAUCAAAGUGUACGAUUCAAAGGUUUCACUAAUUCCAGAUGACAUCGUAAAGGAAGAACUCGCCCCGCUAUCAAUUACGCUUCCAAAUCUUCUCAACACCAUCGACUUUUAUGAAGAAGGUGUUUAUGCAAACAAUUGCAGGCAAGAUUGGUGGUGUCCGUGGCCAAUAGAGCGUGUGGAUGUUCCACAACACUCUAAUGAGUAAGCACAACUUGCAAUUUAAUUUUAUUACUUUCAAGUGUCAAUUACGUUAGAAUGUCAUUAGUUGAGUUGAUCGAGUUCUUGUUUUGCUUCAGAGGCGAUUGUGGCAUGUUUGUGUUAAAGUACAUUGAGCUUAUCAGCGCUCAGCUUUCGUUAGCUACUUGCACCUCGCACAACAUGCCUUUUUUCGGUUGAAAUUGGCUGCGGAGAUAACAAGGGGAGAUGCUUACUUCCCAUGAUAUUGGUUGAAGAUGACAAAUGGUACAUGAGAAGGUUUUGGGAAUGUCCAUUCUCAAAGUAAUGUAAAUACACAAUAGAGACGUACGGGUCCUUUUCGAAUUCUACCGCUAACUCCUUCAUGACAUUUACAUGUUUGUUAACCAAAUUGCAUUGAAUUGGAAUGUUAAGACUGCAUAUGUUAAUUGGGAUUUGAAGAUGGCUUUUUAAGUGUAUUACACCAUUGCAAAGUGAUAUGUCAUUGUUGAUGCAAGCCACCAUUAUUCGCAAUGAGUUGCAUCAUAAUAGGUGUGUAAACAUGCGAAAGGUUUUUGUCCAUUCUCAGUAGCAUAAAAGUAGAAACAAUUACAAUAUACACAAAAUGAACAACAAUUCACUUGCGUUUGGACAAGCAAUACAGACACAACAGACAAACAAUAUACACAAAAUGGGCCUGCCAUAUACAGACAUACACACAGUAGACAUGCAAUAUACACACAAUAAACAUGCAAUAUACACACAAUACACAUGCAAUAUACACACAAUACUCCCUUAACACACACAAUAGACAUGCCCUUGCCCACAAUAAUGAUGCAAUAUACUUCAGUCCCCAAGUACACCAACCUUAAGGAAGUCGUAUUGAAUAGGAUAUUAAACUUAACAGUUGUUCUUCCUACUAAAAGAAAGAAUAACGUCCGUUUCCCCCCUUCAUUCUUACUUCAGUGAUACUUGUGGCCCCAAUAAACAUCCAAUAUUGGGCCAAGGAUAUUCCAUAUACAUGCAGCAAACUGUCAAUAAACCUUCAAUAAACAUUCAAUAUCGAUUCUAUAACAUGCGAAAUACAUGCAGUUAACAAAUAUUACAAAAUGGGUUUAGGGUCUCAUUGGUGGUGCGUGCAACAUGUCUUGUGCGGGAGAACUUUCACAAUCUUUGAAACCGUGCAGUUAAAUGAUCCUUAAAAGAACAAAUAAAAUGACAAUUGAUACAACUAAUAAAACUAAUACCAAGUCCUUAAUGGACUUCAGCAUGUUCAGCACUCUAGCAUCAUACGUGUCAUCUUGAUGUUCUGCUUCAGCGGAGGUUACAUCAACCCAUUCGAAUCCAUUGCAACUGGUGGCUCCCUAAUUGCAGGCAUCAUAUAUGGAAUAUAAUUCUGUCAGAGUUAGACAUGGGUUUAUUUUGACCCACAUACAUAUUAUUGAAAUUAAAACUUACAUAGGAGGUUAGACACUUCCAGAUGGCUUCCCUCGAUUUUUGUCAGAUUUUGAAACCCGAAGCANNNNNNNNNNNNNNNNNNNNNNNNNNNNNNNNNNNNNNNNNNNNNNNNNNNNNNNNNNNNNNNNNNNNNNNNNNNNNNNNNNNNNNNNNNNNNNNNNNNNCUGACACCUCUUUGUUUGAGCGGGAGAUGAAGACGAAGACAUGUUGAAUCUUCUCAGUUGUACCUCUUCUCACUCAGAUCUUCUCACUGAAACCUCUUCGGACUCAUACCUUCUCACUCAUAGUUGUCAUUCAUACCCCUUCACUCAGAACCCUAAACUUGUCACUCAGCUCUCUCUCAUCUCUGCCCAAAUCGAGUUAUAUUUCUUUUUUUUUGGGAUCAUUUGGUGGGUUGGUCACGAUCUCGACACCUGUACCGUCGGCAUUGCGACAUCUUUUAGCCCGAAAAGCAAUAUAAACUACUUCACUACCAAAUAUAUUUUCUGAAAAAUGAGGGGACACUGCUUCAAAUUUAUUAUUUUAUAUAUAUUUCAUUAAGGCAACUAGUUGGAUAAGAAUCCGUCAUUAUUGGUUCCAUUUAAAUAACAUUACUAGGGGUAGUUGGGUGUGGGAAAAUGAAAAAGUAUAUGAUGGGACCUUAUGUCACUACUUAGUAAUCCAUCACAUUUGUAUCAAUGAAUUUGAUAGUGGGAUAAUCCCACAAAUGGCUAUGCAAAUAGCCAUUUAAUGAACUUUUUGACUGUCUGACUCUGUAUGCACCGUUAUGACGUUUUCCCUUCUUUUGUCUUCAGUUUUAAUUCACUUGGGUUCAGUUUCUUUAAAAAGGGUCAACUUGGAAAAACCCCAACUGGAAACACCUUUUCAAAACACUAUAAACAGAGGCUAAAACAAAACGUGUACCCCAAAUAUUCUCAUUUAUCCCCUCUGCCACUCCUCAAAUCGUUCCAUUCCAAAAACUUUUCAAUGAAUUCGAAACACAUCACUACAGUCAGAGGAAAGAGAAGGAAGCAUCUCCAUUUCGAUAUGCCCGAAGCCUUCAUCCCGGAGUCCGCUUGGUUUCAAGUGAUGUUAUACGUGGCAACCGAAUCAUCGGAAGAUCUCUUCCGUAUGGCAUCUGUGUGCCCAUUGUUCCAAACUUUGGCAAACAGUCCACAAGUGUGGAACACCAUUUCAAUGGCAAAGUACCCACACCAUCCUAGCUGGUGCCGUGCCAGACCUGCGGUCCUGCAUUUCUUGCAACAAUGCAGGGCUUGCGAUAACCCUGAGUCGAUAUUUAGAGAAGCAUUCGAUAUUUUUUUCAGAGCCGGUAAGGUGGAAGCGUUGUAUGGGAUGCGCAUUGCAGCCACGGCAGGCCAUAUGGAAGCGGCAUAUGUAGUUGGACUACUUGGUAUGUCCGGAAUUGGUCAAUCAAAAGAGGAUGCAUUACAAUUCUUGUGUUCUUUGAAUCAACGUAACAACAUUGAUAUGAAAGGAACCAGGGAUGCUUUGACACGAAGAUUAAGCGGACCAAGAGUUGCAAGACAUAUCGUAGAUAUGUUUGACUAUGGGAAGAUUAAGUUCAAUCGCUGCAGCGCUUGUAACAACAAUGAAUGGUAUUUUGUUAUUCAAGGCUGGCCUAGUGAAGACAAGAUAAAUCCUGCCUUCUGGACUUGUUGCAAUCGAUGCAAAUGGCACCGUGAGAGUAUUUUUUGGUUCAAACUGAUGCGUGAGUAUGGUGUGCAAGGGAAUCACGUAUUUUUGCAUUAGUUUUAGUACGAAUUUACGGUUUUGAUGCAUUGUGGACUUGCUUCUCUUCACUUCUAGGUUGGCUGGCUACGUUGUACAAAUGUUGUUUAAAUGUUGUUUAAAUGUUGGUAUUUUGUCAUAAACCGUUUUAUAUAUAAAUGUAUAAUAUUUAUUAUAUAGCGGAAUUAUUACUUACAUCAUAGACGGCUACGAAUGACAUUUUACUGACACAGAUAUUUUGCUCACCCACCCCAAUAUUCAUAUUUGGUAAACGAAAAGUCAUGCAUGGAGUAAAUAGGUGUCUUUUCGCCAAUGCUUGGGAAUGACAUUUUCCCACUUAGCAUAUCCGACAGGAUUUGGUUACACGUUUCUUAAGCAAAAGUUGAACAGUGAAUGACGUUGAAUAAUUUGUUUGUGUGGAAGGAGUACAAUGGAUGACUUGUAUAUUUCCAUAUUAUGUUUGAAAACAUCCCUUCAACCUAAAAAAUAAAAAAAUUAACAAAUUAAAGAACAGAGAAACCGAUGAGCACUACAAAUGGCCUAUUCGCACGGAAAAUAAAAUUGUUUUAAACAAGUUGGACUAAAUAUAAUUAACAAAUGGACAGCCUAAAAAGUAAUAUCAUAAUAAUUAUAAUAAUUGUGGAUUAAUAAUAAUAAAAUACUAAUGUAGCAUAACCAUGAAACAGGGAAUUAAGUAGGAAGAUGAAAUCUCAAUAAGUUCGUUCAAAUGUUCGGAUCGUUUUUCUAAUUUUUGUGUAUUUAGUUGUGAAAUUUCCAAGAAAAAAAGUAAUAAAAUAAUAAUUUAUGGUAAAAUGGGAGGAUGUGGCCAUGUUGACUGACGUACACUUGUGGAAGUGGUGAAAGGUGACGGCCUGAGAUCGCGCCAGGUGUCUUCUUGCAAUUAGGGUUGGCUAUUUUAGUGGAAAAAUCCUUGAAAAUAGGUAAAAAAAUAGUAGGAAAUUCCUAUUAUAGGUUGGGAAAAUUACCCGGGCCUCCUUGUGACGUCAUAAAACUAGGAGAACCUAUAAAUCAUCCGUCUCGCAAUGAAAUAAUCCAAAUUGUGUUACAUAACUCACUUUCCUCUUAACCCUAAGUAUUGAUGUUUGUUAACUUCAACUUGAAUAACCUACUUCAACAAGCAUCUCCCGCUAAUGUUCGGAAUUAAUUUUAAAAAUGCGUAACAAUGAAUCGGAGAAUUCAGCAACGGAGAUGGAGUGUCAAUGAGUUCGUAGCAAUUUUCGGAUAAUUUUUUUAUUUUGUGUGUAAUUAGUUCUGAUUUUUGUAAGGAAAAGUAAUAAAAUAAUAAUUUAGGGUAAAAUGGGAGGAUGUGGCCAUGUUGACUGACGUACACUUGUGCAAGUAGUCAUCAGUGACGGGCUGAGAUCGCGCCAGGUGUCCUCUUGCUAUUAUUUUGGCUUUUUUAGUGCAACAAUCUGUGGACAUAGGUAAUAAAUUACAUGAAAAUCCAAAAAAUGCCCGGAAAAUGAGAAAAUGAAAAUUAUUUGUACAUAACUCACUUUCCUCUUAACCCAAAUUCACGUUAACAUUUGUACAUAACUCACUUUCCUCUUAACCCAAAUUCACGUUAACACGUAUAUUUCGGAUAAUAUUCGAUAUAUAAUUUCUAAUAAUACAAUAUUUAGUUUCACUAUAUAUAAUAAUAUGUUUUGUUAUAAUAAUGUACAGAAAUAAUAAUUGCACAUGCUUUGAAGCCAUCAUUGCAACUACGCCUAGAGCUUUCAAGACGUCAGUUCGUAUUCAAUAAGUUGUCCACAUGCAACUGCACCUAGAGUUAUUAACACGUCACAGGUAUUCAAUAAGUUGUCCAUAUGACGCCGCAUUGGGAAUCAGUAAUAUAUUUUCAAUCAUGUCCAAUCACAUAAAUAAUGCCAUACUUUUUCUCAAUAACCUCACACAAGUGAAGCAAUUUUAAAACCCUUACUGAAUAUUUGUCCUAGUCUAUAUGAGUGAUUAUAUAAUCAGUUGCAUAAUAUUUUUUUCACAGUAUAUGUUAACUUUGAGAGGGAUUCCACAAACAUAAAAUAUAAAGAAAGCAAGAAAUAGUAGGAGAUGAACCAGUACAAAAAACAAUAUAUAAAUGGUACAUAAUAAUUCCAUAACCUUGCAAACGCACUCACAAAAGCUUUUCCAUAAACCUUGUCCUAACAUAUAAUAAAUAAAGGCAACAUUGCAUAUGAUGCAACCAUGUCCAAAUCUGAUACGUGAUCAAAAACAAAUGGACAUGGCAGCAACAUAUGACUGAAGUAGAUGGGCUCUUUGCAUCUUCUGUUUUCGUAAUUAAAGACAUCAAAAUAUUAAGGUUUAAAUCUUCCAUAGUAGUUAGCAUCAAAAUAGCUUUGAAGCAGAGUGUAACGAAAAUUCCAAUUCCACUGAUUUGCCUCUGCUCAAACACGAGAACCAAAAUGGUUACUUCCCUUGCUGAGUAUAUUUGGUGACGUCGGAAACGGUAAUAGAUGACCAAUCAAACCCGGGUACGACGAGUUUUGCAUAGGAUCGGAAGUAGUCGAAUCCAGCUUGCAUCACACGCUUAUUUGACUCCACUGCAUUAGAUGAGUUCUUGUAUUUUUGAACAGCUACACUCCGAAGUCGUUUGUGUCUACGCUUCAUGCGCUGUAACUUCGCCCUAUCCAGAUUGGCCUGCCUUUUGUCAUCUUCAAUUUGGCCUUCCACAAAUUCCAAACGUGCCCUUGCCCUUUGGAUUUCAACACCAAGUUGAAGAUGCCUCUCCUUCCAAAAAGUAACAACUCUUUCUGACUCAAAACUUCCAACAAAAUGGUCAUUCUGUCUAGGAAUGUGACAUUGCUUGUCUGGUGACUCACUUGCGUGUCGAAGCCGGUCUUUGUUUGGAGGGGUGUUUAUUAUGCUCACAUCAAACUUGGUUGUGCUUAUGCUCAUUCUUUGGGGGGAAUGAGUUAGUUUGCUUGAGAGAGUAUCAGUAGAUGGAGACAGAUUCGGUGGAGGAGUGAGUUUUGUGUGGAACGAGAAUUUAUAUGAAAGGGGUGAUAGUAAUACCAAGAAAAGGGUUCCCGCCAAAAAAUAUUUGGUUGAGAAUGUAUAAAUUAAUUUUUGGUCUGAUACAAUCUAAGUUGAAUCCUAACUAGUUUGGUUGAGUUAACUAAGUAGAUGUCACUUCCAUUGAGUUUCUUUCAACCACUAUCAGUGGUGUCAGGAGAGUGUGAGGAUGACAUGCUUGAAAAGCAAAACCUGACACCUAUUUUUAAAAAAUUCCCGCAAAAAAGUACAUAUGUUGACUACACACAAGCUUUGGUAUGUUGGUCUAUAAACCUAUGUACCCUUUCUCAAACGAAAUUGCAUAUGCAAUCCUCAUCCUCCCAAAACAAAGAGGAUUAUUCAAGCAUGUCAACCUCUUCAGGCGCCAACAACACAAUCGAAGAUGACAAAUUGGAGUCGCAGGUUCUAUUUCCACAUUGUACUCGCCGACCCCUUCCUUUUUCAACAUCAUUUGGGAGUGAGGGGGACUCCGAUGAUCCAUUAGAGGCAAUACAUGCAGUCAGUGGCAAGCUGGAUUAUAAUUCCAGACUGAUCAAUUCAUGGCACGAGAAAUGUGUUGAAGACGAGGCAAUUUUGGCUGAUCUUAACAUUAGGGUGAACAAAGCGUUAUCCCAAAAGAACAAGUACUUGAAGCUGAGUCAUAGCAGGAAGCUGAAAGCUGAGGAGUUGGAUACAGUAAUGAAUGAUGAAAUGAAAGGUUGUUUGAUGAACCAUAUGCGAUGCGAAGAGCACCAUACUGAACUGGAGUUGGCAUUCAACGAAGGAUUCGACAAAUUCCGAGCAUUUGCGGCAACUACUCAUACAAGUUAUGAUUGGAACUAUGUGUCCCCUGAUGCUGUGAGAGAGAUACUAGACGAUGGGGGUGACAUGAAUGACCAUAAGCACGUCAAAGCUGCUCGGAAGAAGCCGACCAAUACGACUAAGUGAUUGCGGCUACCGCUGUUCAGUUGGUUGAGGGUGACCGUGGUAUUGCACAUAUACUCCCUUAAUGUCAUUAUCUAACUUAAAAUAACACAAAUAUCAGUUUCAUUUGCUUCAUAUAUAAUUAUUGGGACUAUGUAUUGCAAGUCAUCAUGUGUUAUAAUGUCUAACAUUAUAUUUUGCAAAUAUGGAAAUAUUAUUCAAUAAGCAAUCAAUAUCACAGAAAGCCGGGAAUCAGUAAAUGCUCCUUAUCAUGUCCAUUUACAUUAAAGAGCUGGCGUACUAAUGUGUUCAAAAAAAACUGACACGUGAGUCAUAAGUAACAUAACAUGUGCUAUACAUUGUUUACUGAAUGGUUUAUGGUUUAUUUAUAUAUAAUAAAAUUCCAAAUAUUGCUGAAGAUUUAUUUCCUGUAUAUCACUAGGGAUAUGAGUGGCCAUAAGCAUGUGAGACCUGCUAAGAAGAAGCUGACGAGUACGACCCAGUGAUUGUGGCUACCGUUGUUCAGUUGGUUGGGGAGAUCGUGGUAUUGCUAUGAGGAAGCACAUAAUAUGUUUUGCAAUCAAAUGUUCUUUUCUGUGUGGAAUUAUGAGUAUUUAUGUAAGUUAGUGUACCCUUUAAUAUUUUUCACCUAAGUAUCCAAAUGUAAUUAGCUGCAAUGUUAUGUUUCUUUUUUACCCGCUGCUUUCUAUUUGCUCUGUUCCAACAAAGUGCUUCAAGUAUCCUUCACUUACAAAAGUGUACAAAAUCGUGCCCCUAAUAACCAGUCAGAAAAAGUGGCUACUGCUGGAAAUGAUUACUGGUAAUGGAAACAACAGCUGGCUGCUGUAAUUGCUGCAUUACCCUGAGGAUUUGAAAAAUGAAUCUCUGUUAAAACAAAAUUCACCCUAAACUGCCCAUUUUACAUGGUAAAAGUCAUUGCUUCUUCACAUAACUACAAAUUUCAUACUUGAUCAAAUGUCUAUGAAAAUUUAUAAAUAGGGAGAAGACGUAAAAUUAACAUGUCUCCAAAUUUCAUGGAAGAAUGAAACCAAGCAAAUUUUCAUUUCAAUUACCAGUAGACAUAGUAAGAGCUCAUCGGUGGACAUGAACAAAAACACAAUUACAUUCAAAAACUGAAUCUAUAAAACUUCACCUGAUCAUUAAUCUUCAUAACAACCACAUUUCGUCUAAUACAAAUAUAAAUCAUUCAGUUGGUCCGUGCAUCCUGUCAAAAUCGUCGAAUAAUGGGUCACUAUGAUGAAUUCGAGUUGAUUCGUCAUUGUUCGACGGUGAUGUCCUGCAUAAACAUCAAACACAAGCACAUAAAAAUUUUACCUUUUCAUAUUUUAGAUGUUAUUACAAAUAGUGUUAGCAUCUUACGGUGUGUUCAAGGCUGGGCAUUGUCUUCUAUCAUGACCAAUGUGUCCACACUCCCGACAGUGUCUAAUCCCUCGCUUCAUUGCCUUUUCCUUUGCUCCCGUUACUCCUUUCGACCUUCCUUUGCACCUCACUCUCUUAGGGUCUUUCAUAUAUUGUGUUUGAGAGCUGGACCCUCCAACUUCGUUAUUACUUGGUCCAUCCUUCAGCAACUUCAACUUCACCUGCAAACUUUUUAGAGUCUCUGACAGUAGCUCACAUCCUUCUUCACUCAUUAAUGCAUCAUCAACCACAUCUGAAGCAAGUCGAGACAUUGUACUCCGCUUUAUUAGAAGGCCAGGAUCUGCACAGUCUUUAAUUUCGUUGCCAUUUGCAUCUGACACCAAUCCAGAUUUCGCAGUUUUCUUCCACCUCUUCAAAAUAUAUUUAUCGGGCAUAUAUUCAAUCUGGUCCCUUCUGAACAAUGCUAGGAUGUGCUUGCAAAUAAUUCCAACAAAUUCAAAUCUUUUGCAGCUACACGAUGCGUGGUCAGAAUCUUUGACAUAUACGACUUCUGCCACUCUUGUUUCCCAAUUUUUCCUUUCGCUCAGGUUGAACACAACUUUACAAGCAUCCUCUGUUUUGAGCUCUAGGAAACAUGCUGUACUUUGUAUUAGUUCUUGCUCAAACUUUUGAAACAUUGUCCUUGUGUACAAGGUAGCCAUUUGUUUGUUCAUUGGCAUCGGUAGAAGACAUUGAGCCACUUCAAAUGCAUCUACGUGAUCAGCAACUAACUCUUUUUCACGUUGAUGAGAAAGUGCCCUCUCAAAUCGUAUUAUGAAAUCCAUCAACGAAUUUCUCCUUGAUAUGUAUUGCUUGAAAAAACCAUGAGAACCUUCCGCUCUUUGGCUGCUUGACAUUCCAGCGGCAAAAAAUUGUCGUGCGUAGGCUGGAACCCAAGAUUCCCUUAAAUCAAACAUUGAACUUAGCCAUGGAUGGUCAGUCAAACCAGCCUUUGUAACCACAAUAUUCCAUUUUGCAUCAAACUCAUCCUUAUUGUCAGUAUCCCAUAUGGCUUUCUGAAAUUCACGCCAAUACUCCUUAUAAGCGUCACGUGGUAACUUAACAGAACUUUGAUGUGAUUGCCGCAUCUUGAUCUGUAAUGAUCGUUUUAGGUUCCCCACCUGGCAUGGCUUUCUUAAACUCCUCAAACAUCCAAACAAACGACUCAGUCGUUUCCUUGCUCAAAAAUGCGCAUGCUAAGACAAUUGUCUGACCAUGGUUAUUAACUCCCAACAUUGGUGCAAAUGUCAAGUCGUAUCGAUUCGUGUUGAAUGUGGUAUCGAAUACAACAACAUCUCCAUAAAACCCAUACGCCCGUCUAGAAGUUGCAUCUGCCCAAAAACAUCGACUAAACCUGUCAUGCCCAUCUCCCUCAAUCUUGAAAUAAAAAGCCUCAUUUUUUUUCUGUUCAGCCAUAAAAUACUCGGUCACUAGUUCAACAUCGUGGUUCCUCAGCUUCCCAUUCACACUACAUUCAAGAUUGUAGAUAUCUUUUUUGAUAAAACCGAUUUUAUCCAUUCCUCCGGAUUGCACCUCGAAAAUACUUACCUUCUGAUGAAUGGGAAUAUUAACUGAACCCAACUGUUUUGUGAGUACUUUUGUAGAAUCUGAAAUAUGACGGUGUGAUCUCAAUAAAUGCAUUCUUUCUGAGGGUGUCAUCUUAUGAUUGUGUCCCUCUGCAAAAAGAGAUAUGGUAUACUUCUUGCUCCCAUUUGUCUUCACAACCACAAUCUUAGCUUUGCAAUUGCAUCUACUUAUUCCCCGUUGUCUUUUUCUCUCCCGAGUUUCAUCCUUCCUGUAUGCACCUUGUUUGCAACAUACAAAUUCUUUCCUCAAAAUCUCUUUCUUAUUUUUCCCCCAAAAGCUAGAAUGAAGUCGAAUACCAAAGCCAGCCAAGAAUGCAUAUCUAUUAUAGAAAUUGUAAACGAGGUCAAGCGAGUCAAACUUCAUCCCAACUGCUGGUGUUUCCUCAUUUCUUACUUCAGGAAUAUAAACCCUCCCAUUAGCUGUUGCACAUUCAUCACUCUCUGAGCCCCCAAACAUUUUAUCUACGUAUAUUAUUGAUCCACUUCUAUAUUACUGUAUAGCAAUUAUUCAUUCAUUAAUCAGUCAUUACUGCAUCACAACAUAUCAAUGCAUUCCACUUACACAAAACAUUGCCCAAAUUGACACAAAAUACGCAUAGCCUAACUUCCGAUUACACAAAACACAAGCAAAAUUUCAUAAAAGUUACGUCAUCUCUUGUGAAAUAAUCUGGUCAAAAUAACAUUAGAACCAACAUGUUCAACUAAGAACACAAAUGUAAUUCAAACCACCAAUUACAGAACUUCACCCAAUAUCCUCUCCAACUGCUUACUCCUAAUGUCAUUACGCCUAAGUUUAGGUUCUUUUACCUACAUUUCAAAAUUUUCCACCCCGACCAACAACAAUGAACUAAGUAUAUUGAAUAUUCAUAAGGAAAUGACACAUUAUUGAUGCCACAAAUGACGAAUUUCCCACCCUCACAAAAAAUAAACCUAACCCAAUAAAAUCAAUCCAGCAAGUGAACUUACCUCUCAAAAUCAAUCGGGAGCUCUGAAGUCAGUCAGCUUGAAAGACUGUGGUGGACAUUAGAGAAGACUCUUUGGUAUUUGAGACUCCAUCUCUACCAAAAUCGAGGAACAACUGCUGCUGCGGCUUAUAGCUACAAAAACAGAUAUGCUACUUUGCUUUCAUCUGGAAUCUUGUCAGCUGAAUGAAAAAGAGAAGGGGUUUUCACUUGAGCCAUAGAAUCAAAACAGGGCAACAGCUAGGUAAGAGCCAUUCUUCGUAAUACCCAGGAUACUAUAGAUCGCAGGCCUCCCAACGAGCUAAUGACAAUCGAGUGACUAUAAGGUUUGGGAGAUUUGGAUCCUUCUAAUUGUGGGUUUGCUUUACAUUCAAAAAGAAAGGCUUCAGUUUUUCACAGAGAGGGAAAGAGGGGAACAACUGAAGUUGGGUUUCUAACGGGUUAGAUUUCAACCCGAUUCUACAUGCACCCUCUUUUAAAAACUCACCGUUGGAUGAAAUCCAACGGCUCUUACAUACCCCUCAAAAACACCCCUUAUAACUUCCCACUCACUAUAGAAGCUCCCUAAGUUCCAUAUCCAAGAGACCAAUGGGCCUCGUGAAGUAUAUUUAGAGCAAAGUUACAUUAAGGGAAGAUAUUGCAUUUGCUCUGCAUCCGCUUGAAUAGCUUUGAGAUUGCCAACGAAUGGUUCAACUUCUUUCUUCACGUUCAAAACAAGUUACCUCUUCUUCUAUGAAUUAGUUAUUGAAGGCAAGGUUAACGAUAUUAACGACUUUUCUAGCUUAAGAACACACACCAAAUCAAAGUUACUCAAGGCAAACAAAACACAUCUUCUAGAGGAACAGAAAAACUGGGAACUGAUACACAAUAAAAUAAGAGAAAGCCAAAUUCACCAGUUCCUCAAGAGUACAUUUUACAAAUUAAUGACACAAAGGAAGUUUUGCAAAUGAUCAAUACACCAGUAGAUUAGUUAAAUAUAAGGUGCUUACAAAACAAAAAAAUCAGGGCAAUCAUCAAGCUCAGUAGACCUUCCAAAUUUACCAUGUCUCUGUCAAGGCAGUGAUGAAAAUAAUCAAAAUUUCAGUUAUUGGAACUUCCGUAGGCUGACACUUGAUGAUUUACAUCACUCUAAUUGCUUCAAAAGGGUCCCUGAAAUGAUGACACAUACAUAGUUGAUCAUUUAAUUUGCUUCUCGCAAUCAUUUCUCAAUUCGGGAAUUAAAUUUUUAGGGAGAUUCACUAAAUUAGGCAGAUCAAAGCACCUUUCAUACUCAUUUGAAAAAUCCUCUUCAUAGAAAAAUCAUGAUAUCACCACCGCCGAGAGAGCUGUUUCAUACAUGUGCCUAGCGAGUAACCUUCUGAAGAUUUUCAAGGAAACAAAUAUGAUCAUUGUUGGAAUUCAUACAUAAGUAGGUAAAUAAGAGAUUGCUAGAGUUCAAUUACCCGGAUGAAAUGUGGAUGUUUGGGAUCUUAGCAGAAAUCUUGGCCCGCUCUCCACUGCCUUCUUCGUAAUGCUCUUCAAGUCUCCAACAUGUGAUGAUGUCAAGAGUCCGCAGUGGUGUUUUGAAGAUGAAGUCUGGCAGUGCUUUUAGACAUUCGCAGUCGACAAUUCUCAACUCAGAAAGGCAUGGCAUGAUUGUAAUUUCAGAAUCUUCUUUGGUCCACUCUUCCACGCCUUCCCACUCUUCCCAAUUCGACAUGUCGUAAAAGUGGAGCUGUUUCAAUUUUGGGAAUAAUAUUUGGGGUGAUCUAAUUCUGAAUGAGGUUUGAUCUUCUAAUCCCAAAAAUUCAACACCGACCUUUCUCACUCCUGACAUACUGUAUAGGGCCAGUCUUUCAAUGCAUUCCAAUUUCCCAAGAGGCCAAAAUUCACAGAGUGUCCCCCCAUCAACAGUAAGGAAUCUCAAAUUGUGUAAAGACUGAAUCCAAUUGGGCCACGUGGUGCCAAAUGACCACAAAAUCCCUAAAGAUUCCAAAUCUGGGUGCGGUCGUAAGGCAUUCAGUAUUUCCAAAUCUGUCUGCCCAUCCAAAUCAACAGUGAGAUUAAAUAGCUUUUUGUCCCACAAUUGUGCUUUCUCAACCUCGCUCUUAUCUGUGGCAUCCCCCUGAAGUCGUAUUUGCAGACUUCCCUCAAGGUUCAAGUUUCUCAGAUCCCCAAUUUGGAAUGCUUCAUCUUUGUCGCCACCACAUGGACACACAUCUAGUGUUUGCAAACUUGUUAAUCUCCCUAUCACUUUGGGAAACGACUCCAGAAGACCACAAUACUUAACAUAAAGAUGCUUUAAGUUAAUCAAGUUUCCCAUGUUUUCAGGCAGUUUUGUAAGUUUAGAGCAGCCCACAAGGCGCAAGGUUGACAAAUUGUACAAACCACAAAUAGUGUCUGGUAAUUUCUUCAGUAUAUGAUUGGAAGACAAAUCAAUAUGCCUCAAAUGUAUCAAUUCACCAAUCUCCUUCGGGAGUUCUUCGAUGGAAUUACGACUCAAAUUUAAUGUCCUAAGACAUUUCAAUUGUAAAAUUAAAUUUGGGUCUAUGGUAGUAAUUCUUGAAUCAAAAGUUGCGAGCGUGCGGAGAUUUUUGCAAUUGUAAGAUGAGAUAAAAAGUGGAAGUGGACCUUCAGGAAUAUAUCUCAAGGUUAAAUGACGAACCUUAUCACCAAAUACCUUUGAUUCACUGGUAAUUUCCUCACCAUGAUCGAUAAUCAAACACUCAUUCUUGGUGAGAAAUUGUACAAAGUCAUGCACAAUAUCAUGCAUUUUGCAACCUAUAAUGGUACCGGUGUCAGGAUCUCUCUCAAAAUCUUGGAAAAAUGACCGUGCCACUAAGUUGUCAAAAACUGCAUCACCCGUUGUUCCCUUUUCUUUAUUCCCUUUCGAAAUAACAUAGUCUUGUGCCAUCCAAAGUUUAAUCAAAUCAUCUCGUUCAAACUUGUGAUCUUUUGGAAAAGUAGCACAAUAUAAAAGACAACAUUUAAUUGUUGGGGCCAAAUCAUUAUAACUUAGGAAUAGGGGUUGGAAAACUUCUUGCUCGACCUUCUCUAGAUCCCAUAUCUUACUAUGCAAAACUUCUUUCCAUUCUCCCAUUUUUGUCUUAUUCUGCAUGAGACUACCCAAAGUCUUUGCAGCAAGAGGCAAACCUUUACACUUCUUUACAAUUUCCUUACUAAUAUCUCCAAACUCAUGUACAUCCCUAUCCCAAAAGGCCAUGUGAUUGAAGAUUGACAAACAACAUUCAUCAUUCAACUCUCCCAGAUUGAUCUUGUUUCUUGUUGCUCUCAUCAUGUCAGCAACCUCAUGUUUUCUUGUGGUCACCAAUAUUCUGUUGCCUUUAGCACCAUUUUGGAUUAAUGGUACCUUUAAUUGUUCCCACUUUUUAGGAUCAUCGGUCCAUACAUCAUCCAGGACAAGAAGAAACCUUUUGCCCUGGAUGGAUGUAGACAUACAUUGCAAGACCUCAUCCAACUCAUUUGAAUUUGGGGCGUUUUUACCAAUAAUGGCUUUGGCAAUCUUAAUCUCAUCAAAAGGGUCUGAAACACAAACCCAUUUCCUCAACUCAAAAUGGGUUUUGACUCGGUCAUCAUUAUAGGCUAGUUGGGUUAAAGUUGUUUUGCCCAUGCCUCCCAUCCCGACAAUAGGGAUGAUAAGGAACCCCUUCCCUUCCGCACUACUAUCACUCAACAAGUGUGUUAUCAAAUCCUUUUUUUCAUUUUCUCGACCAAAUAUCUCAGAUAUAUCGACAAAAGAUGCAGUUUGAGGUCGUUGAGGUUGUUGAGGUUGUUGAAUGCCUAAUUCUUUGCUUAGAAACUGGUACUUUUUUCUUUCCUCAUAAAUCUCAGUUAACUUAUCAUUCAGAUCUUUUAUUUUCAGAGCAAUGUCAUGGAGAAGGUGAUCUUUUAUUUUGCCAAGACAAAAGUAAGGGGAGAAACUAGAGAAACGUACCUUCUUCCUUGUAACAAGAGCAUUUGGAUCACCUUCUCUUUCUUGCUUCUCAACUUGUUGUUUGAGAAUGUUUGUGUUCCACUCAUCCAGCACAUCCACCAUCUGGUAGGAUAUAUCUUUCAGCUCAUCCAACCAGAUUUUGACAGCUUGAUCCGUCACUUGGCGUUGCUCUGCAUCCUCAAGCACAGCUUGAAUAACUCGGAGAGUCCGAGUGAAUUUCUCAACAUCUUCCUUAACGUUCAAAACACGUUUCACAUCUCCUUCCAUGUAUUCAUAGGUUGUCGAGGCCAACCGUUCUAGCAGCAGGGAAAUGAGCGCACCAGCCAUUAUUUUGAGCUUCAGAAAAUGGUUGACAGCAGUGUUUAUGAAGAAGAACUGAUUUGGGGAUAAUUGUUUGUGUUGCGGUGUUCCCUUUCUUCUGCCCAGUUUAUAUGCUGAGUAAGUCUUCAAGGCAAACUCCAAGUCAAUUUUUAAGAAAUAUCUAAUCUGGGGCUGGUGAGUGCGCCAGACUGUCUUUCUUGACCUUACCAUACAAGACAAGAUUAGUGCGCCAGCUGGCUUAAUAAGCAUUACCAAGAUGUAGUGCAUAAAUCGCCAGACUGUCAUUCACAUUCUAUAUUUUUUACCUGAACUCUACCUACUUGAAUAAAGAAAUGUAUCAAAGAUUGGUUGGACAAUUGAUUUAUUUGUCACACACACCUCGUGACAUAUACUUUGAGUGUAGUUUAGUCAGUUCGUGCAUGUUUUCAGUAAAGAUUAUGUAAAUGAUGUAAGUCAUAUAUUUAGAUAUUUAAAGUUAGCAACAAGAAAAUGACUUAUGUUCUCUAAGCAUAAGUCAUUGGGCAGGUAGUAUCAUUGUCAUGAGCUCUACAUCAAGUAGAUUGGUUGGAGGUAAUUUCUCACUUGGCAUAGCAAUAAGCAAAAGAUGGUGGAGUACAGAAUAAUGGUACAAGGAAUCUAUGAACUAUUGUGAUUGAUAAUGUAUAAAAUAAUGAUCGUAGAUGUUUAAGUGGAUAGACAUUUCAUUAAAAAAUAAAGACAAUUAAUAUUCCAUUUGUGAAGACUAAAGACCAAUUAGUCCAUAUUCUCUCCAAGACAAUUAAAAAAUAAGGUGUGUUACAACUCAUUGGUCAAGUUGAGGAUUGGAGGCAUGUGUUCACCAAUUUGAGCGUGAGUGUUAGUGUGAAUUCUAAAUAUAACCUAAUUUGUAGUCUCCUAUUUGGACUUUAUUAGGUUUAGUUACUUUACUUAAGGUCCACUUCUCGUAACUAGGAGAAGAAUACACAUUUGAGAGUUUUAGGUGUAGCUGCUACUUGUUCCCCAAGAAACACCACAGUCACUAUCACAUCACACACUCUCAUGAUUAUCAAUGGAGCAUAAAUAUAUUGCAGUUAAGUUUCUUUAGCCCAAAUUAAGUACCGCUUGUAACACUCUCAUUCACCCAAUGUUAGACAAGGUCCCAGCCCAAAUCUAUGCAAAUAUUCUAUGUAUCUAAAGUCGCCUGGGAUUUUUGGAGCAUGCCAUGCCUGACAAUCUUCUUUCUAGCAUCUCCAUUCAGUCCUGCCAAUUUGUGGUCUUGUGACUUCCCCCUCAUGGUAUUAUCCCCAGCCUAGAGAAAAGGUUCCAUUGACCCAUAAUUUCUACUACUAGUUCGUAAAAUUGAAUAGUGGCAUGCUCACCAACUAAAAGGGGUAGACAUCCUUUUCUAACAAUCCCAUGAAGGAUUAUAUAAAUCUUCAGAGAAAGGCAGAGAAAACUUGAGAAAUGAACUAAUUAUGUAGGAGACUAUAAAUCUUACAUGAUCAAGCAGAAGAACAUCCUCCUCUUCUUCAAGCCGAGCAAAAUCUAUAGCACGCUGACCAGUGACAAGUUCGAGAAGUGUGAUACCAUAUCCAAAAACAUCAGUCUUUUCUGACGAUUUUCCAGUGGACAAAUAUUCUGGGGCAAUAUGACUCAUGGUACCACGCACUUGAGUGGUAACGUGAGUUGAUUUUGUAUCAACCAGCUUUGCUAGCCCAAAAUCUCCAAGAACGGGCUCAAAAUUAUCAUCUAGAAGAAUGUUUGCAGCCUUUAAGUCACGGUGUAUAAUCUUAGGAUUACAAUGCUCAUGUAAAUACUCUAAGCCAUGGGCUGCACCAAAAGCAAUGCGUUUCCUUGUUGACCAGUCCAAGCCUUUCUCACCAGGUUUUAAAUCUAACACAUAUAUCAGGAAGAAAAUGUUAUGAAUUAAAAAUAUUGAACAGUAGAUAUAUGAGAAUCGUGAUAUGCCAUUCCAAAGAAUUAAGUGAUGAUUAACCUCCAAAUGAACAAGCAUAAAAUACAAAUGAUGUAAAUCCUAUCUCCCCCCUUAAGAAGUAGGGAGGGGGGUGUUCAGGAUGUCCUUACUUGAAUAUUGAGUUGGUUGAAGAAAACAGAAAUUUGUAUUUGGGAAUUUGAAUCACAAAAUGGUGGUUAUAUAUCAAUACGUGCGAUGAAAGACCUCCUCCAUAAGUAUGGGCUGGAAGGUGAGGUUGACCGUACGAUACCUAAUGGGUGUAAGUAAAAUUACCAAGAAAAACAACAAAGGAAGUAAGGAUUAGGGAGCACCUCAGAAAAAAUUUCAAGGAUGGUACCUCAUGUCAUAAUAUGUUGCAGAAUUCUAUUGCUAAAUUAAACCACGAAAACAGAAGUAAAAUUACAGGCUCUCAAAUGGAACAGAACAUGGCAACAGCAAUGAUUUUUUCUUCUUUCUUUUGGGACUGAACACUGAAUUAGGGCUUCUAAUCACUUACCAAGCACAAAAAGAAGUUCAAACCAUGGUUGUAAAUUCAGAGCCACUCACACUGAAAAAUGCAGAGGGGAAAUAGAAAAGUAAACUCAAGCAAUGCUCUUUUAGGACAUACCUCUCAAGCGAUACGCAACACUAAGAUUUUUCAUGAAUGGAUAAACAAGGAUUCUCUCAGAUGAAGUUGUACAAAAUCCAAUCAAACGUAAAAGAUUCUUGUGAACUGCAACGCUAAUUAGUUGUACUUCUCUCAAGAAUGCAGCCUCUCCACCAGGACUGUUAUAAUCUGUAAGGCGUUUCACUGCAACCUUUACAUUGUCUGAGAGGACACCUUUGUAAACUCUUCCAAAGCCCCCUUGUCCAAUUAUGUUGCUUUCAUCGAAGUUAUCUGUAGCAAGCUGAAUUUCACGCCAAGAAAAUCUUCUUAACUGGCCAAAGGAAAUUUUGCACUCAUCUUCACCUAAAAUUACAUUAAAAUAAGAAAAGGGGGUGGAGUAGAUGUUAGUUUGACAAGAUUGUGUAGCUCGUGAUGCGACUUCAGGCAUUUGGACUUUUGAAUACAGAUUAAAUGAAUACAUAAAUCAAACUUGGUAAGUGAUUAUUUACACAUCUGACUUACAAAGGGUGGGGAUCGAUUCUAACUUAACUAGGUUGAGAUGAUUUCAAAUUUAAAUUUCCAUAAUGAUGCUUAGUACAAACUGAAAGUCAUCUCAAAAGUAAAAGGUAAGGAAAAUUUACCUGUAACAUCAACAACGACAUCAUGUGUUAGUUUGUGCAUGCGAUAAUAUCGAUAAGCGAAAAGAGCCCCAAUCAAAAGAAUUACUGUUACACCACAACUUGCCGAAGUUAUAACCGUUCCAAGUUUUGAUUUCUUGGUUGAAACUGCCAAAUUUUAAAAUCUUAGGUUAUUCCACUACUACAUUUUACACUUUGCGCGACGAAGAAAAAAACGUCGCGCAAAGUAUGAUUUAGUCGCCCCAAUUUCAGCGCGACAAAAAAGUCGUCGCGCACAUUCCGUCGCGCGAAGAUCGUGAAGAAAGCCUUUGCGCGACGAGGUAAAACCCUUUGUCGCGCAAAAUUGUGCGACGGGUAAACCAUCGUUGCACCAACGGUGUGGAGACGAAAUAACUGUUGGUGGCAAAAGUAUUUGCGCGACGAUAAAGUAUGCGGUGCACGUACAUUAGCGCGACGAAAUAUUAUUCGUCGCGCAAAAUGUGUUCGCGAGACGUAUAUGUUCGUCGCAGAACAAUUCGCGCGAAUACAACUGUUCGUCGCAAAAGUAUUUGCGCGACGAUCAAGUAUGCGGCGUACGUACAUUUGCGCGACGAUGGGAAUUGCGCGACGAAAUAUUAUUCGUCGCGCAAAAUGUGUUCGCGAGACGUAUAUGUUCGUCGCAGAACAAUUCGCGCGAUGAGAAAGUUUUCGUCGCACAUAUAAUUGCGCGACGAACAUAUAUGUCGUCGCCAAAUAUCUUGCGCGACGAAAUGUUUCGUCGCGCAAAACGUGUUUGCGAGACGUAUGUGUUCGUCGCGCAUGAAUUUAAAAAGAUAAAAAAAAUUUGAUUUUUUUUUUUUGUUACAUGUUGGUUUGCGCGACGAAAUAUUUUCCGUCGCGCAAAAAUAAUAUUACAAAUUUUUUUUUUUUUUUUUUUUAAAAUAAAAUUGGUUUCUUUUUAUUGAUUAAACAAUGAAAUUGCAAUAAAAAUAAAUUAGAAUAAAAUUUUGUUAUAAAAUAAAAUAAAAUAAAUGUAUUACAAAUAAAAUAAAUACACUAAUCAAAUAAUGAAUCAAAAUCAACCGAGUCGUCGCCAGUAUGCGGCUCGGAGGGCGGGGCGUUCACCGGGGCAGUGGUCUGGUGGGGAUGCCCGGGAUGGACGGGCUCAGAGGUCGGCGCAUCAAAACGCGGGACUGGAAUGCCAGCUGUACGAGAGACUGCAGAAUGACCGACAUCGGGCUCUGAAGAGUGGCCACCUGUGCUGUCAAAGCAGUGACCUGACUGUUUGACUGCGCCGAUGAACGAGGUCGAGGUUCCCUCCGCCGGGCAUUCCCCAUCCCUCGACAAUAUGUCCCCGGCCUCCUCCCGAGAGUCUGAUCCAACGUCUCCGUCAAGAUCUGAAAUCCAGCAUCCUGUGGAGGAGCCACAGACUCGAUCGGAGUCUCGGGAGGAAGCUGGGAGGCGGACUCCUGAAGAACAAGCUGGCUCCUCUCCACCAUCGUCGUCUGUUGAACAUAACAUAAAAUAUAAAUUAAAACAUGCAUAUAAAUUGAAUGCGUAACAUAAGAAUUAAAAUUAAAUAAUACUUACAUGAAGGGACUCGGCCAACUCAUUCCCGGGUCGAACAUAAACGUCACCAAAGACGUCGAUCUCUGGGAACUUGGACCCCUCCUAAAUUGAACAAGAGAAGAAAAAUAUUAGUAUGAAAAAAAUAAAUUAAUAAAAAUGACAUUAAAAAUGAAAUAAAAAUUUUGUGAUUAUUACCCGACGCCGUGCAUCCAUCCUAUACGAAAAGGGUCUGGAGCCGGAAUGGUGGAGAAGGGUCUUCUUCUUCCUAUUACCCUUAUUCACUUGGGCUUUAUUCUGUUAUACAAAAAAUGAAACGUAUUAGUUAAAAUAUAAAAAAUUAAAUAAUAAUGAAAUAAAAAAAUAAAAUAAACAUUAAUAAGUAAUAAGUAAUAAUUAAACAAAUAUAAUUAAAAAAAUACCGCAAAUUCGGGCGCUUGAAAAUGAGCGCAGAGCCACUCCCAACUAUCCUCCCGCCCCUCAAGCUCCUUCGGGCAACCCUCCUGAAGAGCGACUUGCGGAUCAUCAUAGGCCUGAAAAUGGUGGUGCAAGUCGCUCUUCCACUGCUUGUACCUCUCAGCGAAGAGUCUGUUGACGUACGUCAACGACUCUUCGUCGAGAUCCUCCAAGUUAUAGUUCGUCUGCAAUCAAUUAAUUAGAUACGUUAAGUAAUAGAAAUAUACACAAUUUUAAAGAAAAAUAAUGAAAAUGUAAGGUACAUACCGACAACUGGCCGCGAACCUCCGCCUGGAUCUCGUCAGGCAUGACCCUCCAAGACUUCCAUUGCAUCGGGCAAUGGGUCCGCACGACGUGGCCAAUGUCGUGGGCCAAGGAGCUAUGCAACUCCGCCGUCGGUGCAGCCCGAUGUCGCUCGUCGUAUCCGAUGUUGAUACGACUGUUGGUCACCUGGGUGACCUUCGCCGUCUUCAACUGCCGACACGGCCCUCGGGUGUUCCUCUUGGCUGCAAAGAAAGAUGACAUGAAUGUUAAACAAAUAACAAAGUUAACAAUCAAAUACACACACACACACACACACACACACACACACACACACAAAACAAGAAAUAAAAAAUAAAAUUAACUGGAGAAAAAGGAAAGCUAUACCUGGCUGUGACCCCGACGCAUCAGUGGAUGUGGUCUCGGUGGUGCUGCCGAGCCGAUGACGCCGCCUGGCACUAACAGGCUGCGCCACUGAUGACGCGGAUGAGGCAGGCCCCUGGGACCUCGCAGGUGCAACUGCCAAGUGGUCCAUCAGUGCCGGCGCAGUGGCAGGAGAUGCUGGAGCAGUGGCAGCAGAUGUCGGCUGAGUCGGGGGCGCCGUACUCUGCGGGGUCGUCACCGCCCUACGACGUGUAAUCAGGUCUGACAUCUGCACAUUUUCAUUAAUACACAUACAAAUUAAUAAAAUAUACGAAUAUUUGAAAACACAUACAAUUUCAUUCACAUUAUUGACCUAGGGUUUGCGAGUUCGGAGUAUCCGGGACUCCGAUCCACGAUCCGUCGAAUCGUAGACGAUCCAAGAAAUACAAGGUACAACAUACGUGAGUUUGAGUUCGAUCCAACGGUCCGAACAUAACAACCCCGGAAAUCGCACAAUAGGCAAAAUCCAUUCGAGGCGCAAACGGUAACCAAAUUCUAAUCCGAAAACACCUAUGCGCUCGUGACAACUACAGGAAUGCACUAGGACCGAAAUCGGGUUGCUACAGGAACCCACGCGCCGCCCCACGCGCCGGCAGCGCGCGGGUGUCCAAAGCGAUACCAAUCGCCGGAAAAUACUUAAAACUAAGGGGCAAGGUUCCUAUCCUAGGUUCAAAACAUCAAUUGGAGCCACUUUUGUUCUCGGACAUACCCCGAAAAAUGGCCGGAAGUGGCCGGAAUUGAAAAUCAAAAUCCGGCCGAAACUUAGGGUUUCAAAUUAAGUGCCCUAGUGCAACAAAUUCAGAAAUCCUACCCAACCAUCAGCUAAAGCAUUAAAAAUAGGAUAGAAACCAUACCUCAGGUGUCGGAAUUGGUCGCCGGAGGAGGGAGAACACGGCGGAGCCGAUUCGGUGAAAACCGAAGAAUUCGCAGCGGCUGGCUUGACGGCGACGGCGGGGGAGCUCCGGGGUACCACCAACGUAGCGGGCGCGGUCCAAAUCCACCGGGGUAGGAGGCUGAGCUGACGGCGGGGAGAGAGACGGCGGGGAGGAAUUUCAGAAGUCUGGGGAUGAAGGAGGCCAUCGCGUGGUUUCCGAAAUUUUAUUCGUUUUUGCGCGACGAAGCAAAAGUAGCGUCGCGCAAGAAUUUUUAAAUGGCUAUUGCGCGACGAAUAAAAUUAAUGUUCGUCGCGCAAAGUCAUUCAUCCGCCAAAAUUUGGUGAAAGUGUCGUUUUUGCGCUACGAAUAUUCGUAUAUGUCCGUCGCGCAAUGUUGGCAGUCCGCCAAAAUUUGGGAUUUAGGGUUUAGCGGGCGAAUUUUUAUUUUUGCGCGACGCACAAACACAUGUUUCGUCGCGCAAUGUUGGCAGUCCGCCAAAAUUUGGGAUUUAGGGUUUAGCGGGCGAAUUUUUAUUUUUGCGCGACGCACAAACACAUAUUUCGUCGCGCAAUGAUGGCGUCCGCCAAAAUUUGGGAUUUAGGGUUUAGCGGGCGAGUUGGAAUUCUUGCGCGACGUACAAACAGAGCGUCGCGCCUGAAUUUGGUACUAGGGUUUGCGCGACGCAUACAGAGCGUCGCGCAAAACCUCGCAAAAAAAAAAUGACAUGUCUGUCUGUCCAAUGAGACAGGGCUGGCUGAGAUUGCGCGAUGUAAAACUAGCGUCGCGCAAACUCUCCAAAAUGUCAAAGUAUGAAUGAUAUUGCGCGACGACGGAGACAGAUUUCGUCGCGCAAUACCUCGCAAGGAAAUUUCCGCCAAGUGUCCAGGGGGGAAGACAGGCAAAUGUGAAAUGUGAAAUAUUGGCUGAUAUGGCGCGACGAAGGGAGUCUAAUGCGUCGCGCAAGAACCCUAAAAAAAUUUCCACUAAGUGUCCAAGGAGGGACAGAGUAAAAUGUGAAAGUUAUGGUAUGGCGCGACGAACUGAAUUGUAUUCGUCGCGCAAUUCAGGCCUUGUGCGACCAAAUACGUUGUUUCGUCGCGCAAACCCUUUACCCUAAACCCUAAACCCUAAACCGCAGAAACCCUCAACCCGAAACUAGUUUUCAUGAUCCAACCGGCAAACUUUUUUUUUUACACUUCUAGAUCGUAUAUGCCAAAAAUCGACAAAAACAAACUUUAAGAGAUCGAGUCACAUGACGAAACUGAUCGACGGUUGUAAAUGAAAAGUCAUGAUUUAACGGUUAUUUUAGCUCUGAUUUGUAUAAUUUUUUGCAGCUACUUUUCUUUACCCUAUUUGAAUACAAUUAGUGAAUUUGAUCUUCAAUUUCAGAUGUUUACACUAGGGUGAUAUGACAUAAGGUGAUGUUAUAUUUAACGAACGUAUAAGUAAACUAUUUAUUGUUUGUGAAUAUAUGGUUGAUAUGGCAAACGCAUUCUACAAAAGUAGUUUCAGCAAUCCAGCCGUCAAACUCGUUUAUUUGUACUUCGAGAUCUUACACCCCAAAAAUCGAAAAAAUAAAACAUUCAGAGAUCAAGUAACGGGACAAAACUUGUGAACGGUUAUAAAUGAAAACUGAUGAUUUAACGGUUAUUUUAACUCUGAUUUUGAUGAAUUUUUACACCUACACUCCAUGACCCUAUAUGAAUACAAUACUCCAACUCGAUCGUCAAUUUCAAAUAUAUAUGUGUAUAUGUAAUAUAUAUUAUAAAAUGAUAUAUAUUUGCGCGACGAACACAGUUUUAUCGUCGUGCAAACUUUUGCGCGUGACGGAAGACACUUUGUCGCGCAAUGUUUUAACUUCACGCGACUAGUGUAUUUUUGGACGCGCUAACUUUGCACGACGCGGGUUGCUUCGUCGCGCAAAAAUAGCACGACGAGGUCCUUUUCGUCGCGCAAGGGUUUUCUGUUUUGCAAAAUGUUUAUUGUCAAUAGUUUUCAAACUCUAUAUAAAAAUGUUUAUUGAUCAAUGUUUUAUAACAAAUUUUGUAUCAUUUUCAUUUUAAAAAUUUGUUUUGUCAAAAAUAAAAAUAAAAAAUGAUUAUUAAAAGGGUUUGGAUAUAUUGAUUUACCAAUGUUUUAUAACUAAAUUUAUUUGAAUAAAGUGUCAGUUUUCCACAUAUAUAAGGUUUGGAUAUUUGUACUAUAUAUAUUCAAACAUUUGUAUUACACAAAGUCUGUACAGUAACGUAAUAAAAUUACAUCAAAUUUAAUUAUUCAUCAUCUGAACUAUAAUAACUUUCGUUAUCGUCGCUAUCAUCACUUUCGGUCUCCCAAUCCUCCUCCUCCUCGUCUACUAUAAUUACAUCAUCUUCGCUGCUCAUGCCCACUGCAACAUCGAAUCUUGGAAGAUCCCCGAGGUCAAUUGUAAUUGACUGAAUCGGUAUUUCGAUUGAAGACACUCCUUGGAUUUGAAACGGUUCUUGUAUAACAUGUGUAUCUCGAAGUGUUUCCGCAUCAUUUUCCAUUGAUGAUUCUAAACGUUGGUCAGCCACAUUGUCGACGUCGUUGUCAGUUAGGUCUAGUUCUGGUAUAGCAUACACGUUCCUAUGAUCCAUCUUCUGAACAACUUUCCAACUGCUGCCGGCUUUAGGGUCAUCUAGAUACACAAUUUGUGUUGCCAUGUUCGCCAAAAUAUAAGGGUCGUCAUCAUACCAAGUUCUGUUAAUGUUCAUAGAUAGUAAGCCAUGGUCGAUUUUAACACUUCCCGGCCUAUUUGGGUUGCUAUCAAACCAUCGACACUUAAACAUGAUCACUUGGUAUCGAUCUUUGUAAAGCAAAUGAACGACAUUUGUGAGUUUGCCAUAGAAAUCAAUGUUCGUACUUUCGCCUCCACCUGGGACAUGGACACCGCUAUUUUGCGUACACAACUUGUCAUCUCGUGCAGCCCCCAAAAAUUUAACGCCGUUAAUAUAACAACCCGAAAACAAUUCAGCGCGAAUCGGGCCGAAGGCCAAGUUAUAUAACUCAUCACUGUAAGUGGGGGAAUUCGAUGAUUUCAACUUAUUCACCUAAUAUAAUAGAAAAUCAUUCACAUGUUAGUCUGAUAAAAUUAAAUACUACAAUUUAUAUUUGUCAAAUACAAAACACUUAUAACUUACAGAUUCCAAAAACCAUUGUGGAAAUAAUUCACGUUGUUUCUGGGCAACUAAAUGUGAUGGAUAUUCUCGCUUCAUCAUCUCUUCAUGCUCAUCUAAGUAUGCCAUUAUCUCAUCACAAUUGUUCAGUACGAACCAAUGCGCUACUUCCAUGUCAUUUCUAGAAAACGACUCCCCUCGUCCAGGAUCUCCAAAGGGCCGUGCGCUUUGGGCAAAAACAGAAAGUUUUUCCUUUCUCAUACCUCCGUCGUUAUUACGCUGAGGACGAUUGAAAGCCGUCUCCACAUCUUUUAAAUACAUUCCACAGAAAGUAAGCGACUCAUAUUGAACCCAAGCCUCUAUAAUUGAUCCUUCGGGCUUGGCCCUGUUGCGUACACUUUUUUUCAACUCUCCGAGAAGCCUGUCAAAAUAAAAAGAUAUGAUACAAAUUAGCAAGCCUGUGAUAAUGAUGCAUGCACAAAGGAAAAUGAUUAUAUACCUUUCUAUUGGAUACAUCCAGCGAUAGUUGACAGGACCAGCAAGCAAUGCCUCUUCUGGCAAGUGAACCAUCACAUGCAUCAUACUUGUGAAGAAAGCUGGAGGAAAUAUCAUCUCAAACUUGCAUAGGACUUGGACAAUGUCAUGGCGCAACUGAAACAUGUCCGUCCUUCGCAAUGUUUUUGCCGUCAGUUGGGAAAAAAAUCUGGAUAACAAGAUGAUUGGCUUCACCACAUCUUCCGGCAGUAGGUGUCGAAUACCCACAGGAAGUAGGCGUUGCAUAAACACAUGGCAGUCAUGGCUCUUAAGUCCAGUAAAUUUACCCCCAUCGACAUUCACGCAACGUGCGAUAUUAGAAGCAUACCCAUCGGGAAAUUUGACAGACAAUACAAACUUUAGAAACUCUUUUUUGUCAUUCGGUUUCAUAGAGAAGAAUGCAAGAUCCCUUCUAGCUUUAUCACUGUCCCUAUUCAUCCAUAAACCCCUUCGUAUGCCCAUUCUUUCCAAAUCAAGACGAGCUUUGAUCGUGUCCUUCGUCUUUCCCUCGAUAUCUAGAAUCGUGCCCACCAAUGUGUCGAAUACAUUUUCUCAACAUGCAUCACAUCUAGAUUGUGCCUCAAUUUCAGUUUCGACCAAUAUGGGAGCUCAAAAAACAUAGGCUUGUGCGUCCAGUUCAAAUGUGUAGAAGGUCUGGUCCGACUAACUGUUUUUUCCCGAACAGAGCAAAAUCCAAACGGUUCAGCUGUUCCAAGAUCUCAUCACCGGACCAUUCUCUAGGUCUGAGGCGACGCUCUGUGUUCCCGUCGAACUCUUUAUCUUUUUCUCGCCACUCGUGGUCCCAUGGCAACCAUCUCCGAUGACCAAGGUAACAAACUUUUCCCGCGUGCCAACCAGAAGUUACAUCUUCCUUGCAUACAGGACAUGCCAUAUAACCCUUUGUGCUCCACCCAGAAACCAUUGCAUAUGCUGGAAAAUCAUUCACAGUCCACAUAACUGCUGCUCGCAAAGUGAACAUCCUCCCAGUUGCUUUAUCGUACGUGCGAACACCGUUUGUCCAUAAAUCCUUCAGCUCAUCAACCAGAGGCCUUAAGUACACAUCAAUUGACCUGCCAGGAUCCUCAGUUAUCAAAACAGUCAUCAUCAUGUAUUCUUUUUUCAUGCAUUUCCAAGGCGGCAAAUUAUAUGGGAAUGCGAAAAUCGGCCAAGUGCUGUGGUGUUGGUUUAGAACCCCAUACGGAUUGAAUCCGUCAAUGGCAAGUCCCAAUCUAACAUUUCGGGGAUCAGUAGCAAACUCGGGGAACGUUCGAUCGAACUCUUUCCAUGCCUCCCCAUCUGCAGGAUGCCGCAUCACAUCAUCGUCUACCCGUUUUUCCUUAUGCCAUCUCAUGUCUGUGGCAGUAUGCGUCGACAUAUACAAUCGCUGCAACCUAGGUUUAAGGGGCAGAUAACGCAUGACUUUUUGUGGUAUCUUAGUCGUUCUAUUCUGGGAUGUCAUUUUGAACCUCGACUCAUUACAUAUAGGGCAUGUAUCCAACGUUUCAUGCUCUUUGUAGAAUAACAUGCAAUUGUUUUUGCAAGCGUGGAUUUUUUCAUAACCCAAUCCAAGACCGUGCAACACCUUCUGUGCAUGUUUAUGAUCUUUCGGCAAACAAUUGUCCGUCGGAAGCAUUCUCUUGAAAACCCCCAAAAAGUAAUCGAAACACAAGUUCGACAUACGAUACUUUAUUUUUCCGUGCAUUAGCUCCACAAUGGCAGUGAGAACGGAAAAGCUCUCGCACCCCGGGUAUAACUCUUGGUUGGCAUUUUUUAACAGUUUUUCAUACUGUUCAAACUCCGCACUGUCUAUUGGUGUAGGCACGUCAUCUUCCCCUUCCUGAUUGAUGUUGGUCGAUGCGAAUGAAAAAGCAUCCUGUAUAAUACCCAUGACUUGAUCAUUAUGAUCCAUAAUAGGUUCAACAUUGUCCACUCUUGGGGCAUUUGAAGACGAAGCAUGGUCUACUUGUUCGCCGUGAAGAUUCCAAAUGAUAUAUGUUUCAAUCAUUCCAUUCCUUACUAAAUGAAAUCCAACAUUUUCAAUUGUCUCCCACAACGUGUUGUUACACCUCCUACAAGGGCAACGGAUUCUAGUUGCACCCGGAUUGUGUCUACGUGCAAACUCAAUAAAAUCCUCGAUUCCAUCCAAGUAUUCGUCUGCGCAUCUAUUUGGGUUCUGUAUCCACCUUCUGCUCAUAAUUCCUGAAACCACAAUCAUGACACAACAAUCACAACAACUUCAUACGAAGUUAUAAUGUCACCUUAUGCCUCCGGUAAGGGCCCUAUCCCAUUCGGGAAUGCAUAGUCCUGUCACGUAACCUACGGCUACAUGAGAUUAGAUUUCGACGUGGAUUAAUUUCGGCAGCAUCUCGGCACAGUUCUUGAAGUGGGCAUAGGUAUAAAUACCUACGUACCACCCGAAGAACGUACCGAGAUGACACCGAAAUCUCCACAAUCGAAACCUAAUCCUGUAGCCGAAGAUUAUGUGACAACACUAUGCAUUACCAAACUGUCCAAAUAAUGGGACAAUUCAAGAAUUAAUUGGACCGCAGUCAUGCCUUACGCAUCCAUGCACGAAAUCCAACUAAUCUCGAACGGGAAACUACGUGUUACUAAACAUAAAAAUAAAAGUACGAAGUUAAUUUCAAUUAACUUCGUACAUCACAAAUACAUUGUGCUACGUCACGCACAAUUUCACAACAUUAUACACAUAAAACUUGACAAAAAAAUUACAAACUUAACAAACAAACUUUUACAAUAACAUACCUUCUCAAUCGUUCUCCACUAAUCACAGAUAUCCCUAACGAGAACAAAAUUAAUAGCGUUAGUACGAAUUUACAUUAAUACAUUUAAACUAAUGACAAAAAAUACAUAUCCAAUUAACGUACUGAAUUCACAGCAGAGCAGCGGCAGGAGGAGUGAGAGAGAGGAGAGAGAGGCAGAAUGCAAUUUCUGCAUUCUGCCUCUGCAAUGGCAAAUACUAAUAUGAAGAAGAAGGACUUUGCGCGACGAAGAGUAAAUUUCGUCGCGCAAACAGCCGUCGCAAAAGGACACUUUUCCGUCGCACAAAACAACAUUUCCGUCGCGCAAAUACGUGCCGACAUCUGCUUUUUUGCGCGACGAAGAACACUGUUCGUCGCACAAACAUUCGUCGCGCAAAUUAUAUUUUUCGUCGCACAUGGUUUACAUUUCGUCGCGCCUAAUAUUAAUUUCGUCGCGCAAGAGCUCACCGGCAUUCAACUUUUUGCGACGACGAAAAUCCGUCGCGCAAAAAAAAUUUUACCCGCCCUUCAUUUUGGCGCCAAAAAAAAAUAUCCCUCGUUUUCUUACGCGACGGUACAAUUGUUCGUCGCGCUAAGUUGUCUUUCGAGACGACAACUUCUGUCGCGCAAAUUUUUUACCCGCGAAAAAAAAGGGGUCCCUUUUCUGUCCAUCUUUACGCGACGAAUCAUUUAUUCGUUGCGCAAUAUUGGCAUGCGCGACGAUUUUUGUCGUCGCGCAAGAUUUUGGCGCCAAAAAAAAAACCGGGUUUUUUUCUAUUUCCUUUGCGCGACGAAAUUAAUAUAGGUCGCGCAUACACUUUUUGCGCGACGAUUAUUUUUGUCCCGCUAUUUUUCUGUCUUUUUCGUCGCAAUAGUGUUGUUUGCGCGACGAAAACGUCUUCGUCGCGCAAAUAGUAAAUCGUACUAGUGUUCAAACAUAGUUGGUAAACUGAAAUAGUAGAGUUGUACAAAGAAUAAACCUCGGAGAACAGAGCCAGAAGCACAAGGCUGCUUCAAGCUAGAACCACAAGCAAGACGUGCUCCUGUAAAACUGUAAGGAUAAAACAAUUAAUAGCAAACCAUUAAGGAUAUAUAAUAUAACUACUGGACAAGUAUACAGUAAGUUGCAAAUUAUAGAAUGUAGACGCAAUGCUGAAGGAAAAUAUCAUAAUAACGGAAAGGUCAAUUUUUACACAACAUUGGAACCAAAGGAGUUUACGCCAUUUUUUAUUAUAAUAAGUAGGAAUUUAAGCAUUUGAAAAAUAAUAUAUAUACAUCCAAAAUGAUACUCGUGCUUGAUGAAACUAUUAUAAGUGGCAGUCCAGAAGUCAGCCCAGUCCUACACCAACAGUAGGGGUGGGCGAAACCAGACUGAACCAGACCGAACCAGCUAGUUUGGUUAGGAUUUUGACAAAAAUUAAGGUCAUACGGUUCAAAAUCCAGCUCAGUUCAGCUGGUGGUUUCAAUUCCCUCAGGAACGAGAGAACAUAACCGAAUAAUUUCCCACUCUUUUUAUUAAUUCCAUCCGUAUCCCUCCUAUAUAAUCAUCUUUUUCCCCUAGCUCUAGCCACAUAAACCUAUCUCUCCAGUGAAGGAAUUAAACAAAGACAUCCUUCGCAUAACUCCUUUAGCAUGCAGACAAACACAAAACAAGGAUGUAUUUAAAAAUAAUAUAUAUUAUAUGAGUAUGAUAUAUAUAUAUAUAUCCAAUUUUCUAUAACAGGGUUAACCGUAUUUGCGGAUAACCAAGGUCGCCCGGCUAGUGCAUUUUGGUAAACUGGCCGUGCAAAAUCUGGUUAUCCACUAGUGUGGUUAACCAUAUUAUAGAAACACGGAUAUAUAUAAGUAAUCCCCAUUAACUCUCUUACAAUAAGAAUUCGUAAUUAUUGCUGAUGCCAAUACAUCAAUACAAGGGAAUAUAAAAGGAAAUGAGAAUCAGAGUUUAAUGGGAUUUACUUGAAUUUUGGAAUUGUAAAGAAUUGCAUUGGAACUCUUCCGGUUAACUCAUUCGAUGAAAGAUCCCUGCCCAAAAAAAAAAGGAAUUAAUAAAUGGUAAAGAAUUUCACACAGUGUGCAAGCUCAGAUGGGCAUGCAAUUAUAUUUAGGCAAUAAGUCAAACAGCAGGAUUGCGAAAAAAAGGAAUUGCUUACAGUUCAGUCAACCCGCUAAUAUUUGAAAGUGAAUCCGGAAUAUGUCCAGAUAUGUGGUUACCCCUCAAUACCCUGAAGCACAGGUGAGAUGAUUAAAUUUUCUUUUCUGGAGAACAGGAAAGUGUUCACAAGAUAGUACUUUCCAAUAUAAACAGUUGUAGAACACUCAGAUAAGACAACAGCAUAAGUAACUGCUACAGAUCAAGGCAAAUCCCCAAUAAAUACAAGAACAUUUUACAUAUAUAGACGAAUAAGAAAGUUGGAAUAUUUUAGGAAGGGAAAUGCAGCCUUACAAAUGCUUUAAAUUGGACAGUUGACCCCAGGUAUUGGGUAUAGGACCUCUGAAAUUAUUGUUUGCAAGAUUUAGAUUCUGUAGAUGUGUCAUGUUGGCAAGAUAAAUGGGUAACAGGCCUGUUAGACUAUUAUCCUGGAAGUCCCUGCAUAAAUAAAGUUAUUUUAUCAAAAUUCAUGACUGGAUGCAAAAAAAUAUAUUCUUCAGAAUUAAACAAACAAGAACUACAAUAAUGAAGGCAUUGGUAUUAUAUUCCACUUUUUUCUAUGACUCAGGUUGACAGUAUGUAAAGUUACAAUGAUAAAGGGAAAACUUAAAUUCUCCCUCUCUCUCUCCCUCUCUCUCUCUCUCUCUCUCUCUCUCUCUCUCUCUCUCUCUCUCUCGGUACCAGAGCACAUACUAGUGAUCCAAAAUCAGGUUUCAGCCAAUGUUACAUUUUCUGACACCAUCAGCCCAGAAUACUAAUGCAUCAAGAAGUUGACUUACAGGCUAGCCAAAAAUUUCAGUUUAGUAAUCGAAGGAGAAAGCGUUCCAGAAAAUCCAUUAGAUGCCAGGCUCCUGCAAAGUAGUACAUUCACAAACUAAAUGUACUGCAAUGAUAAAUGAUUUUCAAAGAUGGCGAUAUUAAUAAAAUAUAUAUUUUUCAUGAUCAUAAAAUUUAGUUUAACUUACAGGGAUAUGACAUUUCCAUUUCUACAAGAAACAGGGGCUAACGAGAUUAUAAUUCCAAUCUGUUAUUCGGCCACUGGAAUCAUUCAGUGCCCUAAGCAAAUCGAUCAAUGCUUCACCUGCACAUUAUCGUAAGUGAAGAACGAAAUUGUAUGUAGAACCAUAAAUGGCUGGUGAAAAGAACUUUUGUUUAUAUUACAAUUCUAAUAAAUGAAAAAUGAAAAAUUCUUGGACUUAGGUAAGGCAUAACACAGAAACCAUGUGAGUACGGCAGUAGAUAAGGUAGAACACAGAAACCCUGUGAGCACAACAGUAGAUAAGGCAGAAGCAAAGACAAAGGGCAAGGCCACAACAACAACAACGACAAUGACCACAUCAACGGAAAGCAAAGCAAACAAAGACAACAUCAACGGCGGCAACAUCGACCACAACAGAAACACACCAGCAAAGGCAUGAGCAACAAUACUGACACCAUAACAUGCAUGAGCAACAAUACUGGUACCGAACAACAGCAAUACAAGGCACUGGCACCAGCAAGAGUAUUAAGGCAGGGACAUAACAGACAUCAUCAAUAGUAAUCAACAUUGCCCCCAACAAGAGUUAUAAUAGGCAGGAGCAAUAAUACUGUCCCCAACAAAAGACAUAAUAGGGAUAAGCAACGGUACUGGCACUAGCAAAGGACAUAAUAGUCAGCAGCAAUAACAAUGGCAAAUACUUCCAUUAUCGCACAAACAACUUAUCUUCAUUCCCCCUCUCCCCUUGAAGAGAACGAGUCAUCAGAACCAUAAGAGAAGUGGCACUUAAGAAACAGAAGCUGAUUGACGCUCAAAUGUAGAACAAUCAGUCAUGGCAGAUAGGUAGCUAAAUUGCAGUGGAAUAGAUAAGCAGCGAUGUCACUCCCCCUCAAAUCCGACGAUGUAUGAGAGUCGAGAUUUGGAGAAAGCAACACCGAAAAAUAAAGUUGCAUCUAUUUCCCCAUCAAAUCUGACACUGGUAAAGGGUCGAGAUUUGGAAGAAGAUAAAUUGAAAUAAUAGUAAAGAGACUCAAACAUGCCAGUCUCGUGGCAGAAACAAAUGCAAGAGGGGAAGGUGGUAGCAUACGGCUGUCCCAUGUAGAAAAAACUUUAGAAAAAGAGAAUAGUAAGGGAGGAAACCCAACAAAUCAUGAACAGAGACAAAGACAAAGAUAAGGUGCUCAAACAGGAAUUAGAGCAAAGGGCACCGAAAAAAGGAAACCUUUCAUGUGUGGAAUAGGAAUAGAUAGAGUGCCCAUCAAAAGGAAGCAAUAUUAUAUAAGGGAGUUGUGAAAGCGAGAGAUAAUGCAGCGAGAAAACAACAAAAUGGAAAAGGUUGGUAAAAGAAAGAUGAGAAAUAGAGAGGACCUGAAAAGAGUUUGGUUGCAUAGCAGGGGAAACCACAUCCAUAGAUCAAAGAGGAAGAAACUAAAGAUAUUUAAAAAGUAAAGCAUGGGAAAUUGCAUGUGACAAUUUUUAAAAAGAAACUAGUGGAAGAAAGUGAGGUGCUAGAACCGAAAAAAGGAUAGAAUAAUGCUGUGAUUGAAGGAAAAUAAUGACAAAGGAAGGUAUCUGUGAGGAAAUAGACAGACAGAGAAAGGGAUGAAUAUUGGAAAGAGGCCAAAGGUAGAAAGAAAUAAGCAUAAGGGUAAAAAGGAAGGAGAUAGAAAAAUAAAUAAUAAAUACCCAACGGGAAAGGCUAGAGUGACAAAGCUAGAGAGAUGGCAUGGGGAAAGAACACAACAAACACCAGCCAUUGGGCAUAGACAAACAAAAGAGAUAAACAUAAAUAAAAGAGAGCUAAAUAGAGCAAAGAGAGAAACAAAGAAAGGGUGCUCAAAACUGAGAAGCGGAAAGGCAACUCAAGAGAACAGCCGAAGAAGGCAGAGAUCGGCAGAACAGUCAAAGGAAAGGCUCGGUCAUGAGUGGUGACAAGGCUCGCGGAGGAAAGCAACGGCACGGUAAACGGUGACAAGGCUCACGGAGUAAAAAGACCUGUUAUGAAGUUUCAAAGAUAAAGAAGCUGGGACAUCAAGAAAGACCAUCUGGCAUACAAAGAUUAAAAAUAAAAAAAUUUGGAACAAUAGCAAAAAAGCAUGUGAAGGCUAGGUGUGGUGAAAACACAUAUGAGAGGAUUGAUCAAAAGAAGAUGACUAUACAAGAUGAAGACCCAUGAUGGGUUAGGAAUGAGGAGUGUCAACGACUCUCAAUUUGACAGAGGUUAUCACAUGUUAGAAACUAGGCUCUGAUACCAUGUCAAACAAAGUAUGGUAAAUAUUCAAUUAUGCUCAGAUAUGCUCAUAUUUUUAUUCUUCUCCAAUAUGGAGGUAUUUAUACAAGUACAAAGCUGUGUUAACCCUAAAUAAAAUAGGAAAUAUAUCUAAAUUACAAUAGGAAGUAAAUCUCUAUUACAAUAGGACUAAAUAAUAAUUGGUAAGUAACCAAAAUUCUAAUAAAAUAAGGAACCAAAAUCCUAACUAAAUAAGGACUUGCCAACAGCACGACCUUGAUGCACUAUGAGAAUCGAGGCGCUGGCCACAAUGUUGGACGAUGCCAAUGCAUCUCCCAAGGGUCCGAGCUCCGGGCAGUCACCCCACUCGGAUAGCCCGAACGUGAGUGGUGAGGAACCUGUUUGCCCUCUUCCCACGAUAUAAAGAUCAUAGUCAUUUCCCAUGGCGCUUAUCAAUUUGAGAGUUUCUUCUCCAUUGUUCAACACCUCGUGAAUUAAUUUUAUGGAAGGUUGGUUCCUAGUAUUGAGCACAAAGCUCUCUAUAUAUUGGUCGUCUAGUUGUUUCUCCUUCUCAUUUUCCUCUAUCACCUCUAAAAUAUUCUUCUUUUCGUCCUCAUCAUGAUCGUGAUCAUUAUUAUUAGGAUUGUUGGGAGGGAGAUCUGAAUGAACUGCCGCAUCUUUACUGACGAUGAAACGAACCACAGUUAAGCUGAUAUUAGGUUUAGGGUUAGGAUUGCUGGCUAUCCUCCAUGCAUAUGCCAAUGCCUCGCGGUCAUCUGACCCACUAAUGAAGAGCAUGGCACAGCGGCAGCAGCCAUGGCCAUCUUCAUUUUUAAUGUUAGAUGAAUCGGUGAGUCCACGAUCCACGAAGAUGGCCACCGAACAAGAAGCGUUCUCUAGAAGAUUCUUGUUAAUGCCUCUAAAAGAGGGGUUUUCGUUGUCCAUUCCCCCGUAAAUGGUGGAUUGCUUGUGGAAAGGAAUGAUUAUGAGGUCUGCACUCUUGUCGUCCGCAAGGUUGCAAAUGUCCUCAUGCAUGGAGGCGUAAGAGGACACAACAGUUAGUGCCUCCACGAACAAGCUGCUUUCUUCACUUUCGUUCUCAAGUUUUUCAAAGGCAGCGACAAUUUGGUCAGAAGGCGAAGAGUGCUUUUGAUUUUUGGCUGUAAUUUUACUUGUCUUACGAAUAUUGCUGCAUGUGUCGUGGACUAUGAGCAUGGCAGAAGCAUGGCCACUGAGCUCCACCAGAUGGACCGCAAAGACGAACAUCGGGGAUUGUUUGGUGGGAUUGGAAAUCUCCAACAGAUUGAUGACGCUUGAAACAUUGCUUGUUGAAUGGAAGCAAGUAAGGAUUCGAAUCUCUGAGUUGGGUUGUAUGCUUCUUAUGCUUCUGUGCGUGUGCUGCUUAGAUGGCACAUUCGACUUGUAAAUCAAAGCCAAAAUGGGUCCAACCGCGGCCGUCAUUAUCAAAAUUGCAAGCAUCAUUACUGAAAAAGUAUUAUGGUCCAAAACCUGCAUUUAUAUAUAUAUAUAUUUGCCAAUUAAAACAAUAUAAAAUCAGGAAUUUAACACAUGGUUUUAAGAUAUAUAUUUCUUAGAUGUAAUCUAUGUGUACUAUUAUUUAGGAGAACACUUGGUACCAUUGUGUUAAAUUUCGGAGAGACGGGCCAGCGGUCCAUUACCAGCAACACCAAUAUUAUCCCCAACUUGAUUAAUUAAUCAUGGAAUAUUGUGUGUAUGUGGGUGUGGAAGAGGCAGCUGCACAUGCAAUAAUGAAAUAGUUGUACAUAAUGUUGGCGUGGCUUGUGGAUAUUGACUUACUUUCCUUACACACCAAGAAUUCCUAUUAUAAUUGUAAUUGAUUUAUUUUAAUUCCUGAUUUCCUACUGUAAAUGGAUUUAGGAAUUUAUUAUUUACUUGCCCAUUCAGGUUUCGUUGUAUUAUAAAUAUGACAUCCUACAAGGAGAAGAAUACACAGAAAAUUCCCACAAACAAAUAUUCUCUCAUAGUUUUCAUAUUUUAGCAUGGUAUCAGAUUGGCGAUCUUGGAAUUGCUGACUCUAGUUUCAAACCCCCGCCGCCGCUAUGGGGGUUGAUGAUUUUUUCAACCCUCAUGGAGGUAGCACCACCGACUCCUUCUCUCAUUCUCAACCAACCAUCGUUGAGUUGAGUGCCCAGAUGGCUCAGCUCCUACAGAUGCAGACUUUGACCCCGAACCCGAUCCAGAAUCAGGAUCCUCUUUUGACGACCCUGACCCCGACCCCGACUAUGAUGAUGACGACCCCGACCCCGACUCCGAAGACGACCCCGACCCCCACUCUGAUGACAACCCCGACCUCGAAUUUGUCUCUGAUUCAGACCCCGAUACUGAUUUCGACUCCGACUCCGGCCCCGACUUAGGCUCAAAUUCCGAUCCAAAUUCCUACUCAACCUGUAUCCUAUGCAUCUUCCGUUGCACAGAUUAUGACUUCUCGACUAACGACCCCGACACAUGGACCAGAUUGCGCAUAUUGUGGUGAUCCGAGACACACUUGUGAGACUUGUUUUAAAUUGCAUGGCUACCCCGAUUGGUGGGCUGCUUUUACAGAUCGAGGACAAUGCAAUAUGACCAGUAAUGGUACUGGUUAUGGAUUCCAUACUUCCGAUAAGAUUGAUUCCAGGAGCUGGAUAAUUGAUUCUGGUGCAACUGAUCAUAUGACGUUUGAUCCUGAUGAUUUUCUGAAUACUACACAACCUCGACGAACCUGUAUUGCAAAUGCCAAUGGUGUUACUUAUCCUGUGACAGGGGCUGGCACUGUUGCACUUUCAUCCUCUCUCACACUGUCUAAUACUUUACUUAUUCCAUCUUUAUCCACUAAAUUGUUGUCAGUUAGUCAGCUUACUGAACAAUUGAAUUGUUGUGUACUCAUUUACCCGAGUUUUUUGUUUGCUUCAGGAUAUUCACACUAAGGAGAUUCUUGGUCGUGGUACUAAGAGAGGGGGGCUAUAUUAUGUCGAUGACUUCAGUCCCGGCGUGGCUAACAGUGUGACACAUCCCUUUGAUAGCAAACAAAAGCAAAUCUGGUUGUGGCACCGUCGAUUGGGACAUCCGUCUUUUCGAUAUAUGAAGCAUCUUAUACCAGAUUUAUUCUCAGGUUUCAAGGACUUCGACUUCACAUGUGAUACUUGUAUUUUGGCCAUGAGUCACCGUGUGCCCUACCCGUUGAGUACGAACAAGUGUACUACUUCAUUUACCUUAAUUCACUCUGAUGUCUGGGGACCUUCGCCUAUCACUGCUCCUUCUGGUGUUCGAUGGUUUGUCACAUUCAUCGAUGAUUGUACACGGAUGACAUGGCUUUAUUUGUUGAAGAAUAAAAAUGAAGUGUUUUUCCAUUUUCAGUCUUUCCAUAAACAGAUGAAAACUCAGUUUAAUGCUCAAAUCCAGAUUCUUCGCUCAGACAAUGGUGGAGAAUUUGUCAAUCAUGACUUUCAGACUUACUUCCAACAACAUGGAAUUAUCCAUGAGACGACUUGUCCUCAGACACCGCAGCAAAAUGGCAUUGCUGAACGAAAGAAUCGACAUCUUCUUGAAACCGCCCGAGCACUUCUGAUUGGCGCUCAUGUUCCUCGUCAUCACUGGGAUGAUGCUAUUGUCACCGCAGUUCACCUGAUCAACCGCAUGCCUUCUGGUGUAUUGAUCUUUAAAACUCCCUUAUAGGUGCUUGCAGAACACAGACCUCUGCCCUCUGUUUUGGUACUCACACCUCGAAUCUUUGGAUGUGUGGCUUUCGUUCAUCUCCACAAAAAUCAACGUAGCAAACUUGAUCCCUGUGCGCUUCGUUGUGUUUUUGUGGGUUAUGCCACUCAUCAGAAAGGUUACCGCUGUUAUCACCCUCCUACCCAACGAACCUAUGUCACUUUGGAUGUGACCUUUAUGGAAUCUGAGAUGUUCUUCCAUGACCAUCAUCCAAUUCUACGCUUCAGGGGGAGAUACAAAGUGAAGAGCAGAAUUGAAGCAACUUGGAAAACAAAGAAAUUAUUCUCUGUACAGAAAUGAUUGAUCAUCCCGAGUCUGGAGCACGAGAUUACUCUCUGUCGAAAAGCGACCAAUCGCCCAUUCAUAGCGAUCAAUUGCCUAACCCACCUGAUCCAUGCGAAGAUAUUUCUGAUCUAAGUUUCACACCUACAGGCAAUACAAAACAACAAGAUGAAGACCCCCUCUCUAACUCAAUAGUACCAACACACCAAUCUCCUGAGAAUAUCCUUGAGGUAACUACUCCUACUAGACUUGUACAUUUAGAUGAUAAAACUAUUCGAUAUCAAUUACCUUUCAGGCAAAAUCGUGGGAAGCCACCAAACCGUUAUUCACCUGAUAUUGGCAAGACAUCCAAGUAUCCAAUUGCAAAUCAUGUAUCCACUGAGAAGCUGUCUGAACCACUCAAGGCUUUUGUGCAUCAGUUGUCUGCUAUCUAUAUUCCAACAAAGGUCUCUGAAGCAUUGAAAGAUCCUAAGUGGGUCCAAGCUAUAAAAGAGGAGAUGAAAGCUCUUGAGAAAAAUCAAACUUGGACAUUGGAGACUAUACCACGAGGAAAAAAAACUAUCGGAUGUAGAUGGGUGUUUACUAUAAAACACAAUGCAGAUGGAUCUAUCGAGCGAUACAAGGCAAGACUUGUGGCAAAAGGGUACACACAGACCUAUGGUAUAGACUAUGAAGAAACCUUUGCUCCAGUUGCAAAGUUAAACACCGUCAGAGUCUUAUUGUCCUUUGCAGCUAAUUUGGAUUGGCCACUACACCAAUUUGAUGUAAAGAAUGCUUUUCUACAUGGUGAACUCACGGAGGAGGUGUACAUGGACAUUCCUCCUGGAUAUAAUACUUCUCAGAUUGGAACAGUUUGCAGGUUACGAAAAGCAUUGUAUGGAUUGAAACAAUCACCACGUGCAUGGUUUGGACGGUUCACCAUGGCAAUGAAGAACAAUGGUUUCAAACAGUGUAACUCAGAUCAUACUCUGUUCUUGAAACAUCGAAAAGGGAAGGUAACAGCAUUAAUAAUCUAUGUUGAUGAUAUGAUUAUUACUGGGAAUGAUAAACAGGAAAUAUCACAGCUACAAGACUAUCUGGCUACGGAGUUUGAGAUGAAGGAUCUAGGUGGACUCAAGUAUUUCUUGGGAAUUGAGGUGGCUCGAUCACAGCAAGGCAUAUUUCUCUCUCAAAGGAAAUAUGUCUUGGACUUGUUGACAGACACAGGAAUGCUAUAUUGCAAACCUGCGGACACUCCUAUUGUUCAGAAUCAUCAUCUUGGAGAAUAUCCGGAUCAAGUUCCAACUAACAAAGAAAGAUACCAAAGGUUAGUGAGAAGAUUGAUCUAUUUGUCACAUACUCGACCAGACAUUGCUUAUGCAGUGAGCGUUGUUAGUCAAUUUAUGCACUCUCCAAGUGAAGAUCACAUGAAUGCAGUUCUUCGGAUACUUAGAUAUUUGAAGUCUGCACCUGGAAAAGGACAUAUGUUCUCAAAGCAUGGUCAUCUAAAUAUUGAUGGUUAUUCAGAUGCAGAUUGGGCAGGUAAUGUAACAGAUAGAAAAUCCACAUCGGGUUACUUCACAUUCGUGGGAGGUAAUUUGGUGACAUGGAGGAGCAAGAAACAGAAUGUAGUAGCUUUAUCCAGUGCAGAAGCCGAGUUCAGAGGCAUGACUAAAGGCAUUUGUGAACUUCUUUGGUUAAGAAAGUUGCUUACUAAACUUGGGUAUAAACCUACAUCCACAAUGAAUCUCUUUUGUGACAACAAGGCUGCUAUAGCCAUUGCACAGAAUCCGGUUCAGCAUGAACGUACUAAACAUGUUGAGGUGGAUCGACACUUCAUCAAACAGAAGCUUAAGGCUAAAGUGUUUCAGUUUCCUUUUGUGAAAUCCGAGGAUCAAUUGGCGGAUAUUUUGACAAAGGCAAUUUCCAGUAAAGCAUUCCACAAUUCACUAGAUCAGUUGGGUAUUGACGACAUCUAUGCACCAACGUGAGGGGGAGUGUUGGCAUGACUUGUGGAUAUUGACUUACUUUCCUUACACACCAAGAAUUCCUAUUAUAAUUGUAAUUGAUUUAUUUUAAUUCCUGAUUUCCUACUGUAAAUGGAUUUAGGAAUUUAUUAUUUACUUGCCCAUUUAGGUUUCGUUGUAUUAUAAAUAUGACUUCCUACAAUGAGAAGAAUACACAGAAAAUUCCCACAAACAAAUAUUCUCUCAUAAUAUUCAUAUUUUAGCACAUAAUAGUAUAUACAUACAUGUAAGUCCCGCCCAGAAUUGAGGAUUAUUAUAGCGAGCAGGCCUUUGGUGUUCAUGACUAGUCCGAAAGCCAAACUGUCCCUCACCGACAUUUUGUUGAUGAUGGCAGCGACGAAAGUCACAACAAAUUUAGCGAGGAAAGCCAGGGCAACAAUUGACAUGACAAUUAGAAGGCUUGUACUGCGAAAGACAACAACGACAUGCGUUCUCAUCCAAGAAUCAAAAAGAAGAGUGGCAACAAGAUUUUUGACACAAAGUCCUCAACCUUUUCGGUGAUUGCAGUUUUGAGCUCUCCCUUGGGCAAAAUGGCUCCCAACAUGAAGGCCCCAAGAAUGGAGUGUGACCCGAACGCAUCACUAAUGAACCCAAACAGUAGAACCCCGGCCAUGAUAAAGCAUAUUUGGCUGUCCAGGUCGUACUUUUCUUCAAAAAAGCUCGUGUUGCUAACCAUCCACGACAGCGCUGGACGAAGCCCGUAUACACAGAAUAUGAUCAAUGUGAAAGUGGACAACACUGUGUAAAGUUUGCCAUCGCUGAUUGUGGCCACCGUGAUGACAAGAAGAACUGAAGACAUAAGGUCGUUGAUGACGCUUACGGAGAGGGCGGUCCGGCCAACGUCACUGUGCAGUAGCUUGGCAUUGGCAAGUACUCGGGCAAGUUCGGCGAAGUUGGUGGUGGUAAGGGUGAUGCCCCAGAAGAAAGGACCAUAAGUGGUAGCCUUUAGUGGGCGGGAGUUGGGUGUUAGGGUUUUAUGCAGGAGAUAGCCAAGAGGGAGGGGAACCAGAAUUCCAGCAGCGGCAAUGCUCCAAACUUUUUUCUGGCCUGCAAAAUUGGCUUGAAAUCGACCUCUAAGCCCUGGAGGAACAUGUAGUAUAUCAACCCCAAGUUGGCCAUUGUCUCUAUGGUCAAUGUGCUUUUGACUGGAAAUAGGUAUUUGCGAGAGAACUGGGUUUUCUGGACAUAAGAUGGACCCAAAAUUAUGCCACCCUGCAAUGUGCGUGCCAAUGUAUUAUUAUUUGUCUUUGUCAUUAAAAUAUCAAUAUUAUAUUUAUAGAUGUGAUAUUCUCAAUGAAAAUUCGUGUUUCACCAGGUAAUCGUUUGUCUCUCGCUAUAAAAUUCUGAUCAUAAAGCAUAGAGCAUAGAGCAUAGAGAUAUAGAAUAGAAUUACAGCUUACUUACAAUAAUGUAAGCAAUGAUGCGAGGUUGGUGCAAAGGUGCAAGGAGAAGCUUGAGAAGGUGGCAUAUAAACAUAAUGAGACCUAGUUGGGUGAAGAAGAGAGGAAGAGUUGAAAGCAAGGCAUUCUCAGCCUUCCACACCCCAGUCACGUGUGUUAUCGUUUUAUUAUAACAUACCCUCGUAACAUCUGCUUCUACUACCCCGCCAUUGUCUCGUAGCGCAUCAUCCAUUACGUACGAUACUUAUAUUUACAAUUUUCUUUUUAUAAAAGCGUUGUUAAAGAAUUGGAGGAUUCAAACAAAAGACCUCAAAUGCAAAAGAAACUGUCCUUACCUACUUGAGCUACAAACUCUAUUUACAAAUUAGAUAAUAGGAAUUCAAGGUUUCUGUCAGCCCUCCCAAGCUACAUCAGGACGUCUUUCUUUUGCCUUGGAUGAAGUCCAAAUCGCUAGAAACACCACUUCCAUCAAAGACAAAGACAAAGACUAUGACAAUGAAACUAGAAAAGAAAAGUGAUUGUUAUCAGACAACAAAAAUUAAAGAGGAAUGAAUAGAAAUCAAAGUUUCAAUACUGAGGGAUUAAUUAGUUAAUUAGUUGCGCCUAAACUAGCUGUAAACUCUUCUUAAUUUGUUGGCUGUUAGUUCAGUUUGGUUGGCAUCCACGCAUUAUUAGACUUUUAUUUUUAUUUUUGGUGGCAUCCAUAUAUGCAUUAGAAUCUUCUUAUUGAAUUGAAUUGGAUUGGUUGGCUUUUCGAUCUCUUCCAAUUUUCCAUAAAUAAAGUUCUGAUGAAUCUCUACAUGUUUUGUUCUAUCAUAUUGAAUUGGAUUUUCAGCAAUCUUAAUUGCUAACUAAUUAUCACAAUACAACUACAUAGUAUCCUCAGUAGGAAAACGCAGCUCCCCCAUAAGCCUUUUCAACCAUAUAUAGCAGUUCACGAACACCUUUCACCAUAGCCUGAUAUUUGGAAAAUAGUAAGUAAACGCAGGGAGAAGUAAGAAAUUGGAAUCAUUCUAAUAACCAUGUGUAAGUAAACGCAAGAAAAGAAGGAAUUGGAAUGAUUCUGAUGCCUCUUUCUCUGUGUUAAAGUAAGUUUUCUUAAUGUUUUAUUAUUACUAAAAAUAAUUGAAAGAAUGAAAUUUUGAAUAAGAGAUGUGGAUGUCCGACUCAAGCUACCAUAUAAAUUAGUUUACAAAUUAAUGUAUAUAGAAUUGUGGUAUGAGUUAAAGAAAGAGAUAUAAAAUUAUGGUAUAUGAGUUGUAUUAUUGUUGGUGCUUGAUAUGAUAUAAGAACAUGGUAGGCAAGCUUAGUUUGCGCUAGGCACGCCCUCAGUGAGUGAGAAUGAAGGUAUUGAAGAAAGAUUCUGCUACUUUUGAGGAAAGAUUUACGGGACAGGUGUGGUUUCAGUGCGUGUUUGCAGCCAUUACGCUGAUACUGCUGGCGGGGUCGGUGCUUGGGAGGAUGAACUUCAAGGCGUGGAUGAUGUUCGUGCCGCUUUGGCUUACAUUUUCGUACACUGUCGGAGCUUUCAGCUUGUGGGGUGGAGGGUUCUUGUUCCAUUGGGGUGUCAUGGACUAUUCCGGUGGUUAUGUCAUUCAUCUUUCUUCCGGGAUUGCUGUCUUCACUACUGCUUACUGGGUAAAUUAAUUAAAUAAUUAACUACGCUAUUGCUAGUUUUCUUUCUCUCCAUUAGUCAACGUCUACAGGCCUGGUAAUUAUUGAUUAAAUAGUGCAUUAAUUCCUUGUAAUUAUAAAAUAGUGGCUUUAAUUUCUUUCGUUUUCUUCUUGAAUUUAAUAGUGACUAAACUCACACAUACUAUACGGAUGCUAAGACUCGAACUCAGAACCUUUCCAAACCACUGUUACACUAGAAUCAAUAGGAUCGAAUAUAUACAUAUUCCAUAAAGAAUUAAUAGGAUCAAAUUGAUGAGAUUCAAUUACAAGAUUCCCUGAAAAGGUGGAAGAAGAAACAAAAAGUCCUCCCUUAGGUUACUUAAAUUAAAACUGGCUUCUUAAUUAUUCAAAAGUAUCUGUGGAUGAAUCAUGGAUCAUCAGAAUCCUUAGACUUCGCAUCUCAUGCCUUAGACUUCGUGCAUAGUGAUCACAUAUUUUCUAUUCGCAAACUAUCUUUUAGGGUAAAGUCUACUAGGUUGGAAUAUUAUUAUUUUAAUUGGGUUACAAAGUUAUAAUAUUAACGAUGAUGACCUACAAAUAGUUUUAUUUUAUAUGUUGCCCCAUUUUUAAAUACUAUUUUGCCCUAUGUAUAUGGAUCACAAUAUUUAUCAAUAUGUAUAGUUCGGGUUAGGAAACGACAAAAAGUUGAUAUGACUAGGAGCUUAAAGAAUUAAUGAAGCGUGGAUGCAUUAACAGGGGUGGACCAUAUAUAGAUGUGGACAUCAAAAAUAAAAACAAAAACAAAAUUGAAUAUACGAAAUGUGACGGACGUGGUGUUUCAUUUUCAGUUUUUCUAAUAACAUCUUACGGAAAUCAUAUUCUAAAUUACUUCAAGUUAUUCUAACAUACGAAAAGUUAAUAGGUCUAAUUUAGUGGAAAAGAAUAUUAACUUAUAGAUCAGUAGUCUCAUAUUCAAAUCCUCAUAACACCUUGAUAGUGUGUGUGUGUGAAAAACUCCCUCUCUUUUGAAGUUUACAUUACGCUUAUAUUGCAAAAUUAUAUAUAUACAAAAGAGAGUAUUAAUGAGUUAUUAUUGUUUGUUAAUUCAUGAAAAUGAAAUGGUGAUGAUGAAUAGGUAGGACCAAGGGUGAAGAAGGACAGGGAGAGAUUUCCACCAAACAACGUACUUCUGGUGUUAGCAGGAGCCGGGUUGCUGUGGAUGGGAUGGGCAGGUUUCAACGGGGGAGACCCGUACGCGGCAAACACGGACUCAUCCAUGGCCGUCCUCAACACCAACAUCUGCGCCGCCACGAGCUUCUUGGUUUGGACUUGGCUCGAUGUCAUCUUCUUUGAGAAGCCUUCCGUCAUUGGAGCUGUCCAAGGAAUGAUCACUGGCCUCGUCUGCAUUACUCCUGCUGCAGGUACGUAUUACGUAAGUUCUCAAGUUGACUUUUUUCCAGAGUUGAGUAAAGUUGAAUUAUAUGCCUAUGGGUUUAAUCUAGUGAAAAAGGAACUUGAUUUGCAAAACAAUAAGAGUAUAUGUGAGAAAACUCCCCUCCUUUUCAAACCUUGACCCAAAAAAAAACAAAGCAAAGUUGACUUAUAUUUAUCAUCCCAAUUAAUAAAAACAAAAUUAAUAUACUUACUUACUCGUCACAAAACGCAUUGCCUUCCAUUAAUUAAUCCAGAAAAAAUAAGUUUAUUUGACUUUUGACUAUUCAUAUUUACGUUCCCUCACAGACCACGUUCUAGUUCUAUUUGGUAUCCUACUUGGAUUCAAUUUUAUAAACUCAAAAACAAAUUUUGAAGUUUAAAACCACAAAAACUCGUUUGAUAUGCCCCUUUUUAAAAACUCAAACUCAAGAAAAAUUCAAAAGCACCCCUUUAUUAAAAAAAAAAAGAAGAAGAGGUUUUAUAGUUUUUUUCUCUCUCCUCCCUCUCCCUGUCUCUUUCUCUCUCCUUCCACUUCUCUCUCUCUCUCUCUCUCUCUCUCUCUCUCUCUCUCUCCUUUUAUUUUGGAGGUUUCAAUUUGAGAAUUUAGGGUUUCUGAUUUUAAUUUCAAUUUUUUUAGAUCUUAAAAAUAGUUUGGAGUUCAAUACCAAAAAAGUUUUUGAAUCUUAAAAUCACCAUUUGAAAACUCAUAUUUUAAAAAAGAAUCAUAGUUUUUGAAUUUUUUUUUUUUUUUUUUUUUUUGAGUAGGAUACCAAACAAGGCCAAUUUCCUUUAAAAAAAUUCUCAUAUGGUUCUCUAACGUUUUCUCUAAAUAUAUUUGCAUCUCUUUAUAUAUAUUAUUUAGCCAGUUUUUAACAGGAGAGGUGACUCAUGGCAUGUUGUGUUGACCAUGCACAGUCAUUUAAUUAACCAUAUUAACUAGCUAGCUUUUAUUUUACUUUUGUUUGUUCAUAGACUGAUACAAUAUUAUUGUUUAAAUAUGUAAAUUAUUUAGGUCUGGUUCAAGGAUGGGCCGCUAUAGUGAUGGGAGUUAUGUCAGGCAGUGUGCCAUGGUUCACCAUGAUGAUAGUGGACAAGAGGUGGAAACUGCUAUCUGCAGUUGACGACACCCUUGGUGUAGUUCACACCCACGCCGUGGCCGGGUUUCUUGGCGGCGUUUUAACGGGGCUUUUCGCUGAGCCUGAACUAUGUGCACCUAUUUAUCAUUGGAUGGAAUAUUGUGGUCACCUACAUUAUUUGCCUAGUCUUACGGUGUAUAGUUCCGUUGCGCAUGCCGGAGGAACAGUUACUGAUUGGGGAUGACGCAGUGCAUGGAGAAGAGGCAUAUGCAUUGUGGGGUGAUGGGGAGAAGUAUGAUGUUACUAGGCAUGAGCUUUACUCCGACGAUACGUCACACGCUCAAAAAUAUCCAUCCAGUGGUGCCACUCAGGUGGUCUAACUCAAAGUUAUAUAUUAUUUAUGUUAAUAAUCUGUUCCAAAAAGAAAAAAGAAAAAAAAGGCCAAAAAUGAAAAGAGGAAAAAACGAAGUACGAAAAAUAGGUGUUAUUGUCAAUUAUUAUCUUAUUUUCUGGUGAUCUUUUCAAUGUUUUAUGUAAACUGCCUAUUGCCUCCGGUAAUUAUUCAGGGAAAUUUGGAACACCAAACCAUUUUUAACAUGUUUAAGAUUAUUAGCCCCUUUUUUUAAUUUACAAAAUAUAAUCACUAGAGCCCUCUCGAAUAGUGUUACCUUUACUUGAACCCUAGCAUUAGUAUUUGGAUCUUUAUUAGUAACUACAAAGGCUCCAUUUGGUGGAGAGAGACUUUCAUGCAACAGAAAUAACACUUUUUGUUAUCUUCGAUCAAUAGAGCAAUAACAUGCGGGAUAAUUCUUCCACGUGUCAUUGCAUUAUUGACCGAGAAUAGCUAAACAAUGAUAUCCUCGUUACAAGAAAUUUGUUUUUUGCAUUUGGUGGAUGGAUAAAAACACUGGAUUGGAUCCAUAAUCAUACUCCUGUGUUUAGUGGCCCAAGUCCACUUGGAUUGGAUUACUUCUAAAUUCUAUUCCUGUCAAACUCAAUUUUAGUAGGAUUAGGAAUCCCCCCAAAACUAGGGGUGGACAUUCAAACUGGAAAAUUGAAAAACUGAGCCGACAAAAAACUGCAAUUUUGUACAAUUUUAGUUCUGAUUCUUGUUGUGAAAAAGCUUGACUGGGUCAAACCAGACUGACCACGUAUUUUUAAUAUAUAUUUAACCCCAUUACUAAAUUUGUAAGCCUAUAACUAAUCUUUCUCUAAAUCACCUAUAUUUUUUAGGCCCAAUCACCUCCCUUUGCAUUAAAUUAGGUCACUUGUGAAUUUUUAAAAUUCAAAAAAAAAAUAAUUUAAACAAGGGUAUACUAGUGAUUUGCCCCUGAACUUGUACCUAAUUUUCGAUUAAGCCUCUAUCCUUUUUUUUUCGAAAAUUAAGGAUAUGAACUUUUUUUUUCAGCCAAUUUCCCCCCUAUCGUCUAAAUUCUCAACAUUUCAUCCAAUUUUCAGUUAAAUUAUUUUAAAAAAUUACUUUUUUUGAAAAAAUUGAAGAAAAAGAGUAAACCUAAUGCCAACCCCUUCCAUCUCCUCCCUUCCUCCUCCCAUUCUCCCAUGACCACCAUCCUUUACUCCCAGACCAAUCCCCCACCCCCACACCCUUCAAUCCACAGACCCCUCCCUCCUCCUCUCCCUGUUCACCCGUUUUGAUUUCUACUCCUGUGAUGGAAGGGCAAAGUUCCCCAUUGCCUUGAAAACCAUUGACUGGUCAACAAGCCAACUUUCUUUGGUGUGCGAGCGUGCCACUAAUAGCAAUGAAAAAUCCUAGCAGACUUCUUUGAAACAGAUAACUUGCGCCCCAAGUUACUAAUUUGUAAACAAACGAUUAUGAAUUUGGGGGAAGAAUAUCUCCCAAGUAAGUUCUUUUCCUGCCUCAGGCUGGUGAGGACUUCAUAAUUUAUCACAGUAUAAAAUUGGUAGUUCUGGCCAGAAUAGAUGAUAAUAAAGUGGACUGUUUUAGGCAGAACUGCCUUUUACAAAUUUAAGAAGGAAAAACCAACUCUAAAAAGACAAAAAGAUGGCUGGAAUCCCAUUUCUGCCUGGGUAGAAACUUCUAAUCCAGGACGGACUGAGCUGUUAACAACUUCUACUGCUUAGCUUUAGCUGUAAAUCGAUACCAAGGUUCAAUUUUGGCAGAGCUUUAAUAUACUUCAAGCCUUGGGAGGCUUUUGAACAGGCAGAACUGCGGUUUCUUUAGUCUGAAGGGGUAGAAAUGGCUGGACUUGAGGAUUUAAUGAGCUGGAACUGCACUGUAAAAUUUGUUGAGGUUUUCAUAUUUGUGAAAACUUAAACUCUGCUUGGGCUUUUGCUGAACCAAAUUUGUAACGAGAGGAGUCUCGUAUUGGAUGACUUAUUUCUCUGAGUUUGAACUUGGAAGUUCUGAUCUACGGCUGGCUUCUUUUGUGGUUCAAAUGAGCCUUUGGUUGCCCCAAUUUGUUUUGAAGGUUCUCAGUGAUCAAGUGAUCAUUUUGAGUUUUUUUUUUGCCUUUGGUUGAUGUUUUUUUUAUUUUUUAUUUUGAUCGUCUUUUGAUUGUCUAACUUUUCCUAUAUUUAUAAGAAAUGCUUUGAAGUAGGGUUUCUUUCUUUUAAUAAUGGGUGGCAAAAAUUCUCAAAAAGAUCUUUCAUUUUUCUAUACAAAGAAGAAGAAGUUUUUAUCAAUUGCUGGCAGAUAGGCUUUCGAUAGUCAGUUCUUUUUAAGACCAAUCACUUCUCUGUUUUUUUGAAAGAGAACCUAACCCCUCUUUAAUUCCAACUGCCCCUUUGUGAGAGCUCAAACCGUGAUGUUCAGUUUGCUUUUCCAGUUUGAACAACUCCUUGUUUUCCUGCUUAUCUUUUUUUGGGAAAUUUAGCCUGCGUAUCCCUUGAAAGAUGGUGCUUUCUUUGGAGUAGAAACAAUAUCUCUGAAUAUAUAAAAGGGUUUUGAUCUUUGUGGUGGUAGAGAUUUCAGAGACAUCCUUUCUUUCUGCCUCCCUCUGUCAACUCUCUUAUCAACCUAGUUGAUUUUGUUUGACUUUUCUAAGUCAGAGAAAAACAAUCACGUGGGUCUGUUUUCUUUUGAGUUUCUACUUUUUACUUUGAUCAUGCCAAGCCCAAUUUAGUUUCUUCGAAACCCAAGCUUGAGAUAGGUUCUAGGCCGGGCUUUUGUUGGAUUUUGGACCUUUGGUUCAUGUUUAUUCUCAGAGUCCAGACUUCUCGGGUCCAGCAUUGUUGUCUUUGUUAUUCUGGGCUUUGUAGCGUUUGGGCUGGGUGCGCAAGAUUUUGGCCCAAACAAUCCCUUUUUGUUCUUUCAACCACACACUCAUCACCACCAUCCCCAACAGACCUUCCGCCGUCGCCGCCUCUCUCUCUCUCUCUCUCUCUCUCUCUCUCCACACACACACUCCCUCAAUUUCCCACCCCAUCUGUUAAUUUCAAUAUCUCCACACUCGAAAAGCUCACAGUCGAUCCAAGCCUUUCAAUGCCUCCCAUCUCAAGCUUUUUCCAAAUUCACACAAAACCCAUCAACCAAAACAUCAAAAAAUUCAAUCUUAAACACUUGGAUUUGGAAAAAAGAUCAAAAUCAAAUAAAAUCUAAUAGAAUUUAAAUCCAUGCCACCGGAUAGCAUUUGGGGUGGGAGGUUGUGGGGAAGGAGAAAAAAGAGAAGGGACGGUUGGGGUGGGGUGGAAGGGCCAUUGGAAGUUAUAUGGAGAGAGGGAGCGUAGAGGGGCCAGAAAAAAUAGAUGGAGAGGGUAGGGGUGAGGGAGAGAGUGAUUGGUUGGAUGGGCCUCUCUCUUAUUAAAAUAUUUUUUCUUUCAUUUUAUAUUUCAUAUUAUUGUAUUUGUGUAUUUAAUUAUUUUAACAUAUAAAAUGACCAUUUUGCCCUCAUAUUUAAUGGCAAAUUGGAUGAAAAGAAGUUCAUAUCCUUAAUUUUCUAUAUAAAAAAAAUAAAAAAAUAAAAAAAAAACAAGACAGGGGGUCAAUUGAAACCAAAGUACAAGUUCUGGGGGCAAAUCACUAGUAUACCCCAAAAACAAAAAUUUCAAUCCCAAUUAUGGGCAAAUUAGACCGCAUUGGAAUGAAUGAAUUUUUUUUUUUUUAUCAAAACCAAACCAAAUCAGACAAAUAAAUAGUGCUAGUUCCGGUUUGGGGUAAGAACCAGAUCGUGCUUACCCCUAACGAAAACUAAGGGAUAAACUCGGAUAUGCUACGAUCGAGUGCAACCCAACCCCGACAGAUUAGGUUGCAGUCGUCUCCUCCAAUCUUCAUCCCCAACAUUGAGCCUCCAUCACCUCGACGAUAACUCAGCCAUCUCCGACAAACUUGAGCAAUUUCUGGCAAAACCCAACCAUCUCCUGCCCAAACCAUUUCAUCACUGAUCAUAUUUCUCCUAUGAACUUCUUCAUCAUAAGUGAUCAUUUCAUCACUGAGAUUCUCAACAUCUUGUGUUUUUGUUAGAUUGUAUGUGAGUUUUGAUUAUUAAAUUCUUUGACAAUAUUUGAGUAGUUUAUAGGUUAGGAUAAAGCUUGAAUUCACCGGAAAAUUUUCAUUUUUUCUAUAAAUAUUUGACAUACAAUAUGGGAUUUUUUUUCAUUUUCUCUUUUACAUUUCCUGGGUUUUUGUAAUGUUUGAAAUCUAUGUGUGUCUGGGACUGCAAUUGGGUAUAUUCUUUGAAGGCCCAAUUUUGUCUUUUACAAAUUUACAACUGCUAUUAAAUUUCUAAUAUCCAUUUAAGCAAUUAACGGAGCGGAGAUGAUAAAAUUUGUUUAAAUUUAUAUUGAUUAUGAUUAUUUAUAAAUUUAUAUAGAUUAUGGUUAUUUAUAGUUUAUUUUUUGGAUUUAUAAUUGGGAUAUUUGUAGAAAUGUCACCUGAAAUUCUACCUUAGUUUCAAUUUGUUAACUGAAAUUUUUUUUUAAGAGAAAUGUCACCUGAAUUUUUCAAAAUCUAUCAUUUGUCACUUGACUUUAACAUCAUCCAAUUUUCCAUCUAUUUUGAAGGGUAAUUUAGUCUUUUUAUUUUCAAUGGUAUUUUAAAAAUAGAAAAUUCAUUAUAAAAAAAAAAUUAUAUAUCUUUUAAAUAAUUAAAAAUAAAAAGAAAAAAUUGUGAAAAAAAACUUCUCUCUUCUCCCUCUUUAUCUUCCACACCCACCAUCACUACUCUAUUUAAAUACAAUUUAAAAUAAAUAAAUAAAUAAGAGUUAACUUAAUAAAUAAAUAAUUUUUUUUAGAACAUAAAAAUCAAAAAUCAAAAGAAUGAAUGACACCACCUCCAAUCCUCCAAUCCCAACCGCCAGCCACCAUUGUUCUCUCUUCUCUUUCUCCCCAACAACAACCCACCACCCCAACUCUGAUCCAUCUCACCCCUUAAUAUAUAUCUCUCUCUUCCUCUCACAAGAACAAACCCUGCCCCACCAUCCCUAGUUGCUCACCCUAGAUUUUCCAACCCAUCUCCACCCCAAUCUCUGCCCAUUCGAGGGUCACCCUACUUCUCUGUCUCCAUCUCUCCCAUUUGGCCAUGCCCAUCCUUCCCACCUCUCCGUUGCUGGGUCCUUCCUUCCCCCGACAACCCCCUUCCUUUUUUCAAGUUUUUUUCCUUUCACUAAUUAUUUAUUUAUUUAUUUAUUUUUUGUCUGAUCAGUUUUUAAAAUUUGCCAAUAUGUUAAAAAUGGAAAACUUAGGUUUUUACAUUUAACCCCCCAUCCAUUUUUACAUUUAAGCUUUUUUUUUUUUAAAUAACAAUUUUUUUCAUUUUAAAAAUACCCUUGAAAAUGCAAAAACUAAAAUACACUUCAAAAUAGAUGGAAAAUUGGAUGAUGUUAGAGUCAGAUGACAAAUUUUAGAUUUUGAAAAAUUAAGGUGACAUUUCUCUUAAAUUUAUUUCUCAUGUGACAAAUUGAAACUAAGGUAUAAGUUCAGGUGACAUUUCUACAAAUAUCUCUUUAUAAUUUUUAUGAUUUUUAUUUUAUGAGAAUUUGACUUUUUAUCUCCAGGUAUUGGAAAAUUACUGUUUUUAUUUAUUUUAUUACAAAAUUGUUAUUUUUUAUGUAGAAAAGUUCAAAAUUAAAAUGGCAUGUUUAACUUAAUCCAGUUUGACACCAAACAUAGGAUUUGAUUGGUGUUAUCCACUCCAAUCCAAUGCAAUUCAAUCCUACUUCAUAAUCCAAUUCAAUUCCGGUCCCCAAACAGACUAAAAGAUUCAAAAGAACUACACAAUUAAACCUUAUUAAUUCCCUUCAAGUAGUGCUUGAACCUUACUUGAAUCUCUUAAUUAGUACCAAUGUUUACAAAGAGGGAUUCAAUUAAUCUGUAAAUAGACAUCAGUUGAAUCCAAAGUCAAAUUCAAAAGAUAUUUAACCCCAAUUUAUAGACCUUAACUAUGUACAAAUGGUUCAGCCCUAAGGAAAGAGAGAAAAUCCUAAGGAACCCCUUGGGGUCAGUGGCCUCCCUCCCUCCCCUCUCCACUAGUUCUUCCCUACUCUCCUAUCCUCCCCUCCCCUCCCCUCUCCUCUCAUCUCCUUACAUCCCUAUUCCCCUCGAUACUUCUUUGUUUUUGUUUUUGUUUUUUUUUUUUUGGUGGUGUGAAAUCAACUGUUGUGAAAUGAUGUAGUCGUCAUGAUAGUUGUCAUCUUUCAACCCACGUACAUGAGAAUUUGGCUCCAUUUGUCAUCCUUCAACAUGGUUUAGAGCCACAAGAUGGGAAAAAUGUCGGGCUGCAUCGCGUUUGGGUUUAACCGGUGAAGCUGUGGCUUUCUGUCGGCUGUUGAGGAUGUGGAGCGAUGGCCUUGCUUCUUAAUUUGUUUUUGUCUAAUAAUUUCCAUGAAUCCAUGAACUGUAUAGCAAUUUGGUGUGUGUGUGUGUGUGUGUGUGUGUUUAUUUAUUUAUGUUUAGGAGGUUUUAUUUCUUUUUAGCUUUUACGGAUCUCUCAUUUUUGCUGAUGCGCAGCGAAUUUGUAUUAGAGGUUCGAGUAGGUGUGCUUUUGGUUGCUGAGUCAGGGAUUAUAGUAAUUUUGUGGAGAAGAUUCGUGUUGUUGUUGCAUUUAGUCACUGGAGAAGAUUUACCAAUAUUCAGAACCAUAAUUGCUUUGUACUUUUUUCAUAAAAAAAAUUAUUAUCGAAUAUUCAGAAGGCAUUUAAUUCCCUUUUUCUUGAACCGUUGGUCAUCUAUGUUGCACGGGUAUGUUGAUAUGAUACGAUAAGAUUCAUCGAUAAGGCAAAAUUCCAAAAAACUAGGAUAGGGGUACAACAUCGAUACGGUGAUUAAAAUAAUAUAUAUUUAAAAAUAAUAUAAAUAGAAAAAAUUAAUAUUACAUCCAUCAUGUCAUAAUCAUCCAUCAGAAGUGCAAAACAUAAAACUAAACACAAAAUACAAGUCUCCAUAAACAAAACACAAAAUACAAGUCUUCAUAGGAUUGUUCAAAUCAUAAAAAAAUAUAUAUAUAAAAAGCAAUACAAAAACAAAAUUUCUAACUUCAUUCAUCAUUGUCAUCAUAGGUAAAUAUGAUUGCUUCUAAUUCCUUCUUCCUAUUUCUUCUUCUUUUAUAGUUAUUCUCUCCCAAAUAAAAUGAAGACCUAGCUUCUAGCUUAAGAACACACACCAAAUCAAAGUUACUCAAGGCAAACAAAACUCACCUUCUAGAGGAACAGAAAAACUGGGAACUGAUACACAAUAAAAUAAGAGAAAGCCAAAUUCACCGGUUCCUCAAGAGUACAUUUUACAAAUUAAUGACACAAAGGGAGUUUUGCAAAUGAUCAAUACACCAGUAGAUUAGUUAAAUAUAAGGUGCUUACAAAACAAAAAAAUCAGGAAUCGAUUAAAUACAUAGUUGGUCAUUAAGGUCUACAAGAAUCGAUUAAAUGUCUUUCCAAUGAUAAAGUUUUUUUCUAGUUUUUGGAAAUACUUAAUAGUGUUGUUUUUGCAGCCAAGUUAUUUUAGUUAUGUGAGACAAAUUGUAUAGAAAAGUGAGAAGUAGAGAAAGACAAUAGAAAUUGUUCUUAAAAGUAUCUUUUGUGCUUCAUAAAGCACCUGUACUGCUAAUUACCAUAAUAAGUGUAUAGGUUACAAAACAUAGAAAUUGUGGAGAUUAUAAACUUCUGUAAAAGAAAACGACACGAUUUUAAUUAGCGUGUUUAUGUUUUUUUUUUUUCUUUAAAGAAACUAUUUUCUAACCUUAAAAAGAUCCAAAUAUACCACUAAAAGUAGGUUUUUUAUUUGGGGAGAAUAGAUGCUUUAUUAAAAAUAGAGUAAUGCUACACUUAUCACAUUUUUAUCCCACAUUUCUAUACCGCAUGAUGUGGCAUACCCAUAUUAUAUGCCACAUCAAUUAAAUCAAUGAAGUGUAUUUUAAUUAAGACAAUUAGAAAAACAAAUACUAGAAUAAAUCAUAAAAGAAAAGAAAAUAUUAAAUAAUUUUAAUUGAUGUGGUUGUGUACCUCAGCUGUUACAUAAGAUGGUAUAAAGAUGUGAUAUACAAAUGUGGUAAGAGUAGCAAUAUUCUUAAAGAUAAUAAGCACCAUAAGAGUUUAUAAAAGAUAGCACUAAAAGUAACCAAUACUAUUCAAAACCCGAACAUUAAAGACAUAAACAAAUGCAUAAAAAAUUAAUACUAGCUUACUAAUAUUACUAUUAUUACUAUAGCCCCUUCACUCACGCCAGAGGAUGAGGAGAUGGAAAUCCUGAAUCAUUAGGAACUCAAAGAAGCCAAUAAUUUAUUGGGCAAUUUCCAAGACCAUGGCCAAGCACAAAAAAUGAGACCAAUGCUGCAGGAAAGAAACAAAUGGAUAUUGGACCAAAGGCUUGUUGCACUAAUAAGUUCCAUAUCCAAGAGACCAAUGGGCCUCGUGAAGUAUAUUUAGAGCAAAGUUACAUGGGAGCUUCUAUAGUGAGUGGGAAGUUAUAAGGGGUGUUUUUGAGGGGUAUGUAAGAGCCGUUGGAUUUCAUCCAACGGUGAGUUUUUAAAAGAGGGUGCAUGUAGAAUCGGGUUGAAAUCUAACCCGUUAGAAACCCAACUUCAGUUGUUCCCCUCUUUCCCUCUCUGUGAAAAACUAAAGAACACAAUCCUUUCUUUUUGAAUGUAAAGCAAACCCACAAUUAGAAGGAUCCAAAUCUCCCAAACCUUAUAGUCACUCCACUGUCAUUAGCUCGUUGGGAGGCCUGCGAUCUAUGGUAUCCUGGGUAUUACGAAGAAUGGCUCUUACCUAGCUGUUGCCCUGUUUUGAUUCUAUGGCUCAAGUGAAAACCCCUUCUCUUUUUCAUUCAGCUGACAAGAUUCCAGAUGAAAGCAAAGUAGCAUAUCUGUUUUUGUAGCUAGAAGCCGCAGCAGCAGUUGUUCCUUGAUUUUGGUAGAGAUGGAGUCUCAAAUACCAAAGAGUCUUCUGUAAUGUCCACCACAUUGUUUCAAGCUGACUGACUUCAGAGCUCCCGAUUGAUUUUGAGAGGUAAGUUCACUUGCUGGAUUGAUUUUAUUGGGUUAGGUUUAUUUUUUGUGAGGGUGGGAAAUUCGUCAUUUGUGGCAUCAAUAAUGUGUCAUUUCCUUAUGAAUAUUCAAUAUACUUAGUUCAUUGUUGUUGGUCGGGGUGGAAAAUUAUGAAAUGUAGGUAAAAGAACCUAAACUUAGGCUUAAUGACAUUAGGAGUAAGCAGUUGGAGAGGAUAUUGGGUGAAGUUCUGUAAUUGGUGGUUUGAAUUACAUUUGUGUUCUUAGUUGAACAUGUUGGUUCUAAUGUUAUUUUGACCAGAUUAUUUCCCAAGAGAUGACGUAACUUGUAUGAAAUUUUGCUUGUGUUUUGUGUAAUCGGAAGUUAGGCUAUGCGUAUUUUGUGUCAAUUUGGGCAAUGUUUUGUGUAAGUGGAAUGCAUUGAUAUGUUGUGAUGCAGUAAUGACUGAUUAAUGAAUGAAUAAUUGCUAUGCAGUAAUAUAGAAGUGGAUCAAUAAUAUACGUAGAUAAAAUGUCUGGGGGCUCAGAGAGUGAUGAAUGUGCAACAGCUAAUGGGAGGGUUUAUAUUCCUGAAGUAAGAAAUGAGGAAACACCAGCAGUUGGGAUGAAGUUUGACUCGCUUGACCUCGUUUACAAUUUCUAUAAUAGAUAUGCAUUCUUGGCUGGUUUUGGUAUUCGACUUCAUUCUAGCUUUUGGGGGAAAAAUAAGAAAGAGAUUUUGAGGAAAGAAUUUGUAUGUUGCAAACAAGGUGCAUACAGGAAGGAUGAAACUCGGGAGAGAAAAAGACAACGGGGAAUAAGUAGAUGCAAUUGCAAAGCAAAGAUUGUGGUUGUGAAGAGAAAUGGGAGCAAGAAGUAUACCAUUUCUCUUUUUGCAGAGGGACACAAUCAUAAGAUGACACCCUCAGAAAGAAUGCAUUUAUUGAGAUCACACCGUCAUAUUUCAGAUUCUACAAAAGUACUCACAAAACAGUUGGGUUCAGUUAAUAUUCCCAUUCAUCAGAAGGUAAGUAUUUUCGAGGUGCAAUCCGGAGGAAUGGAUAAAAUCGGUUUUAUCAAAAAAGAUAUCUACAAUCUUGAAUGUAGUGUGAAUGGGAAGCUGAGGAACCACGAUGUUGAACUAGUGACCGAGUAUUUUAUGGCUGAACAGAAAAAAAAUGAGGCUUUUUAUUUCAAGAUUGAGGGAGAUGGGCACGACAGGUUUAGUCGAUGUUUUUGGGCAGAUGCAACUUCUAGACGGGCGUAUGGGUUUUUUGGAGAUGUUGUUGUAUUCGAUACCACAUUCAACACGAAUCGAUACGACUUGACAUUUGCACCAAUGUUGGGAGUUAAUAACCAUGGUCAGACAAUUGUGUUAGCAUGCGCAUUUUUGAGCAAGGAAACGACUGAGUCGUUUGUUUGGAUGUUUGAGGAGUUUAAGAAAGCCAUGCCAGGUGGGGAACCUAAAACGAUCAUUACAGAUCAAGAUGCGGCAAUGGCCAUAGCGAUUUCAAUAGCCUUCCCGAGUACAUUUCAUCGACUUUGCAUAUGGCACAUCACAUCAAAGUUCUCUGUUAAGUUACCACGUGACGCUUAUAAGGAGUAUUGGCCUGAAUUUCAGAAAACCAUAUGGGAUACUGACAAUAAGGAUGAGUUUGAUGCAAAAUGGAAUAUUGUGGUUACAAAGGCUGGUUUGACUGACCAUCCAUGGCUAAGUUCAAUGUUUGAUUUAAGGGAAUCUUGGGUUCCAGCCUACGCACGACAAUUUUUUGCCGCUGGAAUGUCAAGCAGCCAAAGAGCGGAAGGUUCUCAUGGUUUUUUCAAGCAAUACAUAUCAAGGAGAAAUUCGUUGAUGGAUUUCAUAAUACGAUUUGAGAGGGCACUUUCUCAUCAACGUGAAAAAGAGUUAGUUGCUGAUCACGUAGAUGCAUUUGAAGUGGCUCAAUGUCUUCUACCGAUGCCAAUGAACAAACAAAUGGCUACCUUGUACACAAGGACAAUGUUUCAAAAGUUUGAGCAAGAACUAAUACAAAGUACAGCAUGUUUCCUAGAGCUCAAAACAGAGGAUGCUUGUAAAGUUGUGUUCAACGUGAGCGAAAGGAAAAAUUGGGAAACAAGGGUGGCAGAAGUCGUAUAUGUCAAAGAUUCUGACCACGCAUCGUGUAGCUGCAAAAGAUUUGAAUUUGUUGGAAUUAUUUGCAAGCACAUCCUAGCAUUGUUCAGAAGGGACCAGAUUGAAUAUAUGCCCGAUAAAUAUAUUUUGAAGAGGUGGAAGAAAACUGCGAAAUGUGGAUUGGUGUCAGAUGCAAAUGGCAACGAAAUUAAAGACUGUGCAGAUCCUGGCCUUCUAAUAAAGCGGAGUACAAUGUCUCGACUUGCUUCAGAUGUGGUUGAGGAUGCAUUAAUGAGUGAAGAAGGAUGUGAGCUACUGUCAGAGACUCUAAAAAGUUUGCAGGUGAAGUUGAAGUUGCUGAAGGAUGGACCAAGUAAUAACGAAGUUGGAGGGUCCAGCUCUCAAACACAAUAUAUGAAAGACCCUAAGAGAGUGAGGUGCAAAGGAAGGUCGAAAGGAGUAACGGGAGCAAAGGAAAAGGCAAUGAAGCGAGGGAUUAGACACUGUCGGGAGUGUGGACACAUUGGUCAUGAUAGAAGACAAUGCCCAGCCUUGAACACACCGUAAGAUGCUAACACUAUUUGUAAUAACAUCUAAAAUAUGAAAAGGUAAAAUUUUUAUGUGCUUGUGUUUGAUGUUUAUGCAGGACAUCACCGUCGAACAAUGACGAAUCAACUCCAAUACAUCGUAGUGACCCAUUAUUCGACGAUUUUGACAGGAUGCACAGACCAACUGAAUGAUUGAUAUUUGUAUUAGACGAAAUGUGGUUGUUAUCAAGAUUAAUGAUCAAGCGAAGUUUUAUAGAUUCAGUUUUUGAAUGUUAUUGUGUUUUUGUUCAUGUCCACCGAUGAGCUCUUACUAUGUCCACUGGUAAUUGAAAUGAAAAUUUGCUUGGUUUCAUUCUUCCAAGACAUUUGGAGACAUGUUCAUUUUACGUCUUCUCCCUAUUUAUAAAUUUUCAUAGACAUUUGAUCAAGUAUGAAAUUUGUAGUUAUGUGAAGAAGCAAUGACUCUUACCAUGUUAAAUGGGCAGUUUAGGGUGAAAUUUGUUUUAACAGAGAUUCAUUUUUCAAAUCCUCAGGGUAAUGCAGCAAUUACAGCAGCCAGCUGUUGUUUCCAUUACCAGUAAUCAUUUCCAGCAGCAGCCACUUUUUCCGACUGGUUAUUAGGGGCACGAUUUUGUACACUUUUGUAAGUGAAGGAUACUCGAAGCACUUUGUUGGAACAGAGCAAAUAGAAACCAGCGGGUAAAAAAAAAACAUAACAUUGCAGCUAAUUACAUUUCGAUACAUAGGUGAAAAAUAUUAAAGGGUACACUAACUUACAUAAAUACUCAUAAUUCCACACACAAAAGAACAUUUGAUUGCAAAACAUAUUAUGUGCUUCCUCAUAGCAAUACCACGAUCUCCCCAACCAACUGAACAACGGUAGCCACAAUCACUGGGUCGUACUCGUCAGCUUCUUCUUAGCAGGUCUCACAUGCUUAUGGCCACUCAUAUCCCUAGUGAUAUACACGAAAUAAAUCUUCAGCAAUAUUUGGAAUUUUAUUAUAUAUAAAUAAACCAUAAACCAUUCAGUAAACAAUGUAUAGCACAUGUUAUGUAACUUAUGACUCACGUGUCAGUUUUUUUUUUAACACAUUAGUACUCCAGCUCUUUAAUGUAAAUGGACAUGAUAAGGAGCAUUUACUGAUUCCCGGCUUUCUGUGAUAUUGACUGCUUCUUGAAUAAUAUUUCCAUAUUUGCAAAAUAUAAUGUUAGACAUUAUAACACAUGAUGACUUGCAAUACAUAGUCCCAAUAAUUAUAUAUGAAGCAAAUGAAACUGAUAUUUGUGUUAUUUUAAGUUAGAUAAUGACAUUAAGGGAGUAUAUGUGCAAUACCACGGUCACCCUCAACCAACUGAACAGCGGUAGCCGCAAUCACUUAGUCGUAUCGGUCGGCUUCUUCCGAGCAGCUUUGACGUGCUUAUGCUCAUUCAUGUCACCCCCAUCGUCUAGUAUCUCUCUCACAGCAUCAGGGGACACAUAGUUCCAAUCAUAACUUGUAUGAGUAGUUGCCGCAAAUGCUCGGAAUUUGUCGAAUCCUUCGUUGAAUGCCAACUCCAGUUCAGUAUGGUGCUCUUCGCAUCGCAUAUGGUUCAUCAAACAACCUUUGAUUUCAUCAUUCAUUACUGUAUCCAACUCCUCAGCUUUCAGCUUCUUGCUAUGACUCAGCUUCAAGUACUUGUUCUUUUGGGAUAACGCUUUGUUCACCCUAAUGUUAAGAUCAGCCAAAAUUGCCUCGUCUUCAACACAUUUCUCGUGCCAUGAAUUGAUCAGUCUGGAAUUAUAAUCCAGCUUGCCACUGACUGCAUGUAUUGCCUGUAAUGGAUCAUCGGAGUCCCCCUCACUCCCAAAUGAUGUUGAAAAAGGAAGGGGUCGGCGAGUACAAUGUGGAAAUAGAACCUACGACUCCAAUUUCUCAUGUUCGAUUGUGUUGUUGGCGCCUGAAGAGGUUGACAUGCUUGAAUAAUCCUCUUUGUUUUGGGAGGAUGAGGAUUGCAUAUGCAAUUUCGUUUGAGAAAGGGAACAUAGGUUUAUAGACCAACAUACCAAAGCUUGUGUGUAGUCAACAUAUGUACUUUUUGGCGGGAAUUUUUUAAAAAUAGGUGUCAGGUUUUGCUUUUCAAGCAUGUCAACCUCACACUCUCCUGACACCACUGAUAGUGGUUGAAACAAAGUCAAUGGAAGUGACAUCUACUUAGUUAACUCAACCAAACUAGUUAGGAUUAAACUUAGAUUGUAUCAGACCAAAAAAUAAUUUCUACUUUGUCAACCAAAUAUUUUUUGGCGGGAACCCUUUUCUUGGUAUUACUAUCACCCCUUUCAUAUAAAGGGAACCCUUUUCUUGGUAUUACUAUCACCGAAUCUGUCUCCAUCUACCGAUACUCUCUCAAGCAAACAAACUCAUUCCCCCCAAAGAAUGAGCAUAAGCACAACCAAGUUUGAUGUGAGCAUAAUAAACACCCCUCCAAACAAAGACCGGCUUCGACACGCAAGUGAGUCACCAGACAAGCAAUGUCACAUUGCUAGACAGAAUGACCAUUUUGUUGGAAGUUUUGAGUCUGAAAGAGUUGUUGCUUUUUGGAAGGACAGGCAUCUUCAACUUGGUGAUGAAAUCCAAAGGGCAAGGGCACGGUUGGAAUUUGUGGAAGGCCAAAUUGAAGAUGACAAAAGGCAGGCCAAUCUGGAUAGGGCGAAGUUGCAGCGCAUGAAGCGUAGACACAAACGACUUCGGAGUGUAGCUCUUCAAAAAUACAAGAACUCAUCUAAUGCAGUGGAGUCAAAGAAGCGUGUGAUGCAAGCUGGAUUCGACUACUUCCGAUCCUAUGCAAAACUCGUCGUACCCGGGUUUGAUUGGUCAUCUAUUACCGUUUCCGACGUCACCAAAUAUACUCAGCAAGGGAAGUAACCAUUUUGGUUCUCGUGUUUGAGCAGAGGCAAAUAAGUGGAAUUGGAAUUUUCGUUACACUCUGCUUCAAAGCUAUUUUGAUGCUAACUACUAUGGAAGAUUUAAACCUUAAUAUUUUGAUGUCUUUAAUUACGAAAACAGAAGAUGCAAAGAGCCCAUCUACUUAAGUCAUAUGUUGCUGCCAUGUCCAUUUGUUUUUUAUCACGUAUCAGAUUUGGACAUGGUUGCAUCAUAUGCAAUGUUGCCUUUAUUUAUUAUAUGUUAGGACAAGGUUUAUGGAAAAGCUUUUGUGAGUGCGUUUGUGACAAGGUUAUGGAAUUAUUAUGUACACUUUAUAUAUUGUUUUUUGUACUGGUUCAUUUCCUACUAUUUCUUGCUUUCUUUAUAUUUUAUGUUUGUGGAAUCCCUCUCAAAGUUAACAUAUACUGUGAAAAAAAUAUUAUGCAACUGAUUAUAUAAUCACUCAUAUAGACUAGGACAAAUAUUCACUAAGGGUUUUAAAAUUGCUUCACUUGUGUGAGGUUAUUGAGAAAAAGUAUGGCAUUAUUUAUGUGAUUGACAUGAUUGAAAAUAUAUUACUGAUUCCCAAUGAGGCGUCAUAUGGACAACUUAUUGAAUACCUGUAACGUGUUAAUAACUCUAGGUGCAGUUGCAUGUGGAUAACUUAUUGAAUACCUCUGACGUGUUGAAAACUGUAGGUGCAGUUGCAUGUGGACAACUUAUUGAAUACGAACUGACGUCUUGAAAGCUAUAGGCGUAGUUGCAAUGAUGGCUUCAAAGCAUGUGCAAUUAUUAUUUAUGUACAUUAUUAUAACAAAACAUAUUAUUGUAUAUAGUGAAACUAAAUAUUGUAUUAUUAGAAAUUAUAUUUCGAAUAUUAUCCGAAAUAUACGUGUUAACGUGAAUUUGGGUUAAGAGGAAAGUGAGUUAUGUAUAAAUAAUUUUCAUUUUCUCAUUUUCUGGGCAUUUUUUGGAUUUUCGUACAAUUUAUUACCUAUGUCCACAGAUUGUUGCACUAAAAAAGCCAAAAUAAUAGCAAGAGGACACCUGGCGCGAUCUCAGCCCGUCACUGAUGACUACUUGCACAAGUGUACGUCAGUCAACAUGGCCACACCCUCCCAUUUUACCCUAAAUUAUUAUUUUAUUACUUUUCCUUACAAAAAUCAGAACUAAUUACACACAAAAAAAAAAAAUUAUCCGAAAAUUGCUACGAACUCAUUGACACUCCAUCUCCGUUGCUGAAUUCUCCGAUUCAUUGUUACGCAUUUUUAAAAUUAAUUCCGAACAUUAACGGGGGAUGCUUGUUGAAGUAGGUUAUUCAAGUUGAAGUUAACAAACAUCAAUACUUAGGGUUAAGAGGAAAGUGAGUUAUGUAACACAAUUUGGAUUAUUUCAUUGCGAGACGAAUGAUUUAUAGGUUCUCCUAGUUUUAUGACGUCACAAGUAGGCCGGAGUAAUUUUGGGGGCAUUUUUACGAUUUUCCUACUAUUUUUUACCUAGUUUCAAAGAUUUUUGAACAAAAGAAUCCAAAAUGUAAAAGAAGAUGACACCUGGCGCGAUCUCAGCCCGUCACUUUUCACUACUUGCACAAGUGUACGUCAGUCAACAUGGCCACAUCCUCCCAUUUUACCCUAAAUGAUUAUUUUAUUACCUUUUUUCUUGAAAAAUUCAUAACUAAAUACACAAAAAUUCAAAAUUAUUUCCGAAAAUUGCUACGAACUCAUUGACACUCCAUCUCCGUUGCUGAAUUCUCCGAUUCAUUGUUACGCAUUUGUAAAAUUAAUUCCCAACAUUAACGGGAGAUGCUUGUUGAAGUAGGUUAUUCAAGUUGAAGUUAACAAACAUCAAUACUUAGGGUUAAGAGGAAAGUGAGUUAUGUAACACAAUUUGGAUUAUUUCAUUGCGAGACGAAUGAUUUAUAGGUUCUCCUACUUUUAUGACGUCACAAGUAGGCCGGAGUAAUUUUUGGGGCAUUUUUACGAUUUUCCUACUAUUUCUUACCUAGUUUCAAAGAUUUUUGAACAAAAGAAUCCAAAAUUAACAAGAAUAUGACACCUGGCGCGAUCUCAGCCAGUCACUUUUGACUACUUGCACAAGUGUACGUUACCGAACAUGGCCACAUCCUCCCAUUUUACCCUAAAUUAUUAUUUUAUUACCUUUUUUCUUGGAAAAUUCAUAACUAAAUACACAAAAAUUAGAAAAACGAUCUGAAAAUUUCUACGAACUUAUUGCGAUUUCAUCUUCCUACUGCAUUCCCUGUUUAAUGGUUAUGCUACAUUAGUAUUUUAUUAUUAUUUAUCCACAAUUAUUAUAAUUAUUAUGAUAUUACUUUUUAGGCUGUCCAUUUGUUAAUUAUAUUUAGUCCAACUUGUUGAAAACAAUUUUAUUUUCCGUGCGAAUAGGCCAUUUGUAGUGCUCAUCGGUUUCUCUGUUCUUCAAUUUGUUAAUUUUUUUAUUUUUUAGGUUGAAGGGAUGUUUUGAAACAUAAUAUGGAAAUAUACAAGUCAUCCAUUGUACUCCUUCCACACAAAACAAUAGUCUACGUCAUUCACUGUUCAACCCCCUAGGUUAAGAAACGUGUAACCAAAUCCUUUUGGAUAUGCUAAGUGGGAAAAUGUCAUUCCCAAGCACUGGUGAAAAGACACCUAUUUACUCCAUGCAUGACUUUUCGUUUACCAAAUAUGAAGAUUGGGGUCGGUGAGCAAAAUAUCUGUGUCAGUAAAAUGUCAUUCCUAGCCGUCUAUGAUGUAAGUAAUCAUUCCGCUAUAUAAUAAAUAUUAUACAUUUAUAUAUAAAACGGUUUAUGACAAAAUACCAACAUUUGAACAACAUUUAAACUGAGCUAGGUAUAACGUAGCCAGCCAACCUAGAAGUGAAGAGAAGCAAGUCCACAAUGCAUCAAAACCGUAAAUUCGUACUAAAACUAAUGCAAAAAUACGUGAUUCCCUCGCACAACAUACUCACGCAGGAUUUUGCACCAAAAAAUACUCUCACGGUGCCAUUUGCAUCGGUUGCAACAAGUCCACAACGCAGGAUUUAUCUUGUCUUCACUAGGCCAGCCUGGAAUAACAAAAUACCAUUCAUUGUUGUUACAAGCGCUGCACCAAUUGAACUGAAUCUUCCCAUAGUCAAACAUAUCUACGAUAUGUCUUGCAACAAAUGCUCCGCGACAUCUUCCUGUCAAAGCAUCCCUGGUUCCUUUCAUAUCAAUGUUGUUACGUUGAUUCAAAGAACACAAGAAUUGUAAUGCAUCCUCUUUUGACUGACCAAUUCCGGACAUACCAAGUAGUCCAACUACAUAUGCCGCUUCCAUAUGGCCUGCCGUGGCUGCAAUGCGCAUCCCAUACAACGCUUCCACCUUACCGUGCCUGAAAAAACCUUGGAAUGCUUCUCUAAAUAUGGACUCAGGGUUAUCGCAAGCCCUGCAUUGUUGCAAGAAAUGCUGGACCGCAGGUCUGGCACGGUACCAGAUAGGAUGGUAUGGGUACUUUGCCAUUGAAAUGGUGUUCCACACUUGUGGACUGUUUGCCAAAGUUUGGAACAAUGGGCACACAGAUGCCAUACGGAAGAGAUCUUCCGAUGAUUCGGUUGCCACGUAUAACAUCACUUGAAACCAAGCGGACUCCGGGAUGAAGGCUUGGGGCAUAUCGAAAUGGAGAUGCUUCCUUCUCUUUCCUCCAACUGUAGUGAAGUGUUUCGAAUUCAUUGAAAAGUUUUUGGAAUGGAACGAUUUGAGGAGUGGCAGAGGGGAUAAAUGAGAAUAUUUUGGGUACACGUUUUGUUUUAGCCUCUGUUUAUAGUGUUUUGAAAAGGUGUUUGCAGUUGGGGUUUUUCCAAGUUGACCCUUUUUCAAGAAACUGAACCCAAGUGAAUUAAAACUGAACACAAAAGAAGGGAAAACGUCAUAACGGUGCAUACAGAGUCAGACAGUCAAAAAGUUCAUUAAAUGGCUAUUUGCAUAGCCAUUUGUGGGAUUAUCCCAGUAUCAAAUUCAUUGAUACAAAUGUGAUGGAUUACUGAGUAGUGACAGAAGGUCCCAUCAUAUACUUUUUCAUUUUCCCACACCCAACUACCCCUAGUAAUGUUAUUGAAAUGGAACCAAUAAUGACGGAUUCUUAUCCAACUAGUUGCCUUAAUGAAAUAUAUAUAAAAUAAUAAAUUUGAAGCAGUGUCCCCUCAUUUUUCCAAAAAUAUAUUUGGUAGUGAAGUAGUUUAUAUUGCUUUUCGGGCUAAAAGAUGUCGCAAUGCCGACGGUACAGGUGUCGACAUCGUGACCAACCCACCAAAUGAUCCCAAGAAAAAGAAAUAUAACUCGAUUUGGGCAGAGAUGAGAGAGAGCUGAGUGACAAGUUUAGGGUUAUGAGUGAAGGGGUAUGAAUGACAACUAUGAGUGAGAAGGUAUGAGUCCGAAGAGGUUUCAGUGAGAAGAUCUGAGUGAGAAGAGGUACAACUGAGAAGAUUCAACAUGUCUUCGUCUUCAUCUCCCGCUCAAACAAAGAGGUGUCAGUAUUGUGGAGCUACAAUGGUGCUUCGGGUUUCAAAAUCUGACAAAAAUCGAGGGAAGCCAUUCUGGAAGUGUCUAACCUCCUAUGUAAGUUUUAAUUUCAAUAAUAUGUAUGUGGGUCAAAAUAAACCCAUGUCUAACUCUGACAGAAUUAUAUUCCAUAUAUGAUGCCUGCAAUUAGGGAGCCACCAGUUGCAAUGGAUUCGAAUGGGUUGAUGUAACCUCCGCUGAAGCAGAACAUCAAGAUGACACGUAUGAUGCUAGAGUGCUGAACAUGCUGAAGUCCAUAAAGGACUUGGUAUUAGUUUUAUUAGUGUAUCAAUGUCAUUUAUUUGUUCUUUUAAUGAUCAUUUAACUGCACGGUUUAAAAGAUUGUGAAAGUUCUCCCGCACAACACAUGUUGCACGCACCACCAAUGAGACCAUUUUACCCAUUUUGUAAUAUUUGGUAACUGCAUGUAUUUCGCAUGUUAUAGAAACGAUAUUGAAUGUUUCUUGAAGGUUUAUUGAAGGUUUAUUGAUAGUUUGCUGCAUGUAUAUGGAAUAUCAUUGCCCCGAAAUUGGAUGUUUAUUGGGGCCACAGGUAUCACUCAAGUAAGAAUGAAGGGGGGAAACGGACCUUAUUCUUUCUUUUAGUAGGAAGAACAACUGUUAAGUUUAAUAUCCUAUUCAAUACGACUUCCCUAUGGUUGGUAUACUUGGGGACUGAAGUAGAUUGCAUCAUUAUUGUGGGCAAGGGCAUGUCUAUUGUGUGUGUUAAGGGAGUAUUGUGUGUAUAUUGCAUGUCUAUUGUGUGUAUAUUGCAUGUUUACUGUGUGUAUAUUGCAUGUCUAUUCUCUGUAUAUGGCAGGCCAAUUUUGUGUAUAUUGUAUGUCUGUUGUGUGUGUAUUGCUUGUCGGUGCGUUUGUGAAUUCUUGUUCAUUUUGUGUAUAUUGUCUAUGUUUCUACUUUUAUACUACUGAGCUGCCGAAAACCUUUCGCAUGUUUAGACACCUAUUAUGAUGCAACACAUUGCGAUUAAUGGUGGCUUGCAUCAACAAUGACAUAUCACUUUGCAAUGAUGUAAUACACUUAAAAAGCCAUCUUCAAAUCCCAAUUUACAUAUGCAGUCUUAAAAUUCCAAUUCAAUGCAGUUUGGUUAACAAACAUGUAAACGUCAUGAAGGAGUUAGCGGUAGAAUUCGAUAAGGACCCGUACGUCUCUAUUGUGUAUUUACAUUAGUUUGAGAAUGGACAUUCCCAAAACCUUCUCAUGUACCAUUUGUCAUCUUCAACCAAUAUCAUGGGAAGUAAGCAUCUCCCCUUGUUAUCUCCGCAGCCAAUUUCAACCGAAAAAAAGGCAUGUUGUGCGAGGUGCAAGUAGCUAACGGAAGCUUAGCGCUGAAAAGCUCAAUGUACUUUAACACAAACAUGCCACAAUCGCCUCUGAAGCAAAACAAGAACUCGAUCAAUUAAACUAAUGACAUUCUAACGUAAUUGACAAUUGAAAGUAAUAAAAUUAAAUUGCAAGUUGUGCUUACUCAUUAGACUGUUGUGGAACAUCCACACGCUCUAUUGGCCACGGACACCACCAAUCUCGGCUGCAAUUGUUUGCAUAAACACCUUCUUCAUAAAAGUCGAUGGUGUUGAGAAGAUUUGGAAGCGUAAUUGAUAGCGGGCCGAGUUCUUCCUUUACGAUGUCAUCUGGAAUUAGUGAAACCUUUGAAUCGUACACUUUGAUUUCACACAAUACCAGAUCAAUCAUUACAGCCACCCAAUGCUUGUACUUCGUCAACAUAAAUGGGGUAUACACCUUAUAGACGGUCUGCCAAUCCAACCCACACGGAGGAACCUUCCCAUUUACAACGUUUAGUAAACUUUUUCUGAUUUUCCACCCAAGCUGCUGUUUUUUUCUUUUAUUAUCCGCAAAGCAAGUACGAAUGUGAUUCUGUGAAAUACAAAACAAUCAAUGGUUAAACACCUCCACUAGUGUGUGUAUGGAAAAUGUGUAAUUAUUAACGGCACUUGGUCAAGGCCGAUGACAUACCAUAAAAAAAACAUCGGUCGUUGUCCAGUCCGCUACUUCUAUCGAAUCUGUCUCCAAUUGUUGUUGUCGUUUCCGGAUGAGAUACAACCCCAAAUCAAUGUGCUGCAACAUGUUUUUCUUGUCAAUCUCAUAAUGUAUGUACAUUAAAACAAAUGCAUAAUCAAUUACACUUACAUCUCCUUUCAGCCAACCAUCAGCUUUCACGAGGGAAGCGAAGAAUUCAAUCUCAGCUUCCACGUUGCCAAAUUGCAUCACCAAACUAUGAAUAUAAAACAGUUUUAGAACACUGUAUAUAAAAAAUUAUAUACAGUCAUGCUUCUAUCUUAUAAUUGCAAGGGACUUACUUUGGGUCAUGGCGCCAUUCCCAACAAAGUUUCAGCAAUUUCACCAGAUCAUCAUGCGGAAUCGCCUUCAUUGGGUCUAACAUCUUCAGUCCGGUUGUCUGUGCCCCAGUUUUUGGAACCAAUUCACUGCCUUCAACGAUCUUCCACAAAGGAAUGAUCCUCUUCCUUUUCCGUAAUUGGACCCCUUGUGCCAGAGCUUUACCUUUAUCAUUCAACCACACGUUCAACUGAGAUAGCACAGCUGUAGGUUCAUCCAAAUCAAUGUCCCCGACAGUAAACUCAAGCAGUGUCCCCUCCGUGCUCUCGCCAGUGUCACCCCCAAGCAACAUAACUUCAUUAUCUUCUUUCUCACAUUCGUUUCUUUGCACUUCCUUUUCCUCACUUCUUUGUGUUUUCACUUCCUUGCCCUCCCUUUUUUUCCUUUGCAAUUUCUCUCCCUUACUGCUUUUUCUUUUCACUUCCUCUCCCUCACUCCCCCGUCUUUGGGCUUCCUCUCCUUUGCUACUUUUUACUUGCACUUGCUCUCCUUCACUUCUUUUCCUUUGCCCUUCAUCUACCUCACUUGGUUUUCCUUGCACUUCACCCCCUUCAAUCCCCUCCUCUUCCUUUUCCUCUCCCUCAUUCCCUCCUCUUCCUUUUCCUCUCCCUCAUUUCUAUUACUUGGCCCUUCACCCCCUUCAAUCCCCUCCUCUUCCUUUUCAUCUCCCUCAUUUCUAUUACUUGGCCCUUCACCCCCUUUAAUCCCUUCAUCUUCCUUUUCCUCUCCCUCAUUUCUGUUACUUGGCCCUUCAUCCCAUUGAAUGUCAUCCAAUUCCCGAUAUCCCCUAAAUAGAUGUGAGACGACACAACGCUUCGUCCUCUGUUUCAGUAAAGCUAGGUCCCUCCUUACUUCCUGCUCAAACUGAGGACCUAAACAUUGGUCCAACAGUUUUUCCAUCCGUAUGACCUUUAAGUGAAGGACGUCUUUUUCCCGCUUUACUUGAAACAACUCGGACCUCAACAAGCUUACCACCUUGUUCAACUGAUCAAGAUCACCACAUGAAGAAGGAAUUGACUCUGCCGAGACAACAGCAGGGCGAUCCUGUGGCCAACUCCAAUAUGGCUGUCUCAUUUCCUCUUCACUCGGACAUAGCGCCCGCAACUGAACUGACUGUUUCAGAAUACAAACCACAGUCAUAUUAAAUCAUUCAACUUCAAAAUUUCAUUCAAUCUUAUCAAUAGUUCUAAGGGCUGCAAAACAAACCUGUUUGCUCUGGAAAAAAUAAUUGUUCAACUUUCUCAUCUCUGGAACAGACGUAGUAGUUCUCCAUCGCAAAAUACGCGGGACAGCGGUCGGAUCAACAACCUUGCAGUAAUUCAGGUCCACCAUUCUAGGAAUUAAUUCAUAUACCCAAAUCUACACAAUUCACAGGACAAAAGUCAUUAUUUAUGUUUUAAAUAAAAACAAAACAUAACUCACAUGAACAUUAUUACCAUGUACCUGGAAAGCAUACGUGAAACCUUUAAAACUCCAGCCACUCCUUUGCGCUUCACCACGCUUAUCCUUCCUGCCCUUCUCAUUUAUCCGGCUUGUUCCCGUUACCUUACUUUUCCCCUUCCCUCUUCCCUCUUCAUUUUGCAAGCUUUUCACAUACUUUGUUGGUGCAGAAAAUAGACUGUCUUGGGUUUUGUCAAAGGACACCGAACCCCACGGAUACCUGUUGAACGCAUCCAAGUCCUCUACAAGGGUCAGGUAAUUUAGAUUGAUGUUCAAAUGUUUGUCCCUUCCCAAAACCACUAACUCAGCAAAGUAAACAAGAGCUAGCUUGUAGAUGUCAUCUUCCUCUGUGCACCUCAUAAAUGCUUCUUCUAAAGCAUUGCAUGUAAUUCCUUCGUCUAUAAAAUAUCUUUUCUGAAGUCUGCUUACAUCACUCCCUCCACUGGAAACUUCAGGCACUUCCCCAAAACGAAGCCCUGUGAUCAAACAGAAAUCCUGACGACUGAACUGAGCAACGUCACACCCUAAUAAGAAACUCAGUCCAUCCAAGUCUUUCACACCCUGCCCCGCUACUCUACGCAACACAGCCCCAUGCACAAUCUGCCCGCUAAACUGAAUCUUAUCUAUAUUCAGAAGAUGGCCAAAGCAUGAUGUCUUGAAUUGUUCUAAUUGUUCCGCACUCAACUUCACUCGAAUUGCAGCUAGAGAUGAAUUUGCAUGUGAGCAGUUGUUCACCCGUGACGAAUAUGCCUCUGCCUCUGGCCAUACCAGCUCCACGUUGGAUCCCAUUUCCUGAAAUACAAUGUGAAAUAACGUGAACACAUAUACUACCACGUAUUUGCACAAUCACAACUAGUCAACCAGGCACAUUACAAAUUUUACAAAGUACAUGAGCAUACGGAUUACUGAUCACAAGCUUUAACAUCAUCAAAGCAAUAUGACAAAAUUUGUGCAAAUACCUGUUAAUGCAAUGAUUAUGUGAAUUACAAACAAUUUCACGUGUUUUAUUUAUGGAUCCAUACUCGUGUGAGUGCAAUGUAGGCACGUUCUGCACUUCACACACAUGACAAUUAUUGUCAUCUCAUACACAACACAAAAUAAAUAAAUAAGAAAUAUAGUGGAAGGAAGCAAAGCAAAGCAUCUACUCUGCUAUCUGCUUGCUAAGCAAUUGCCACAUCCUUCUUUCUUUCUAGCUUUUUCUUCAGUCACCCACAAUCGUCAUAGAUCAACCUUCAUUUCAAAUGCUUUGCACUUUUAUUCAUGAGUUUAUUAUUAUCUGUUCUCAUUUCUCAUAGGCAAAUUUAGUAACAAAUGAAAUCAUAUUUAUUUCACAAAAUAUAUAAAUUCUAGUGCCAGAGCGGUACUGUUCACUCUGCACUGCUUCAAAUGUGGAAGGUUUUGAGCGCCUCCUCCAAUUUAACACCAUUAUCUUAUUCAUAUCAUUACUGACAUGUUAUUGACAUGUUAUUGAGAUGUUAUUGACAUGUGAUUGACUCUAUUUUCAUUCGUUUUUUAACAUAUACCCAAGCAAAAAUUAACAUGCAAUUGAAGCACAAAUAAGAGAUGCCAAAUCCAACAACAUUGAUGGUACAAAUUGGGGAAAACAUUACUCUAACCCUAAACUCAAAUUCCUUAAAUUACUCAUCAAUUGCUUUGCACUUCUAUUCGUGAGUUUAUUAUUAUCUGUUCAAAUGUUUGUCAGGCAAAUUUAGUAACAAACGAAAUCAUAUUUACUUCAUAAAAUAUAUAUAUAUAUAUAUUCUACCGCCUCUUCUUCAUCUGCACUAUGCACUGCUUCAAAUGUGGAAGGUUUUGAAGGCCUCCUCCAAUUCAACACCAUUAUCUUAUUCAUAUCAUUAUUGACAUGUUAUUCACUUGUUAUUGACUUGAUUUUCAUUCUUUUUUUAACAUAUACCUAAGCAAAAAUUAACAUGCAACUCAAGCACAACGAAGAGAUGCCAAAUCCAACAAAAUUUAUGCUACAAAUUGGGGAAAACCAUUACUCUAACCCUAAACUCAAAUUUCAUAAAUUACUCACCAAAUGCUGGUUAUUGCAAGGGGUCUGUGUCGGGUCUUUCUGUUUCUUUGCUCCACAAAUGGAACUUACCACUUCCAACGAUUACAGCUUCUCCCCUUCCCCUUCCACUGCUUCACCCCUUCACUGAUUUGGAAUCCACACCUUUGCCCCUUCUACUCCAAAUAAAUACUUUUUCAGGGUCUGGAGAACGGAAUGGCGAAUCGUUGCCUUCAACUGUCGUUAGCCGUUGCCUUCAUUGGGUAUCUCAGACCUCUGGGUUUUAGAGAGAUGAGUUCUUUCUGUUCAAACUUCGAACUUGCCUCUUCUUCUUCUUUUUCGGACGUGUUUCCCUCUUCUUCUUCUUUUUGGACGUGCUGGAUAUUCAAUUCGGGUUUCGGUUCCUCACCUACCCAACUGUGAAACUUUAUCUCAAUUCUCCCCAGCCCUUGGAUUGAUCUGAUGGCUAUAAAGUGAAUCCCUUAUAACUUACCCCUUAUAACUUUCCACUCAUUGUAGUCUCGGCGAAGUUACAUUAAGGGAAGACAUUGCAUUUGCUCUGCAUUCGCUUCAAUAGCUUUGAGAUUGCCAACGAAUUGUUCAACUUCUUUCUUCACGUUCAAAACAAAUUACCUCUUCUUCUAUGAAUUAGUUAUUGAAGGCAAGGUUAACGAUAUUAACGACUUUUCUAGCUUAAGAACACACACCAAAUCAAAGUUACUCAAGGCAAACAAAACACAUCUUCUAAAGGAACAGAAAAACUGGGAACUGAUACACAAUAAAAUAAGAGAAAGCCAAACCCAAAUUCACCAGUUCCUCAAGAGUACAUUUUACAAAUUAAUGACACAAAGGGAGUUUUGCAAAUGAUCAAUACACCAGUAGAUUAGUUAAAUAUAAGGUGCUUACAAAACAAAAAAAUCAGGGCAAUCAUCAAGCUCAGUGGACCUUCCAAAUUCACCAUGUCUCUGUCAAGGCAGUGAUGAAAAUAAUCAAAAUUUCUGUUAUUGGAACUUCCGUAGGCUGACACUUGAUGAUUUACAUCACUCUAAUUGCUUCAAUAGGGUCCCUGAAAUGAUGACACAUACAUAGUUGAUCAAUUAAUUUGCUUCUAGCAAUCAUUUCUCAAUUCGGGAAUUAAAUUUUUUGAGAAACAACUAAAACAUGCAGAUUAAACAAAACAACAAACCACG